rnacentral:lncRNA from 1 species
UAAAAUUUAAAAGUGAAAUUUAAAUUAGAGGAAUUUCAUAUUACUAUUUAAAAACUAAAUUUCUACCAAGAUUUAAAAUACAGUUUAUUCGCACCAGUUUAAAACGUAAUGCAUAAAAAACUUAGAGAGUAAGAUUUCUACAACUAGAUUUCUCUAGAGGAAUUUCAUAUUACUAUUUAAAUUUUAAAUUCAAUGAUUUAAAAACUAGAUUGAACCGAUUGAUUUGACUGAUCAGACUUUGACCUAUUCUAUCAAGAAUCUGAUUUUAACCUAUUGAACCGAAUAACAUUAAGAACAAUUUGGAACCGGUAAAGAUAAUAAAUAUUUUAAACAGAAUGAUAAUUUAACUGUUAGAGCUAAUAAAUAUUUUAAAUAUAAUUUUAAACAUAUAAAUUAAAAAGAUUAGAAUUAUUGGUGAGAAAAAAAAUAGUUAGGAAUUUGAAUUCGAAUCUGACUAACAAUCACAAAACUUAUUUCCGAACUCGACGGAUUUCAAAAAUCCAUAUCCAAAUUCAAAACUGACCAAUUUUUCGAAACCCAAAACCAAACCUAAACCAGAAGACUAGAAUUCAAACAAUUAUUUCUGUUUACCAUAUUUCAAAGUAUUUAUAUGAAACUUAAAUUUUUAAAAUAUAAAUUUGAAUAUAAUAUUAAAUUUUAAAUUUAAAAGUGAAAUUUAAAUUAGAGAAAUUUUAUAUUACUAUUUAAAGUUUAAAUUCAAUGAUCAUAUUGUCAAAUCAUUUGAAAUUUUCCUUAUAUGAAAUGCCAAAUUAUGAAAGGAAAGAUAGAGAGAGAAAAAAAAAAACAAAGAAAAAAUAAAAAUUUUGAAAAUAUAGUAGAUGUAAAAUGACUAAAUUGCCUAUGUAUUAAAAGACAAAAAUAUCCUUUUUUGAGGUACCUGGUAACUGAUACCUCUUCCAAAGCGACCUGCUAUUGCAGGUCACAAUUUUAAAAAAACUAAAUCUGAGCCGUUAAAUACGCGUGAAUGAACGGUAACCAAAAAAAAAAAAGUAUAGAAGCAUUACUCUAAUUAAUUAAAUUUUACACCCAACACAUGAAAACAAUAUCAGAUAUAAAUAAUAAUAAACUAGUUACACUCUGAGGUCCCCAUAGAAUUACUACAAGAAAUAAUAGUGGUAUAGAGUGUGGUUUAGAAUUCUAUAAAUUAGCCUAAAUUUUAGACCCUGUUUAAUAUUAUUGUUUACUUUUAUUUUUUAAAUGUAAAUCUUACAUGAUGAACAUGGAGUAUGUAAAUAUAAAUGCAUUGUACAUACCUGAAUUAAUGACUAUUUAGUUAUACAUAAAAAUAUAUAAAAAAAAUCCUAAUAUUAAACAGGGUCUAAAUAUUACUCCCUGGAGUUCUGUUAAUGAUCAAGUUCCAUAAACUAUUCUUGUCAACUUUUUUUUUAUAAUUUUUUACACUAAAAUUAAAAAAAAAUCAAUUCUAGAAUGGAGAGAUAUAAGAUUAUACCUCAUUGUGAUGAUGUAGAAAAACUAUCUGCUGAGACAUACAAUCAGAGAUAAAAUUUCUUUUACUUAUAAAAUCAAAAUUUAAUAUUAAUACUCAAUUUUUUUUUAACAAAUCAAUCAAAUAAUUGCCAAAAAUAACAAGUACUCAAUUUGUGACGAUGCCGUAUGAAACUGUAGAAGUGAGAAGUCUCAGCUCCUCUGAAACCAAACGCAGAUUACAAUAACAACCCCCCAAAAUAAAAAUAAAAAUAAAAAUAAAAGUAAAAGGGAAUCCACAUGGGAAUGGUGAUCUAUAGUGUUGUUGUUGUUGUUGGAUCCGGUGCGAGAGAGAGGGGCACGGUUUUUGUACGGUAGGUGGAGCGUCCAGAGAUUUUUUUUUAUUUUUUUUAGGAUUAAUUACGAACAAUUUUCUAUAAACAUAUUGAAUAACAAAUAUAUUUCUAUAAAUUUUAAUUUUUUAUUUUUUUUUAUAAAAGUCUUAUUUUUUUAAAUAUACUCCCGCUAUUACGAUUCAUUACAAAAAUAUAGUUAAUUACAAGUAAAAUACUUAACUCUUAUUAGUACGUAAAUAAGUAAAUUGAUUUUUUUAUUCAUUUUAUAUUAUUCAUGAUAGUAGAAAGUGAGAAGAUAAUCAUUAAAAAUUUUUGAGAGGGCAUUUCUAUAUAAUUCUAACACUUAGGAUUUUUGGAGAGACAUAUCUAUAAUAGCAAAAAUAACAAUUUAUUUAUCUUUUGUUAAACAGUAUUCUAACAAUAACAAAUCAGAGAGGCAGCUAUGAAUAUCAGUGGACUUUUAUAGCGAUGAAUAUGACAAGUUAAAUUUUGUAGGAAUUUAUUUGCUAUUCGAUAUAUUUACAGAAGCUGUAUAAAAUUAACUAUUUUUAAAUAAAAGUGUACAGAACUUAUAUCUUAAUUAUUAUUCAUUUUGAUUUGACUGUCUACUUUUAAAAAAAAUUUAUUUUAUUUUAUUUGAGCCAAUUUAUAAUCCUUUGACUUAAAUUUUGAAUACAUCCAUCAAAUAAAUUAAAUUAAACAAAUUACAAUUUUAGGCACUAAAAUUAAAUUUUUUUUAUUUUUAUAAAUUUAUUUUUGAGUAAACUUUAAAUACCCUCCCUGUGGUUUCAUACUUUCUCACUUUAGUAUCCCGUGAUUUAAAGUGUAUCAAGUUAGUCCCUGUGACUACGCUCUUUCUGACUUUAUUACCUUGUGAUUUAAAAUGUAUCAAAUUAGCACCCUGUGGUUUUAUUUUUCUAUUUUUAUUAUCCAUUUUACUAUUUUUUUUUUAUUAAAUCAGUAACAAAGUUAAAAUUAAAGGAUACUAAAGUGAAUAUUCGAUAAACCUAGGUAAGGGUAUCUGAAGAUUUUUGUAUAUAAUUUAACGAAAUAUUAACGGAGGAAAAAAAAAUCAAUGAUAAAAUUAAAACUAAAGAAUAUUAAAGUAAAUAUUCAAUAAAUCUAGAUAGGCUAUCUGAAGUAUUUUGUAUAUAAUUUAACGAAAUAUUAAUAGAGGAGCCGAUGAGAAGAAAAAAAUGAAAUCACAGGGUACUAAAUUGAUGCACUUUAAACCACAGAGUACUAAAGUGAAAAAGUGCGAAACUAUGGGAUAGUAAAUUGAUACACUUUUAAUCAUAAAAUAUUAAAAUAAAAAAAUAUAAAAUUAUAGGGGUGGUAUUUGAAAAUUUUCUUUUAUUUUUUGGAUCUUGCAAGUUCGAUUCCUCCGCACCAAGUAUUCCCUACAUUUGCCGCCCCUCGUGAACUGCGACGUCCCCCGCACAUGCUCCCGCUCAGUUUCUUUUACGGUUUGUCCAGAUCUCUCUCUCUCUCUUCUUUUUUUUCUUUUUAUUUUUUGGGGGGGGCCCUUUCACGAAAAUGCCCCCCACAUUUACCAAAAUGACAACUUUGUCCCCAACUCACUUCGAAAUUGGAAAUUAAAUUGGAAAUUAUGGUAGUGUUUCGUUCACGGUAUUUCUCAAAAGUUCCUCAGAACUUAAAUCUUAAAACUGAGAAUUUUUAUCAUGUCGUGGUUAGGGGUGGCAAUUCAGUUUGUCGUUCGCGUGCUAGCUCAUGUUCGUCUCGAAAUGAGUUCGAGAUCGAACCGCUCGUUUAGUAAACGAGCCGAACACGAGCUGAAUUUUUCAGCUCAUGUUCGGCUUGAAAUUAUGGUACGAAUCGUUCAUGGUAUUUCUCAAAAGUUUCUCAGAACUUAAAUCUUAAAAUUGAGAAUUUUUAUCAUGCCGUGGAUUCCAGCUCCAUGUCAAUUCGCCAAUAGAUUCGCUGUAUAGACAGAAAAUUCUAUGUACACAGAGCGAUAGAAUUAUUUGUAAACAGUAAAAAAAACAACUACUGCACCAAUGCUGAAAUUAAUUGGGUUUCGGAGUUAAUUAGUGGCGUCAAUUUCGCAUCCAAAUUAAAUCCGACUCGUCUUGACACUUUUCUGAAGUGACGAUCAAUUCAAGGUCUGUAACUUUUCCUGAAAAAUAAUAUUUUAUUUUUUUGGAACACUACAAUUUUCUUAUUUGGUUCGUCGCAAAAAUGAUAGUAAUCUAGAAUUUUUAUAUAUUUUAAUUCUACAAAGCGUAGGAAUUCAAAACUCAUUCACUUUCGUAGUAGUUUCCUUUCUCCACAUUAUGUGGUUUGAUUUUAAUAGAUUAAAGGGUUACUUUUAAAUUUAAUAAUAAUUACGAUGCUUUUUGGUGUAAAAUAAUAAACUUAUUAAUAUAAUCUACUUAUUUUUUAUGUCGAGUCAAACACAAACAUAAUAUAAUACUAAAUAUUCUAGAUACGAACCAAAUAAAUAUUCUUAUGAUAUUAGAAUUUAAUUCUAGAAUAAUAAUGCUUGAGAAAUUAACUUGGUUAUGAAAAUUUUAAAUCGUGCAAAAUUUAGUGGACUUAGCGAGAAAACAACAUUCGAGCAAAAUUUUUUGAUGGAUAAGAAAAAGUGCGAUGCUACGUCCACAUUCUGAGGCCAAUAUUUUUUCUUUACUUAACUUAAAAAUAUAUUUAGAUAUUUACAAACCUUAAAAUGAAGAAUUUUACAUUUACAUAUUCGUGUACAUAUUGCAUUUUCCUACAAAAAAAAAAGUAUAGUGCAAAUCCCCACAUUAAAAAUUUAAAACCCCUUCAAAUAUUUAUAGUUAUUUAUUUAUUUUUUUUUUGAGAGAUAUGUAGCAUGCUACCCGCUUCAUUUAUUUCAUUUAGAAAUAAAAUUUAUUUAUUUAUUUUUUGAGAAAUAGGUAGCAUGCUACCCGCUCCAUUUAUUUCAUUUAGAAAUAAACUUAGCUGGAAAUGUAAAUCGACUAGAAUUCGAACUUGUGUCUCGAGUACCAACCAUCAAGACUUUUGCCACUUACUCUAGGGACGGUCGGUAAUAUUUAUAGUGAUUUAUUAGUUAAGAAGUUGGCGGAUAGAACUCUAAAUUUAAAAUUUUCUCACAACAGGUCGAAUCCACAAUCUCUCAUACACUAAGAAGCUUUAAGUUAAUAUGAAUUUUAAGAAAGUAAUUUAGAAACUUUGGAGAAAUAUAUAUAUGCAUGCAAUUAAUGCCUCGUAAAAGUUGUUCCAUAGAAAGAUUUAAACGGACCCGCCUACGCAAACAAAUUAAGGGACAUUCAAUUUUUCAAUGAACGACCAUAAUGAUAGUGUGACACCUUUUACCUAUGAGCAAGAAGAAAAUAGAGCAAAUCCUUUCAAAAAAAAAAAAAAGAGAAAAUAAUAAAAAGUAGACCAAACAAUGAAAUUAAUACAAUAACUAGCACGUUAUAUUCUAAAAACACACUACUGAAUUAAUAAGGAGAGUUUUUAAGAAGUGAAGGGCUGGAUUAAUUUCGAUAUACAAUUGUGUUAUCCAAAAAAUUGAUCUGAUAUAAAACGAUUCAAAAUUAAUUUUUGUCAUAACUGUAACUACCUAGCCCACUAGCAAUAAUAACUCGUUGGGCCCAACCAUCGGCCCAAAAUGCUUAAGCCCAGUUAUUAUUACUAGUGUUUAAGUUUCUUAUAAACCCAAUAACAACCCCAUUUCCAUCCGAUGUGGGGAUUGGGGUGUCACAAACUCCCCCCGUUAAGGCCCUGACGUCCUCGUCAGUCCAAUCACACACACACAGCCCAAGAUCAAGAUCACCAGGCGAUGUGAGACUCGUCUCGCUAGCUCGUCAUCCAGACCCUGGCUCAGCCGAGACUCGCCACACAUGUCUAGCUGGUGAACCGGCUCUAAUACCAAAUGUAACGACCCAGCCCACUAGCAAUAAUAACUCAUUGGGCCCAACCACCGGCCCAAAAUGCUUAAGCCCAGUUAUUAUUACUAGUGUCUAAGUCUCUUAUAAAUUCAAUGACAACUCCAUUCUCAUUCGAUGUGAGAUUAUUGGGGUGUCACAAUAACGAACACAGAAAACGCCCCCUUGCCAAAAGAGAGUUCAUCUUGUUUAUGUAUGAAAACAUCAAAUUUUUAAUAUUAAUUUUCUGAAGCUGAAGCAUAUAAAUAAACUGAGAUAGUCAAUUCAAAAUGCUCAAAAUGGUAAUAGAACAUUACCACAAGGAUUCUCCUGUGUAUGAGCGGGAAUCUAGGGAAAAAGGGUAUAGUAUAUGGAUAAAAAAUAAUCAACAAAGAAAAGAAAAAAGUUGCAACCUACUUAACUAGGGGGCGACAAGAGGGUGAAAGCCAAAAGACUAGGAAGGGUAAAAGAGGAAAACAAAUAAUAAUAAUAAUAAUAAUAAUAAUUAAGAGCAUGGCUCGUGGGCUCUCCCCGUCACUGAAGCACUUGGCUAUUGAUCGUAUUUUGUAAUUUUUAUGUAUUUAUUUAUCCCACUCUCUCUCUCUCUCAAGAUCUCUCUUCUUUCUCUCCCUCUCUUCUUUCUGUGUGUGUGUGUGUGUGUGUGUGUGUGUGUGUGUGUGUGUGUGUCCCCCACACCCUUCCAUAGAUCAGACUGCACGCCAGAAGGGCCAGAAAGGGGCAGAAAGCAGGGCUAACGUCUUCCUCAAAAGCAGCUCUUCUUCCCAACCUGGAAAGAUAUAACAACAACCUUAAAGCUCAAGGGGUUUGGGGAAUGAGGAGUAUUUAGCAUAUAAAUAAGUCAAUGCAUGCUAUGUGUACCUGUAAUGUGCAGGGCACCGUGAAACAAUCGUUUAUCUUCAAUAGAUUAAGCUGUCAGAGAACGAUCGAUGCUUUCGUAUUCUAUAUCAAGGAUUCGACGAGAUUGGAAUUCAGAAUUUUUGUUAUGAUACUAUUUAUUUUUGAAAGCUUACACUAUCACAGAAAGUUAUUUUUUGUGUCAUAUAAUUCGAUAUGAGUGCAAUGUCUGUAGACUUAAGCAUUUAGAUUCAAUGAGUUUUAAUAGAUAUUUCACAUAUUUAGACUUGCGUGGAUCUUGGACUGAAUCGAAACUCCCUAUAAUGUAUAAUGUCGCGCAAAGAAUAAUAUACAAAAAUAGAAUUUGGAUUGUGAAAACCAUAUUAUAAAGAAAUUUGUACAAAUUAUAUAACAGGGGAUCCUACGGACUGUCGAAAGAAUUUAUAGUAUCAUUCUUGCAAAAAUACUUGCCAACUCGACAGUUAAGUUGCGCAUCAAUGCCAACAAACUAAAUUAGUAAUAAGCUGACUUAUCAAUUAUAUUUCCAGAUUCGUUUACGGUCACAUGUAAACAAAGAUGAGGUUGGUGAGCAUCUCAAGUUCUCAAGUGCAUUACGAACCUCUGCCCCAUCCGUGUUUACUUGUAAUUAAGUACCAACUCAAAAUAACAUUUAAUUUUAACACUCUCUCACCAACCUUUCGCAUGUACUGACCCUACUCAUAAUUUUAUAUCGUAUAUAUAUAUAUAUACCUUCCUUUCACCUUCCUCCUUACUAUUAUUUUAAUUACUAGGAGAUAUUUAUUACAUUUAUGCCCAGUUUCAUAAACCCAUCCCUGUGUAAAAGGGAGAAUUUUCGUAAAUGCCAUUAAUUUAAUAAAUUGAUGCAUCAUGUANNNNNNNNNNNNNNNNNNNNNNNNNUAUGAAUUAAGUUGUUUUAGCUUACUAAAUUGGACAUCGUAUUAAAUUUACCAGUGAAUUCACUGCAUUUAAUAUUUUUUUAUCACCUCUUAGUAACUAAAUUAGAUGGCUAAUUAACAAUUAAUAACUAAUAGAGCCAUUAAAUUUGAUAAAAUUGUUAACUUAAUUAAAUGUAAAAUCUCAAAUAGUUGAAGAGGAUCUGUUUCAAAAUUUUCCAUAGUUAAGGGGGUAUUCAUAAAUUUUUCCCCAAAAAAAACACCCCACAGUAAUUAGAGGAGAUCGAGCACAUACACAGUACCCACAAACACAACUGGCACCGUCAAUGUCAUUAGCGGAAUAUCUCGGGCGAGGGUUAUCCCAUUCCAUUAUGAGUCCUAACCCCUGGUUUUAAUCAAUAUUAUUAUACAAAAAUAUCCAACUCGCAUGGUAAAAAUAGAGGAUAGGAUAAAUGGUGGAAAUUAAUUAACUAAUUAAUUAACUAAUUAAUUAGAAAUAUCAUGCAUGUUGGCUACUUGGCUUUGGGGCUUCUAUCUCCAGCUAACUCUCCGAAUUGAACGGUACCUGAUGUUCCUACUUGCUUUGAUGUGGGCCAUAGUAAACAAUCCCAGUUGAUGAUUAGUAGUGGGGCGAAAAUAAUGUUUGAGACCACAUUGUUUCCUUUUUUUUGUUUAUAUCAAAUUAACCUUUUUUAGAAAAAAAAAUAGAAAAAAAUUUAUUUUACUUUAUUCUGAUUUAGCGCAUUUUCACUCAUCAUCACAUAAAACUGUAUUGUACUUUUAUUUUUAUUUUACUGUAAGAAUCUAUUAUCACAUAGAAAUUUUUGGUUUUCAAAGAAUUUUACUUUACUAUUCUGUUUGAUAGUGAAUUUUUUUUAAUAAAAUAAAAAAAAAAUUCUAGAAUAGAUAAGUAUAGUGGUUUGAACAAGAAGAUAAUAGAGGGGCAAACUAAAGUCUACACCCAAAAAAUGUGAUGUUGAAGACCGUUUUAUAUCUAAUGGUUUAAUUUCAUACCGAGUAUUUCGAUCUGUUUGAAUGUUAGAAUAAGUUAUUUGGUAAUAAUCGAGAAUUGCUGAAUGAGAGCAUAAAUAGCAUCUCUAGAUAAAUAAAAAUAAUUGUGGAAUAAAUAAAAAAAUAAAAGUAAAAAGUAAAAGAGUAAAAGGUGGAGAAAAUUAAACACAUUACAAUUUACCACAGCUGUAGGGGUGGGCCCCAGCGUGUAGAGAGAGAGAGAGAGGGGGGUGGGGAGAGGUGCGAAACGUGCCGGGCGAUUAUCGCGGAUCCCACGGAAACCCUCAACCGCCACCCAAACCCACUCUUCAUAAACCCCACAACCGGCCCAUGUUAGCAAUUAUUUUUUUGUUUUGAGAGAUAGGUAGUAUGAUACUCACUUCGCUUAUUUUAUUUAUAAAUAAACUUAGCUAAAAAUGUGAAUCAACUAAAAUUUAAAUUUGAAUUUCGGAUACCAACCACCAAGUUAUUUUCCAUUUAUUAAUCCCCAAUUAUUAAUCCUCAAAAGAAGACAAAAGAAGAAAAAGCUAAAGAUGUGUUGGAGAAACUCCGCAACCUCUAUUACGACUGCGCUUGAAAUUACCUGCUCAAUUUUUACCAGUUUAACUAUAUUUACUGUUAUAUUAAUUUAUCUUAAUUAGACUACUCUAUUAUAUGAAAAUCUCUAGAGAUACCGACUGUCUAGCGCAAGUGGCAAAAGGAUUGAUUGUUGGUAUCCGAGAUCUCAAGUUCGAAUCUUAGUUCAUUUAUAUUUCUUGCUAAGUUUAUUUCUAAUAAGAAAUAAAUGAAGAAGAUAAUAUACUACCUUUCUCUAAAAAAAACAAUCGCUAGAGAAAGAGAAGAGUGAGAUUUAGGGGUCCUUUUGGUUCAACAUAGUUAUAACUGCACUAUAGUUGUAACUGAUUGCAUAUCAAAAUCCAACAUUUAUUUUGAUGCACUUGAAUUCAGGUGCCGUAACUGUAACUGCAGGAAGAGGCUCACGCUCAUCUAUAUCAAUUAAAAUUAUGUCCAAAUUAGCUGCAAUUUUAACUACACUAUUUGAACAUAGUGAUUUUCAAUAUAGCUAAUUAUACCUCUCUAAUAAUUUUUUAAAUAAUUUUUUAUCUUUCAUCCACAGAGGUAAUCUCACCAUCUCAUAUAUAAAAUAAUAAUAAUUCGUAAAUGCAUUUCUCAACUGCAUAAAACUAAAUAAAGUAGUGAUACAUACAACACUUUCUACUACAUCCAAUCAAAUAAAAAAUAUAUAAAUAUAAUUGAUACAUGUUCAACCUCAUGCAUCUCUAAUUAUGCUGCAUUUAUAAUUACGUAGAACCAAACGACCCCUUAGUCCCGCAAAGACGGCAACAGCAAUACAAAGGAAAGUCAAAGUUGAGUCUAUUCUUUUAAUCCGCAGCAGCAACGCGAUCGUUUUAUUUUACAUAGACUUCAUGCACUCAUCAACUGUUAAGACACAACAAAAGUUUCUAAUUUUUUUUAAUUAAAAAAAAAAAGAGCAUGUAAUGAAAAUAAAUUGAUAAAUAGAAGGUAUAAAUCAAAAUAGUAAAAUUUGAGAGGAUAAAUUCAAACUUCUCUAAAGUGCAGUGGAUCUCCAUACAUUUCUUUUUCCCAAUAGAAAACUGAAGAAGAUGAGUUAAUUAAUUGAAACAAAAGAUUAAUUAAUCUUGGUUAUUUUUCGUCAUUAGUUAAACCAUUUCUUAGCUAAUUAACAGUUAAUGAAAGAUUGGGCCGGGGAAGGAAUCUAAUUUGCCAGGUGGCGCACGAUUCCAAAAUUUCACACCUGCAUGAUCUCCCGAGACGAUAAUGAUUGAGGUCGCCUCGAAUGAUGAGGGAGUUAAAAAACAAAAAGUUAAAAAAACCCUGAUUAGAUUAAAUAAUUAAUGUAGUUUAGUAAUUAACUAAUUAAUUAGUUUAAGAGAUGGUGGAGAAGGAGAUGCAGUAGAAUCUGGGGAGGAUUUUUUGAAUGUAAAUAUUAAAAGGUAAAUUUCAAAUACCAUUUCUGUGAUUUCGCACUUUAUCAUUUUAGUAUUUUAUAAUUUAAAAUGUAUCAAUUUAGUAUUCUGUAAUUUUAUUUUAUUUCUUUUCGUCAACUUCUACUCUAUCUAUAGUUUAUUGAAUAUUUCUUUUAGUACCCUUUAAUUUUAAUUCUGUCACUGAUUUAAUAAAAAAAAAAUUAAUAUAGAGAAUAAUAAAAAGAGAAAAAUAAAAUAAUAGGGCACGAACAUGAUACACUUUAAACNUGAAAGCUUUCCAAAGAAGAAAGAAGUAAAGAUACUGGCUUGACUUUUUAGCUUUCACUGCGGAUAGACUUUUUUUUUUUUUUUUGGAUUGUUUGUUUGUGUUCACAACUAUAAAUGGUGGGGGUAGAGGAUGCGGACUGAGUUAUUACGGUGGGACCCACGGCCCCGGAGCUCCACCGGAUCAGCCCAAGUAAUAAUAGAGUCCCCCCCUCGCUCAUCCCAUCACCUCUCUCUCUCUCUCAUCAACUCUAAUAUACUUUUUAAAUUUUAGGUAAAAUUUACUCAAGUUCUUAAACUUUUAUUAAGUUUAAUAACUAAUAUUUCACUGAUCGUUCCUAGCACAAGUAACAAAAAAUUUGAUAAUUGAUACUCGAGAUUCCAGAUAAUUCGAAACUCAAUUGCUUCACAUUUUCAGCUAAAUUUACUUUUAAAAAUAAAAUUAAAAAAGUAGGUAGCAUGCUAUCCUUCUCUCUAAAAAAAAACGUUCACAUUCCAAAUAUUUAGUUGUGAUUUAUUUUAUUCUUUCGGGAGAAAAAAUACUAUGUUUCAGUAAGAAUGAAUUUAUUGGUUCGUAAAUUUGAAUAAAAAUAUCGAUAUAUCAGUAAUAUUCUUUCAUCCAAAAUUGCUCUGAGAGCUCGAAAACUAAAGUGAAAUCUAUGAUAUUUUUUUUGUGAUUAUUUUCAUGGAAAAGCUCUAAUUGUCCUUCAUCCAUCUCUCCUUUUCCCCUCUCUUUCUCUCUCUUUCUCUCACUUAACUUNAAAGUUAAAAAAACCCUGAUUAGAUUAAAUAAUUAAUGUAGUUUAGUAAUUAACUAAUUAAUUAGUUUAAGAGAUGGUGGAGAAGGAGAUGCAGUAGAAUCUGGGGAGGAUUUUUUGAAUGUAAAUAUUAAAAGGUAAAUUUCAAAUACCAUUUCUGUGAUUUCGCACUUUAUCAUUUUAGUAUUUUAUAAUUUAAAAUGUAUCAAUUUAGUAUUCUGUAAUUUUAUUUUAUUUCUUUUCGUCAACUUCUACUCUAUCUAUAGUUUAUUGAAUAUUUCUUUUAGUACCCUUUAAUUUUAAUUCUGUCACUGAUUUAAUAAAAAAAAAAUUAAUAUAGAGAAUAAUAAAAAGAGAAAAAUAAAAUAAUAGGGCACGAACAUGAUACACUUUAAACCAUAUGUUACUAAAGUAAGAAAGUAUAAAACUAUAAGGGUAAUAUUUAAAGUUUUUUCAAUAUUAAUUAAGGAUAUCGUUUUCUAAUAAUUUAAGGCGGAGAACAAUGAUUAUUUCACAAAGUUAAAUUUUUUUUUUUGUGAUUAAUAUAAUAAUUAAAUUUUAUCCAACAUAGUGAGGAGAUGUGGGGAUUUUUUUUUUUUNNNNNNNNNNNNNNNNNNNNNNNNNNNNNNNNNNNNNNNNNNNNNNNNNNNNNNNNNNNNNNNNNNNNNNNNNNNNNNNNNNNNNNNNNNNNNNNNNNNNNNNNNNNNNNNNNNNNNNNNNNNNNNNNNNNNNNNNNNNNNNNNNNNNNNNNNNNNNNNNNNNNNNNNNNNNNNNNNNNNNNNNNNNNNNNNNNNNNNNNNNNNNNNNNNNNNNNNNNNNNNNNNNNNNNNNNNNNNNNNNNNNNNNNNNNNNNNNNNNNNNNNNNNNNNNNNNNNNNNNNNNNNNNNNNNNNNNNNNNNNNNNNNNNNNNNNNNNNNNNNNNNNNNNNNNNNNNNNNNNNNNNNNNNNNNNNNNNNNNNNNNNNNNNNNNNNNNNNNNNNNNNNNNNNNNNNNNNNNNNNNNNNNNNNNNNNNNNNNNNNNNNNNNNNNNNNNNNNNNNNNNNNNNNNNNNNNNNNNNNNNNNNNNNNUUUUUUUUUUUUUUUUGGAUUGUUUGUUUGUGUUCACAACUAUAAAUGGUGGGGGUAGGGGAUGGGGACUGAGUUAUUACGGUGGGACCCACGGCCCCGGAGCUCCACCUGAUCAGCCCAAGUAAUAAUAGAGUCUCCCCUGGCUCAUCCCAUCAACUCUCUCUCUCUCUCAUCAACUCUAAUAUACUUUUUAAAUUUUUAGGUAAAAUUUACUCAAGUUCUUAAACUUUUAUUAAGUUUAAUAACUCAUAUUUCACUGAUCGUUCCUAGCACAAGUAACAAAAAAUUUGAUAAUUGAUACUCGAGAUUCCAGAUUUGAAACUCAAUUGCUUCAUAUUUUCAGCUAAAUUUACUUUUAAAAAUAAAAUUAAAAAAGUAGAUAGCAUGCUAUCUUUCUCUCUAAAAAAAAACGUUCACAUUCCAAAUAUUUAGUCAUGAUUUAUUUUAUUCUUUCAGUAGAAAAAAUACUACGUUUCAGUAAGGAUGAAUUUAUUGGUUCGUAAAUUUGAAUAAAUAUCAGUAAUAUUCUUUCAUCCUAAAUUGCUCAGGUAGCUCGAAAACUAAAGUGAAAUCUAUGAUGUUUUUUUUGUGAUUAUUUUCAUGGAAAAGCUCUAAUUGUCCUUCAUCCAUCUCUCCUUUUCCCCUCUCUUUCUCUCUCUUUCUCUCACUUAACUUUUUCUUUUUUUCUUUUUUUCUUUUUUUUCCUUUCUCUUCCUAAGACAUUUCUUUCACACGGCUCAUUUGCAUUAUUAAGAGGAAUCAAAACAGCAACAAUGAGAAUACAUGUGCCUGAAGCUGAUCUCGCAAUCAUGGCCGUACACGAAAUUGGAUUCCCAGUUACGAGUAGUAGGCACCCACAACGUAGACCCGGGCCAUGUAAAUAUAUCUCCAUCCAUCGUUGCUUACUACUACUACUAAUUAUGGGGCUCAUUAAGGAUACGGAUUGAGACCGUUAGAACUUAUUUUUUAUUUGAAUUUGAAUUUAAAUUUGAAAAUUUGAUUUGAAACGAAUAAAAUUUAGCUGAUUCGGUAGUUUGAAUCGUUUUAUGAUCUCCUCAGUCAUAUGCUGGAGUGGUUUUAGUCGAUUUAUUUAAAUUUACUAUUUAGCCUACAUUCAAGCGAAUAAAUUACAUUAAUAAGCUUGUAAUUUCUAAUUAGAUUAUAAAAUUUUAGCACAUAAAAUUAAAGAUUAAUUUCAUACAGGUCCCUACAAAAAUAGUAAAUUAUAAAUAUAUUCCUACAAAGUUUAACUUUUAUAUAUUAUCCAUACAAAAGUCUAGAUGUUUUCAAAUAUAUUUCUACCGUUAGGAUCCGUUAGAAAAAAUUUGUAACCAUAAAUGAAUUGGUCUUUUUAUCCUUCCUUAAUUAAUAGUUGGAAUUUUUGAAAUGACAUAUUUAUGAUGGUAAAAAGGUCAUUCCACUUAUAAGAUAAACAGUGCUUUAACGGUAACAAACCAGAGGAGAUAAUAUAUGAAAGUUGAAUUUUGUAGAAAUGUAUUUAUAAUUUACUAUAUUUGCAGGGACAUGCAUGAAAUUAAUUCUAAAAUUAAAGGGGAGGGGUUUCUUUGAGAAUAGCAUGUAGUUGAGGGGGUCUCUCUCUAUUCGCUUACUUGAUGGUAAAAAUCCAAAUUAACCCCUCUAUCUAAAUAAUUAAUUUUUUUUUUUGAAAAAAAUAAAAAAUAAUUUUGGAAGGGAAAGAGUAACCGAAACGGAAAGCUUUCUCCCAUUUGAUGCCAAACCGAUGGGGGGUCUAAAAAGUUGUCGUGAUCUAAAGAAAAACAAAUUCAGCAUCUCAAAUGGCGAAAAUGCCCUCCCCGCCAGGGCUUUUAUAGCGCAGAGAACGCCGACCUCCAGGGGUAUUUCCGACAUUUCGACGAGCCUGCCAGGUUGUUUUGGUUCUUCACGGCACUCCACUCUAAAAUUCGGCGGCACGACGAGGAUUUACUUUUCUUUUUCUAAAUUUUCAUUUUACAAAAAUCAUAUAUAUAUAUACAUUUAAAUAAAUGAGUUAAUUUCAUACAGUUUUCUACAAACAUAGUGAAUGAUAAAUAUAUCCGUACAAAUAUUUUCAAAUAUGCUCAAUUGGUUUAUUACUGUUAGAGAAUUAUUUAUAAUUUUAAUUAUAUCAUCACAAUUAUAUUGCUCCAAAAAUCAUAACAGUAUAAUAUAAGAGGGAUAAGAAUGUCAAAAACUAAUCAGGAUUAAGUAUUCAAUCUAUGGUUAACUAAACUUUUUUUAAAGGAUUCUAAUGGGAAGGAUAUAUUUGAAAAUAUCAGAAUUUUUGUAAAAACAACAUAUGAAAGUUGAAUUUUGUAGUAAUAUAUUUGUCAUUUACUAGAUUUACAAGAACCUGUAUGGAAUUUACUCUAAAUAAAUUUACAGUAAUUUGAACUACAUGUAUUAAUAUAUAUAAUCAAAUUUUUACAUGGCACAGCGUAUAAUUUGAAAACUAUGUUUACAAACGCAUUAAUAACCUUAUAUUUUAAAAAAUUACAUCAAUAGUAUAUAUGUAAAUAUUUUUUUUACUUGAUUAUUGCGAAUUUAAACCUACUUUCAUUAUAAAUAUACUGUUAUAUAUAUUAUUUUUUUUAAAAAAAAAUUUCAAAAAUAAAAAAGAGUGGAUAAAUAUAAGAGGAGGUAUUCCAUGGCUGUUCGAUUGGACGGCUGAGAACAGCCGCGAGUCCACCGGUGAUUUAACGGGAGAGGCAGCGAGUACGACAGCGGAUCCUGCGCCGUCGGAUCUUAAUCAUGCGGCGGUUACGGAAAUGCCUCCGAUGAUUUACCAUCCCAGAUCCGGGACAACUUUUCAAAGCUUGACGUGUCGCAAAGCUGGCCCGUGUUGGGCGCCCGGGUCCAGCUCGUGUAUGGAGGUGGGGGUCAGGCGUUGCAACGUUCACGUUCGAUGGGCUCUCCCUGAACGGGACCACUCAAAAUUUUUCAUAUAAUAGUGUGACACUUAUUAUUAGAUCUCGUAAAUAACAACAACAACAAUAAUAAUAAUACUAAUAACAAUCAUUCGCAAGUAAAAUCCACUUCUCAAAGCACCCAUUUUCACCCCCUCGUGCUAUUGUAAAAUAUGAAAACACAUAUUAGCUAGAUAAUCUGUCUGGUCACGCUGUAAAAUAUCGUAUUGCUAACUAGGUAUUAUAUAAAUAGUUAUUCUAUAGCAAGAGCAAAAAUACUAAAUAAAAGAAUCCAUUUUCGGACUUCUGAAUCUCAUUUCUCACAUUGGCUGUAAUAAAAAAAAAUAUAUAUAUAUAUAUAUACAUAAAAACACUUGGCUGUGCUGUUUGUUAAAAUGUUUUGAGAUUGAAAGUAGCUGUUUCUAAAAGUAAAAAAUAAAAGCUGAAUACGCACACGUGAAAGAGGGUGAUUCUUAAAUUAGGAUGAUUCUUAAAUUGGUUUAUGUACAAUUGUACAAAUGUGAACGAACGACUGAAAUAUUUUUUUUUUUUUCGGUUUUGUUAUUUAUUUUUUCCUUUUGCUAUAAGAUGUGAUAACUGAUAAGUCACCUCAGGAAAGAAAAAUAAUAAAAAGAAUGAUUAGAAAGGACAUGGUUUGUUAAUAAGGGGUACGUGGCACGUGUGCAUGGGCUCUUCUAAUUAAUAAGUGUCUCUGCUGGAACUUUGGUGAAACGGAUCCUCUACAAUCGAGGUUGUAGAUUUUGCUGCAACCUCAUAAUUAAUUAAGCAACUAUUUAUGUUCAAUUUGUUUAUUCAUAGAUUAAUUUGGUUGAGUUAUAUUAUUUCAUUUAUAUACUUAAUUAAUGAAUUGGGCCUAAACUAAAAGAUUAAUUUGGCAUGACUACUUGUAGAUGAAAGCUUGAGAUGCAAAUUGUCAUUUUUAAAAUAUCAGAGCUACGAAUUAUCCUAAAGAGUGUAUUUUUGUAUUUCAAUAUCAAAAUAGAUGUGAUGACGCAGUUUGUGUUUUCAGUCAUAGUGGCUUUACUUCAAAAGAAAAAAAAAAAAGGAAAAAAAAUACAAUGAGCGAUGAACGACUUAGAUUGAACUUUGAAAUUGUUAUAUAUCGAUAAUCAUGUACCUGAGCCAAACUCUUUUGGCCAUUUGGGAUCACUAUAUCUAUUGCAAAAUUUUAUUUUAUUUUUGAAAAAAACAGGUAAUGCUUAAUAUUGAAGAGAAUGUGUGCAUUAGUAAAUGUUAUACCUAACAUUUAGAACUACUUUAAUUUUAGUGUAGCUGCAUAUAUGUUGUUAGGAGUAAAUUAAGAAGGCAUAAAUCAAUACCCAUGCAUGGAUCUAGAACUAUACUUUUUAUAUUAGUUUGGAGUGGGACAGUUAAUUAUGCUCCCAUUAUUGAUCCAUUAUUAUUCGACAUUUCAUAAUUAAUAUAUAUAGUUUGAUUAAUGUCAGUACCAAAGUUUUUAUCUUGAUACAAAUCUUAACUAAACAUUAUUUAUUACCCUGAUGCUAUUUAAAGAAUGUUACAGUCAAAUUGCUUUAAUUAAGUGAACAGCAUAAUUGUUGAUGAAUUUAUUGUCCACCUUACUUUGGUAACUUAAAAUUUUAAAGAUAUACAAUUAUUUUACAUUAUUUUAUAUAGUAUAUAUCAUCCUAAAUUCGAGUAUCGCAAGGCUUCGUUAAUUUAGGGGCAAUUUUGUUAGAUAUAAUUGUAAAUAUAGUAAUAUUGAAUAUACAUAUAGUUGAAAAUGCAGCAAUUACAACUGCAACACCAUUUUUUUGGGUGAAUAUAGUAAAAAAAUAUUGCAACAAAAUAUAUUUUUUUUGAUUGUAUGCAGUUAAGAAAAUAUUUUAUCGCUAUAUAUAUAUGGUUGUGAUAUUACACUCAAUGUAGAAAAAAAAAAUUUUUGUUUAAAAACUAAUAAGGGAGGUAAACGUAGCUUUUAUUUUUUUCUGAUUGCUACGUAACUUAAUUUCAACAGAUAGUAAUUGAAUUAAAAUGUAUCAAAUUAAACACUAUAUUUGAAAAUAUAUGCAGUUGUAGCUGCAAUAUAAUUUCAACUACAUCCAAUCAAACAACCCUUUAAUAUCCUUCUAUUUAUUUGUUCCACAUUUUGAGCCUAUCAAACUAGCUAUCUCAAGCACAAAUAUGAUAGGGAGUAUUGAACGUGCUCCGGUAGCACAAGUUUUUAGAGAUAAGCGACUAUUUUACAUUAAUUCUUUACGAGAAAACAGAAAAUCUAUUAAUUAAGAAAAUAUUUGUAGAUAGAUAUUAACAUAUACAUAUAUAUGUAUAUAUUCUUUAAAAAAUAGGCUAAUCUGUGUGUCUUUUUCCCUUGCUAUAAAGUUUUUCCAAUUAUACAUAUUAUUGGAUUUUUUUUUUUCCAAUUUAUAUAGGAGGUGCUCACCAAAUCGCUUUCUCAAAGAGAAUUACAACCAUGCCUUGAACUAUGCCUUUUCUUAUCGAACUUGUACAAGUAAAUUAGAUUGAAAAUUAGAGGUGGUAAAUGGAAAAUUAAGUAGCAAGAGGGUGAUGAAGGUGACCUCUUCCAACCCUACAGUUGCAAUGUUGUGACAUGUAACUUGUUCUUGGUCGGUCCAUAGAAGGAUACCAACAAAAAGUAAUUUGGUUCCAUUAGAUUAAGCUACGUACAAUUCGAUUUAAUUCAAGUUUAUUGGAACACCUAACAAGUCCACUGGGGCCACAUUAAUUAAUUUUUGAGGCUUUUAUUACUAUUAUUAUUUUCAUGAUCUUGUGAUCUGCAUGCAUCAAACCACUUGUAAAUUAAGUAUCUCUUAAUUACCUUGUAGGAUUUAGCCAAUUCCCAACUCAACCAACUGGUUAAUUUUUAAAGGGCAAAGAUUGCAUGGGUAACCCCUGCAUGUUUGUGACCUCGCAACUUAGUGCUUGUUACGCGUGCACGCCAUAUCAUAUAUAAGGUACAGUGCUAUCUGAUGAAGUGCUACAUGGUUUUUUAAGGAAAAGUACUGCAUUAAAAUCUCACAAAACAGCAUUUAUAAGUUGAAAUUUCAUCUUGAAGCUCUUAGAUUUGAAUCUUUGAGUUUUACAUUUAUUUUCUUCCACAUUAGAAAUAGUAGUAGCUCAGAAUCAAAGGAGUACUCCUUAACUCCUUAAUAUUUUUUUGUAUAAACAAUUUAAUUUUGUAGCUUUUUAACAUCUCACAAUUACAUUAUUCCUAAUUCGUAAGUAUCUUAAAUGACAUUUUUUUGGGUUAAUUUUAUACAAGUCUCUACAAAUAUAGUGAACUGCAAAUAUAUCUUUACAAAGUUCAACUUUCAUAUGUUACCUCUGUAAAAAUUCUAAUAUUUUAAAUAUGUCUCUCUGAUUUGUUAUCGUUAAAAUACUGUCUAUUUUAUAAGUGAAAUAAUCUUUUUACCAUCACAAGUAUAUCCCUCUAAAAAUUUCAACUGUUAAUUGAAAAAGGGUAAAAAGGUUAAUUCAUCUCAUUAACUAACCAUGUUAAGUAUUUAACUCGUGGUUAACUAAAUAUUUCUGACGAAUUCUAAUGGCAAAGAUAUAUUUGAAAACAUCAGGACUUUUAUAGGGACAACCUAUGAAAGUUAAACUUUAUAGGGAUAUAUUUGCAAUUUACUAUAUUUGUAGGGAUCUGUAUGAAAUUAACCUCUUUUUUUAGAAAAAGUUAGCAUGCUGCCCAACUUUUAUAUUUUUUAAUAAUAAAUUUCGCUGAAAAUGAGAAGCAACUAAACUUCAAAGUUGGGACUUCAAAUACCAAUCAUUAAAUUCUUUGUCACCUACGAUAAGGACAGCCAAUCUAAAUUGGCAACUUUAACCCUACUAUACGAAACCUUUAUGUCACAGUAUAUGUUAGACUCUCAUAUAUACCAGGGUUAAAUUAUCACUUUGCACCAGGGUAAAAAAAAAGAGGCUUAAUGCAGAGUAUGUUACUAUCAGGCAUAAAGAUUAUUUGGAUGUCAGAACAAGAAAAUUUUCUUUUUUUUUUUGAGAGAGAUAGGUAGCAUGCUACCCGUUUCGUUUAUUUCAUUUAGAAAUAAAAUUCGCUAGAAAUGUGAAUCAACUAGGAUUCGAACUUGGGACCUCGAAUACUAACCAUCAAGCCCUUUGCCACUUGCUCUAAAAACGGUUGGUAGAAAAAGGCCAGAAUUAUAAUAACAAAACGUAAAAAGCUUAGAAACUAAAAUUAUUCAAGUGAAAUAAAUUCAAAAACUCAGUUUACAAUAUCACAAAAGGUACAUCAAUACUCUCUCAUAAAUGCACAUAGUUACUUGAUAGAUGACUUAAUUAGUAGACAAAGAAAGUGAGAGAAGUUUAGAAAAAUUAUUUAGGUGAAAGAAUAUUCAAGUGCUUAGUUUACAAUAUCACAAGAGGUACAUCAAUACUCUCAUAAUAAAUGCACAUUAUUUACUUGAUAGAUGACUUAAUUAGUAGACAAAGAAAGAGAGAGAAGUUUAGAAAAAUUAUUUAGGUGAAAGAAUAUUCAAGUGCUUAGUUUACAAUAUCACAAGAGGUACAUCAAUACUCUCAUAAAUGCACAUUAUUUACUUGAUAGAUGACUUAAUUAGUAGACAAAGAAAGGGGGGGGGUGGGGGGGUGUGGGGUGUGUGAGGAGAAAGUUCUUGAAGCUAAUCAUUCUGUUUCAUUCCAUAAAUUGGACCCAUGUUCUCCCACCCCAAUCAAAAAAAAAAAAGAAGAAAAAAUAAAAUAUCUCAACAAGGUUAUGGCUAUUAAGCAAUAAGGAAAAGAACAAGCAUUAUUAGGGCAUCUAAACAUAUCCAUGUCACAUGAUACCUAAGUUUAAUUAGGCAUGGGAGCCAACUGUGUUACCCCCCUCCAUGUUCCCAUCCUCUUUGGCCUACCCAUGUGAAAAAACCUUUUGCAGAUCCAACACUUUAUAACUCAGCCAUUGUUCCUUGAUUGGAAAAGUUAAAGUAAUAUUAUAUACAUGUUCUAUCAUUAUUAUUAUUCUUAUAUUCCUAGGGUAGAAACAUGUAUGGGAGACUCCCCUCAACUAUACCCUCUAAUCCUUUAUUAAUCGCCAACUUUUCUAUGUUAAAAACUUCAUUAAAUUUAGGCACUGUUUAAAAUGCAUGAAUAUAUAUAUAAUGUAUAUCUCUUUGGUUAUUUAAUAAGCAUUUAGCACUGAAAAAAUGAGAAAUACGAUCAAAUAUCUAGAAUGAAUACUAUAUUACUAUAUCAUACUUCAUAUUAUUUUUCCGGUAUAUGACAAUUUUUUUUAGUAUUGGUAAUGAAAAUUAAAAUUUUUUAAAGAAAAAAAAUUAAGUUUUUUUGCGCUCUCUUAUACUGACAUCCAAACAGUAUCUUAAUUAAUAUUAUACUCGGCCUUUAAAUUAAAUUCUAACUUUGCUUAAUAAAGGUACUCAAUUUUAGCUAAAAAUUUAAAAUCAAACAACAUGCCAAUAAAUUUUAUAUAUAUAUAUAUAUAUAUAUAUAUAAAAUUGAGCUUCUAUAAAAGUACUAAGUUAUUGGUGCUUAUAGAUUUUUGACUAUUGGAUUAAGAGAUGUGUGGCUAGGAUGAUGUGGGCCUCUUAAGGUUGAGUGGGUGGUUGGUUAAAUAGUAUAAUCUAACGGUUAAGAAUGAUAAAAACCGUAGAUCUAACGGUAAAAAAUUUACAGAUACUAAGUGCUUGGUGCUUUUACAAGCACCAUAACCGGACUCAUAGAUAUACACAUUGAGGGCCCAUUUCAAAAUUUACUAUAGUUGAGGUGGUAUCCAUACAUUUCUGUAUCUUAUUGUUAUCAUCUGCUUUAAUUGGGCAUCUACAAAGUCAUCUUUGGCUUGGCUUUUUAACAAUAGGAGAGAGAAUAUACUGUACCCGGAAAAAAAUAAAGUACUCCACCAUGUGAGUGUACAAAAGCUUUGCGUUACUAUUCAACUGUAGAUGCUUCGUAUAGGCAAAUUGCAUAACAUCAGUACAAUAAAUAAAUAAUACUUUGCUGUGGAAGCUAACGUGGGUGACAUCAGAGCCGUUGAAAAGGUGUGGCUUUUAGAAUCCUCUGAUCUAUAGCCAGAGAGGUAUAUAGGUUGCCAUUAUAUAUAUAUAUAUAUAUAUGUAUCCAUGGUACUGUUUGUUGUAUGAGUUUGUAUAUGGAGUAACUUUAUUGUAAUUGCCAUGUGCAAAUUAAUUAAUUAAUUAAUUAAAAAGAAAAUAAAAGAGGUGACUAAGUAUGAGAUGUUGCGUGUACGAGAUUUUGUUUUUUUUGAAAAAAUAAAUAGAUAAUUUUAGGCUGUUAAAUAAUCAAAUUUUAUGAAAUUCAACGUUAAUGUUAUUUAAUUUAAACUAUUAAUUAUUCUUUAGCAAAUAAAACAGUAAUAGUUAAUGACUAGCAGCUAAUAGGUAGAUUAAAUUUAAUAAAAUUCUUAAUUUAACUAACUAGAAAAUUUUAAAUGGAAAAAAAAUCUUUACUCUCAAAUCUUUUCCUUCCAACAACAUUAAAAAAAUAAAGAAAAAAAAGCGAUCGUAUUUAGUGUAGUUGAUUAAGGACUUGAUAGUUGGGAUACUUCAUUUAUUUUUCAAAAACAAAUAAAGUGAAUAAUAUGCUAUUUUUCUCUGAGAGUGUUGCCCUUCUUAUCUUUUCUUUUAAAUAGAGAAAAAAUUAUUUAGGCAAAAGCAAUCACAAAGUCUAAACAAAAGAGAGCGAUAAUUAUCGACCGUUCCUAGCGGAAGUGGCAAAGGGUUUAGUGGUUGAUACCCAAAAUACCAAGUUCGAAUUCUAGUUGAUUUAAAUUUUCAGUUAAAUUUAUUUCUAAAUGAAAUAAACGAAACGAAUAGCAUGCUACCUAUCUUUCUCUUAAAAAAAAAAAAAGAGAGCAAUAGUAGAUCGAGUUUCUUCACAUUCUUAGCUAAAUGUGUACGAUAGUAGAUCAAGUUUCUUCACAUUCUUAGCUAAAUGUGUACCAUAUCUCUCUCCCAAAAAGAAAACAAGAAAAGGGAAAAAAAAAGAAGAAAAAAAGGUACGCUUCUUGCCCUUUCUUUAAAUGGAGAAAAAGUUGUUUAGGUAAAGAAAUAAAUAAGCAGAGGAAUCACAAAAUAUGAACAAAAGAGAGUGAUAAAUUUUAUAGAAUGGUGAUGAUUAUCCUACAGAUCAAGUUACUGUUGCAGCAUCUCUUUCUAUUGCUGUUUAGUUACAUUUCGAUUUAUGUUGAUCCAAAAUAGGGGUGAGCAUCGCCAGGUUCUCCUUUUAAAUAACCGAACCGAACUGAACCGAACCGAAAAGUUUGGCCGGGUCUGCCCGGUUUAUUUAGUUUUGAUAAAAUAUUUUUAUUUAAUUUAAGUCUUUUUAAACUACUAAAACUAAAAUAUAAUCGUGAUUAAUUUUAUGUUAACAAUUAUUAACCUAAGAUGAUAAUAAUUAAGUAUCUCUAAUUAUUUUAAUUAAUUUUAGUUCAUUCGAUUUAUUCGGUUUUUCUUAUUCUUUACUUUUUAGAAUCNAAGUAUGUUUACUGUUCAUCGGCAGCGAAAUGCAAUGAAAAUUGGCUCUUUGGAUGCGACGGUCUUCGCGAGCCUAAAAGAAAAUUCAGGGGUCACGUAUGGAUGAUGCAUCUUUUAUUUAAUUAUGUUGUUAAUUAAAUAUAGGAGCAAAAAGAAAAGGUGGAAAAAUUGAUAAAAGAAAGGAAGAUAAACGCAAACUUUGGAAUAUACAGUGGGUUUUUUUUUUUAUCUUUUAGUAUAAAACAUUUACUACUUUUAUAAUUUUAUAAAAUAAGACCCCUUUUUUGAUUUUUCUAAAUUUUUUAAUUUUUUGACUAAAAUAUUUUAAUUCUCUUUCUCCUAGCUUUUUUUUCUCCUCCCUUUUUCUCUCAAUCCUCUUCCACCGUCUCCACAUCGCCUAUCUCAUCUCGCACACGAACGAAAGGACAAUAAGGAAGUUUGACUCAUUUGUGGCCGUGGUCAUUCUCGGCGUUCUAUGACAAGACCGUCGCGGUAAAGACGAGGAUGGCGUUACUCGGAGUAUCGCCGGAGAUGAAAACGGAGGUGGCGGAGGAGAAGGGCAAUGACAGCCAAUCAAGAAUGUUACUGUACAUCAAUGAAUAAAGCAGGUAGCGUGCUACCUAUUUUCAAAAAAAAAUGCUACUGAACAAGUUCACGGGCGGGUUCGCAAACAUGGUCAUAAUGGCGAAGUGGUGGUAACGGUGAUAGAGAAAAUUUUGGCAGGCGAUACGAUAUUAUACUAUUUAAAAAAGAUGCACUAUUCAAACAUAUUUUGCACUAUUUGAUAUAUAUUUUAAACUGUAAAAUAGUGCAAUUUUUUUGGCUAAAUAGUAUAACUUUUUAAUAAAUAAUGCAAUAGCACCGUCUAUCAGAUUUUUAAAAUUCUUGGCUAAAUUAUUAAAAAUAUCCCUAUCAAGAAUCACUUUUUCACUUUUCCUCCCUGACUUUAAAAAUCUACCUUUAACCCUCUCAAAAAUUAAAAAAAUAUUCACAAGGGUUAUAGUAUUAAUUGUAAUAAUUUAAUGAUCACCAAAUUGUCCUCUCUCUCAUUGUCUCCUUGCCACCCCCUCUUCAUAGGGAUGUCAAUAGGUAUGCAUAUCCGAAAUUUUAUCCGAAUCCGAAUCCGAAUGAAACGGAUAUAUCCAAUGGAUUCGGAUAUGGGUAUAAAAAAAAAACCCGACGGAUAUGGAUUUUGAUUGUACCCGAUCCGAACCCGAAUUUAUUUUAUUUUAUAUAUAUAUAUAUAUAUAUAUAUAUAUAUAUAUAUAUAUAUAUAUAUAUAAAUUUAAUGUUAUAUUUGAAUUUGUAUUUUAAAAAUUUAGAUUUAAUAUAAUAUAUUUUGAAAUAUUGAAAAAAGAAAUAAUUAUUUCGGGUUCAAAUUAUCGGGUUUGGGUUUGGGUUUGGGUUUCCAAUUUUUGGUCAGGUUCGGAUUUGGAUAUGGAUUUUUAAAAUCCGUCGGGUUCGAGUCUCGGGUUUGGAGUCGGGUUCGGGUUCGGAUUUUGUAAAAUCCGCCCCGAAUCCGACCCGUUGACAUCUCUACUUCUUCAUCCACUGACUCUCCGCUGAGCUCCAUCCUUCGACCCGGCGUGCUCCGCCGACCCAGCGUGCCUUUUCCUCCUGCUCUCCCAGUGGAAGACCUUGGACGGCGUGUAGUGUGAGUGGGCCGAGAAAAGCGACGAUAGUGGAAAGGAGGUCAAGGUGGGUGCGAACAGAGAAGGGGGCAAGGGUGAGGCAGCAGAGAAGGGUGAGGGCAUGGCCGUGGGCAGGGGACUUGAGCUUGCCACAGAGGGAGGAGAGUAGCGAGGCGGCGCGGCCAAGGAUGUCGGUGAGGCGGGAGGCGGUACGGCUGAGAGAGGGUUCUAAGGGUAUUUUGGAUAUAAAAAAAUAUAAAAUAAUAGAAUAUAGACGGAAUUCUGAUAGAACGCUGAUGUCAGGUGCCAAAUUGAACAUUUCUUAUUUUUUUAGGGGGUAAAAUAUAGAUUUUUAAAAGUCGGAAAAAGAAAGUAAAAUAGCAGAUAUUGACAGGAGGUUUUUUGUAAUUUAGCUUUUUAAUAAACAAUGCAAUAGCAUCGUCUAUCAAAAUUUUUUUUUUCUCUCACUGCCGCCACUACCUUGUAGCCGCCAAUUGUGCUCACGGCAGACAUGCUUCAGAAGCAUUUUUUUGACCAGCGAUCAUUACCCUCCUCUUCUACCACCUUUGUUUCCGUCUCUGGCAAAGCGCUGAGAGGCCACAAUGACGAGCCAGUCAAGUUCACCGUGUUCCUCUUGCUCGUGAGGUGUUCAUGACGUGAACGCGGCGAAGAAGUUUGUGUCAAGGCAAAGGAGGUGGAUAAACGCUCGAGACUGUCGGUGGCGGUGAAAAUAUCAUUCGCGAGGUGAGGGAGUGAUGGGGUAUUUAACUGACACGAGUAUUUUGGCCAAUUUUUAAAAAUUUUGACCAAAAUCUGUAAAAACGAAAAAUGUUGUCCACUUUGCAAUAAUGCAAAACUAGUGAAUUUCUUUUUUUUUUUUUGGCCAAAAAAGCUUUUGUUUUUGUAAUAUUAGCUUGUUUUCAUGUAACUUUCAAAUUUAUGAUAUUAUUAACAAACUUUCGUGGUUUCUAAAAUCGUAGAAAGCCAAAUAAUAAUUCCGUUUCAAAUAGAAAAAGCUUCAGAUGGAGAGGUACCCCUACCAUUACAACCAAAAAAUUUUAAGCAAACACUUUCAAACUAAAUUUAUUUAAAUAGGAUUUUUAUAGAUCUAACAGAGUACUAGAACUGUCGUAGAAAGUACAAUAAUAAUAUAAAAAAAUGAUUACUUAUAUACUCCUGAAAAGUUUCUGACUUUCUGAUUUAUUUUUUUUAGAAGGUUAAUAUUGAAAAUAUUAUUUUUACGUUCCAAUCUAGCUAUUCAAAUAUAUCCAUAAAGUUAAAUUCUGUUAAUGAAUUGUUAGCAAUAGCUGUUAUCUCUAUAAAAUUUUUAUUUUUUUUCUUUCAAAUAUAUCCUUCUAUCAUCACCAAUUUUUUUUUAUUUGCGCCAAAAAAUAUUUUAAUUAUUUGUCUUUCCAAAUAUACCCUUCUAUCAUCACCAACAUUUCUUAUUUGCUCUUAAGUUAAGGACAAAAAAAGUAUUUUAAUUUUUUUUUAACUAUGUUAGAUAUUUAACUCACAUUUAACCCAAAUUAAUUUAACGGGUGAUAACUGUAUGAAUAUUUUAAAAUAAUGGAGGAAUAUAUAAAGGGUAUAUUAGAAAGAAAAAAAUAGUAGGAAUAAAUAAAAUAUUUUUAAAAUUUUGAGAGGUAUAUAGAUAAUUAUUUCAAAAAAAAAAAAAGAGAUAUAGGCUGAUUUUUUUUAUCUCCUUUUUGUUCUGAAAUAUUCUUGUUUGGUUCUUCUUUACUAGGUUGCGUUUGUUCUGAUAUAUUUAUUUAUUUUUUGUUUAAUUUAAACUGUAAUUUCAUCUUUAAUUGAAACUUAAACUCUUCAAAAUAAUAUAAUUGACUUUGGCCCGUUCUAGGCCAAAGCCAAUUACAAAAAAAAUAUAUAAAAAAAUAUAAACUCAUCUAUCACAUUUUCAAUUCUUACAGCAUUCACCUUCUGUCAAAUAAAUAGUACAACUAAAAAGAAAAGUUUAGUUCCACAACAAUAUCAACAAAUACCAAAAAAUAAUAAUAUUAAUAUUUUUUUUCCGAGAGGGAUGAUUUAUGUAAAUAUUUCUAGAAAUGCAGUACCUGAAAGAAAACGAUGUAUGUAUGGUAUAACCUCUUUUAUAUUAGUUACUUUAUUUUCUGCUGCGAUACCUAUAACAACUGUAGUGGAUAUUAAUUUAUAUGUGUGUACACAGAAUUUUCUAUAUACACGGCAGAUUUGUUGGUGAGCUCUAACUCCGUUCUAACUGGGGAUGUGACUGAAACUUUCAUUCAUCAAUAUAUAUAUAUAUAUAUAUAUAUAUAUAUAUAGGGUCCAGCUAUUAUACUAUUACGAGUACGAUCGUCCUCGUACUCAUAAGUUGUUUUUGAUGAUAGAGCUUCCGAAUCGACGAUCCAUACCGUUAAAUAUUAUUUACAGCAUUUAAAACUUUUAGAAAUCAAAUUUUAUAAUUUUUCGAUAUCAUUUACCUUACAAUCAAUCAAAAGGUCACAAAUUUGACAAUUUUUAACGGCCGGUAUGGAAUACUUGCUAGUUUAACGGUGUAAAAGAAUCGAAAUUUAUUGAAUUUUUGAUAGAAAAUUCUAUUCACUAUAUAGAUAAAGAUUAAUAACUCCGAUCUUGAAUUAAAGGAUCCGAUCAUACUUUUCUAGGACGUUGUUCGAUUUUGACCGUUCAUUUUAUGUCCGCUUGAUAGACUUUAUUAUGAUUUCAAAAAUUUACGAAAUUUAUUUUCUACAAGUUUCNGGAUUGUCGAUUCGGAAGCUCCAUCAUUGAAAACAACUUAUGAGUACGAGGACUCCAAUACUCAUAAUAGUAUAGUAGCCAUGGUAUAUAUAUAUAUAUAUAUAUAUAUAUAUAUAUAAACUAAAUUUUAGGUUCGGUUAAUAUAUAAAACAUGCGCUUGGAUGGUAACGUUGCUGUCGAUGCCUUGAAUUAUUUGACUCAACUCUCCGAGCCACCGACUACAUGCAUGGUUGAGUGACGCGGGAUCCAAACGUGACGUGUCCACUCAUUCGACCAAUCAUUGUGCGACUUGAGCGCAUUCAGAUUUUGGAGUGUCAUUCGAUUAAAACAUUUCGCAUUAAUUGCUGAAAGCGAAGGUCACACAGCUUACAACGACUCCGAAGCCCAUCUUAUAAGGAAAGAGGAAAGUGAUAUUACCGUAGCCAAAUUUGUAAGGGUUACGCCCAUUCAUUAAAUUCCAGCAAAUUUAGUCGGUAAAUAAUAGUUGGAUUUAGCGAUCGUUUAGCUAGAUGUAUAUAUUUCUUAUUUAAUUAAUUAGAUGCAGCAAAAGUGCUACAAUUACUUUCGUUAGUUGAAACUACAGAUAAUUUUCUUUCGUAACAAAUCAAAUGCCGUAUUGAGGUUCAGUUAUAAUUAUAUAUAAUAAUCAAAUAGUUUCUUAAUGAACCUAUCUACAAAUAUCGAAUUAGCUUUGCUAAUAACAUUAGCUUUCUAUAACAUGCAAUAUAUUGAUUACAAUUGCGGCUCGUUUUUGUAUGCCGAUCAAAUUUCGAGAGGCAUAGGAUGAAAGGAGAAUCGGUGAUAUGACACAAGCAGAAGUGGAAGCGCACCUAUUUGGAUGUGAAAAUAAAUUAUUCAGUAAGAACUUACGUAUUCAUAAUCAUUUAAUGCUCUAUCUAAUGUACCUAGUGUCCGUCUAGUAUAAAUUUUCGGACAUUUACUCGGAAUAGUAAAGUUAAUUCUUGUCGCUUUUUUAUUUUUCUAAUAUAAACAAAAAUUUUGAUUAGACAUGCUUAUCGAUGAAUUAUUUAUUUGUAUUAUUAAUUGUUGGUUAGCUUGUAAUGCAACCCGUCAGAUGAAACUGGAAAUUUACUAGUGAAAGAACAAAAAGAGAAAGAAAAGAGUUACUCUUCAUAUACAGAAUCUACAGUCCCCAUGCUUUAAUUUCCAUGUUGUGAAGCUUCUGCAUUGGACUCUACUACUUGCUGGGAUGCGUGAGAGUUCACACUUUUUCGCUCAUCUUAAUUCCUUUCCUAAGCAUCACGUUUUCGCCGACAUAUACCAUGUAGAAAUUUCUAUAAGGAAUUAUCGACACCUUGGGUGCAUGUAAAAGUCGAAUUAUCCACUACAAAUUCAAUGUAAGACGAGUUCCGGGACAAGCAGUGUGUGCAGCAAUUUGCUCUUCCUACAAUUAAAGGCAUUAACAGGUCGAUUUCGGCCAUUUAUGUUCCUGACCAAACCUAUGUUGUCUGGUUGGCGAUUUCAGCAAAUGAGCUGGGCCCUAAUCUCACAUCCGAAUCGCAAUCUGAUAGAAACCAAGUUCAAUUUUUCGAUUCGGGGUUCGCAUCGGGUCGAUGAAUUACGGGGGGGAGCUCGGGAUAAGAUCAUGUAUCUACGACCCUCACUAUUUGUUCCCUAUCCAUCCCCACAAUUGACACACUGCGAAAUCCGAAUCCCGCAGGGAAUUAAUACCCACUCAUUCCAAUAAAGAAGGAAUGUGAGCAUGUCUAUUUCAACUGGCACUAACCACACACACAUACCCACCUCCCCCCCCCCCCCCCNCCCCCCCCCCCCCUCGCCUACAAAUUGGUUGCAACUGCCAACCUUCACAUAAAGCAUGAUGUUUAUUGCAGUUGCUGCUGCUCCCUCGCUCCGCUUCAUUAAUGCUGCGCCCAUCUCAGCAUUACCCAUUUCCUUCCGGCAACAAUGUUAACUAUAUUCAAUGUAUCUGAUCUGUCAAUAUAUUUUUAACUUUGAAGUAAUUUAUCCUUACACGAAAUAACGUCGGACCAUUCUGAAUAGUAACUUGUAAAUUUUCAGCGAGAUCUACGGAAUAAAACUAGUGUGGUCCAGAAUUUGAUUACCCACCAAGCACUUAAAACUGCUGGUGCUCCAGUUGAUCUCCUACUGCCAAAGUAAAAGAGACAUGGGCUACAUGCAACUGUAAAAUGGAUGGGCAGGAAAUGGACAGAUUGCGAACCUUGAAAAUUAUGACCCUGCGAAGAGAUCGGCUCAUCAAUGCAUACCUCUCCGCACCUUCGAAGUACAAUAACCAAAGUCCGUAAGGCCCAGUGCAUCAAAUAAGGGGAAUGAUUAGGUGGUAAAGAAUAGGAUCUUAACAAUAUGAGGGAUUGAAUCUCAGUAACAAUAGAAAUGAUAUAAAAAACAUAUUAUUAUAAAUAAACCUGCUAAAUGGACAAAGUAUAAAGCCCUUUUCUUCAGCUAACAGUUAAAAGUUUAUUUUUAUAGCUCAUCGGUAAAUACGAUCCGAAUUGCAUUGAAUGAGACUUCAAGAAAUUCGGGUGAGGAGGGGCCAACAAAAUCAGCAAAUUGGAGUGAUGAUUACAUUGCACAACUACUACAAGAAGUACAACAAUCACAAAUUGGACAGCAAGCAACAGGAAAGUCCUUGCGAACUAGAAACUGAAUUGUCGUAGGCGUUAAACGAAUAAACGACAAGCUAACAUGGCUGAAAUAAGGAAUCCAUGAAUGACAGAAAAGAUGGUUUCAAAGUUUUCGCAGGUGAGGGGCAGUAAACUAUAACAAUCGUUGUUCGGAUAGUUAUGGAGUAGUUUAUAAUGGUUAUAUUUGUGAUGAAUAGUGAUCUUAAUAGAAUCAAACACAAAUGCAAUGCUCACUACUACAAAGAAUCAAAAGAAAAGAUAAAAGAACAGGAUCAAAAUAUUAUUCGAACAACCAUUUUUACACCUUUCCGUGCUGGUAUUGAACAAUAUUUUGUGAUUACCCGAGUGCAAGCUGAAAUGAGUAAUAAAUGACUUCGGAGCUGUUGUCAGUUUCCAGAAAGCAACCUCAAUGACACCAAUGUAGCCAGAGGUCUAAUCCGAAAAUGAACAUUGUCGAACCCUCUUUAUUGCAGCUUCAAACACAGGGCAUCUUCUUAUUUCUGAACUUAUAUAAGCAUCAGAUAGAGUACAGAACUCUUUCCCAUCAACCGAUAAUUGUAAUAACUAAUCACGAGAAAGCUUAGGAGUUCAUUUAGAACCGAACAAAUUUCAAUUCGGCCAAAAUUCCGCAUGACGUAACAUAGAAAAGAUAUUAUUUUUGUCAGACCCUUUUUGCAUUUGAUGUGGUGUUUAAGACUCAGCUGAUUAUAACGGAAUAGCAGAGUGAUCUUAGCCUCUCAGUGGGUUGACUCCAAAGCUCAGACCUAUAAUAAGACACAUGACAAGGACUAGCGAAGAAUCACUCAAUCAGUUGGAACAUACUUAUCAACAAAUCUAGAUAACUAUAAAGCAAGAUGUGAAAUUAUAACAAGAUCCAAUCAGCUGAAUAUCACCCUUCGAUUUUAUAUAUUCAGUAAUUUUCUACAUUUCCUUGUUGAUGUUCCUUGUAAUUUAUAUAUUACUUGAUUUUGAUAUUAGUAUAACGAAGAUUUAAUUAAUAUGAGGAACAAAAAAAGCAUAAAAGGGGAAGAAGUGGUUGAACUGUAUUCUAUGGAAAUUUUCCGCGCUGUUUGAGACAACAAAAAAGUUAAAGAGUUUCAGGACAACAAUAUUUCCGCGGCAAUGUUGAACAGCGAGGAAUCGAUAUGCUGAAGAAAUAAACUCAUGUAACGCAAUAAUGUUACGACGAAUGAUUGGGGUAAGUACUUGAAAAAAAAAAAAACGAAAUUCAUUUGAGGCCUGGUUUCAAAUUAUCCAAGCUAACAUAACAUGAAUUUUCUGCCAAAACUUUCCAACACUUUCCAACCUACUGGAAACUCCUUUGCAAAGGCUGUCGACUUUCAUGAACGCAUGUAAUUCAACCAAGAAAGAUGCUUGGUUUAAUUACUCCCAGAGAACUUCGCUGAAAAAGUUCAAUAAUUGGCAAAUUCGAAGAACCACAUGAGACAAGAAUUGAGGAGCCAUUACUAUCAAAGUGUGGUGCUAUAGAUAUGGAAGUGUUGAAAGGCUAGAGGCGUAAGCGUGUCGACGAAGUAAGUCAAUGAAAAGGAUUUGUAUCUGAAUUGCUUGUAUCCUAAGCUAGAAUUACACGAAAAGUUGCUUGAGAUGAAGUUAAAGAGAAUGAAAUAAGGAUUGACAGUACAGAUAGGACCAGAAAAGUAAGAAACUGCAGAAAAAUAAGAAACUCAAAAUGCUGUAUUCGCAAGGCUGAAAACUAACUAAAAUAGUGAACUGUUACUUUAGAAUUACUUUUAACUCCAAGGAACGGUUUGAUCAUUUAAGUGUAACUGGGCCUCUGUCACUCUACGGCCUAAAGUUACUGAUGUAUCAUUUUAUUGCAUUAUUUUUGUGUGCAAGGUAAGGUGAUAGAGCAAAAUACCAGGUAAUCUAAUAGCAUCAUUCUUCUAUUCUGGGAGGGGGAAAAAAAAUUCAAACAUCUGAUAAUCUUACGAGCAUAAUAUCAAUUAUGAUUGAAACUUCACGAGAUUUUCUUUUUCUACACUUGUCGCUGUUAAUUUUGUAAACCUAUUCAUUGAUUUAUGGGAAAACUUCAAAUACCCCACUUGUUGUUUCACUUUUUUUCACUUUAGUAUCCUGUGGUUUAAAAUGUAUCAAGUUAGUACCAUGAGGUUUUUCACUUUAUCACUUUAGUAUUCUGUGGUUUAAAGUGUAUCAAGUUAGUACCUUAUGGUUUCGCACUUUAUCACUUUAGUAUCCUGUCGUUUCGCACUUUAUCAGUUUAGUACCGUGUGGUUUAAAAACCACAGGGUACUAACUUGAUACAAAAAUAAAACCACAGAGUACUAACUUGAUACGUUUUAAAUCAUAUGGUACUAAAGUGAUAAAGUGAGAAAUCACAGGGUACUAACUUGAUACACUUUAAACCAUAGGGUACUAAAAUAAAAAAAUACAAAACCACGGGAGGGGUUUUUGAAGUUUUCCCUUGAUUUAUAAUCUCAUGAUUGAUAUUUUCGAAGUUCCAACAAGCAAGGAUUGUUGUGCCAGGCGACAAGACGCGCUAAUUUGUGUCAACACGUAUAAGAGGCUUCAAAGGGGUGACUAAAACCAUCCCAAGGCAUAGAACAAAUCAGAGAACGAGGGUUUGUUGCGACAAAUUAAAACAUGCUUUUUUCAAGCACCUAGAGAUACAGAAAAGCUAAAUGCAAAUAUGUGCACGCAAGGGCGCGCGUGUUCGUCAAAUCCAUCAAUUACACGAGCCACAAUAGUUAAAAAGGUGGUCACGUUAACAACAUUUUAGUUACUUACGACGAAUACACACGCAAUAACUGAAACCGAUCAGAAUCAUUCUAAGAAAAAUAUGUACAGUACAUACAAAUAUGUUAUUGUCUUCAUACAUAGGAUACUGUAGGUCACUGUGACCAGCGAAGACGAGGAGCAGCAGGUGUCGUAUCAUUAUUAACUCCUACAUGAGUACAUGACAAAGCAGGGCAAAAAAUUAAAUAACUCAUGAUGCUUAGCUAAAGAGGACGGUUCCCUUAUAAUUCCUUGCAAUUACACAAAAACCAUCCAAUUUGUCUAGCAUUAACUUGAAAAGCGACGAUUAUUUAGUGCUUGAUUUGGAAAUAAAAAAAUUUGUCCAAAAAAAGUAAGCCUAGAUGCUGAUAUCGCUAUAAUAAAUAUUGCAUUUAAGGACACCUUAAAUAAUAUCUAAUGACGUUUUAAAGCGUGGACAAGAAUAAUUCCGAUGCUUGUAAAAACAUCGAAUAAAGUGUCGUUAAGUAAAAUAAACAUAUCGGGAUAAAUAUACUGACGCUUUAAUAUUGCGUCGGAAAAUUUUUAUCAGCUUUUGAUAAAAAUAUAUUUUAUUGGUGACGUUUAAUUAUCGUGUCGGUAUAUGUCAAAUAUUGAAGACAUUAAAAUAAAGCGUCAUUUAAAAAGUACCGUUUAAAAUAUAUUUUGUUAGAGUGUAUGAGCCACCAUUUUGCUCUUGCUUCGGAAAGAAUCAGAAGCUAAUCCAAAAAGAUUCUCGUUUAAUAAGAGUAUAUACGGAUAUACCUCGCACACAAUUUGGGUUUGGGAAGGGGAUGUUGCCACAAGGAGAAUAAAUCCGGGAUUUUAUUAUUCAACCCGACCCGGCCCGGUCCAGUCCAGUUGGCCCAUUCAGUUUAGGUUCGAGCUCGAGUUCUCAAAUAUGUAUCUUCGAACCGGGCCGGUUUAAAACCAAAUAUUUGUAGGCACUUUUGUCGCCUUUUACUCAGUACAAGCGGAAGCACCAAUUUAAUUAUUUCUGGAGUCUUCUCUAUCACAGUUAUUUUAUAUAAUAAUUAUAUAAAACAUUUCUCUUGAUCAUAUCGUUUGGCAUCUAGCAUGGCAUAACGAGAUUGAUUUGAAAUUAUACAAGCAUAGAAAACUUCAACCGAAUUUCUUUCGAGCCUUCUUAAGAUUCGGACUCGUUUGUUUCGGCCAAUCUCCAACGCAAAACUUAGUUGAUUAAGAAGAUGUGAGAUCGUAGUUUGCAUAAAAGUUAAUUAGUGCAGUGCUUCCGCGAAAUUCAGCCACUAAACACGCUCUUUAGUUACUGAUCCAACGGCUAAGCUCUUAAAUCAGUGAUGCUUCUAAAGAUGCACUCCGACCUGAUUACCCGAUCAAGUUCCUGUCUCGGACCCAAUCUAAACUUGAUCUGGACCCAAGGACCCACCAUCCGUGUCUACGUUUAGUUUAAUUUUAUUGGAUCAGUACUUACUACAAAUCCUUCAAUUAAAUGUAUAUUCAUAUAUUCUUAUACAUGACAUUCAGAUCUUUUUUUCUAUAAAUCAUAAGGUAAAAAUGUAUAGAACUAAUCUAAGCUAUGGACCAUCUUGUAUUGACUAUCCAAUCUUUUAAAAUUUUAAUUUUACUAUCCAAUCUUUCUUUCUUUUUUUUUUUAUUUGAGUCGGUCCACGACACUUUAACUUGAAAAUUUCAAUGCAUUGUUUAUAUUUAUAGGUUUAGUUAGUAUACUUCAACAAAUUUCGCAACUAUAAGUUUAUUAAAAGAAAUAAUUAGCUUAAAUUUUAAAGUUAAAAUGUAAUUCACUAACUCAAAUCAAAAAUUGAAAGAUUAAGACUUAGUUUGGUAUUGAAAUCUAUCUAACGCUAUUAAAUAAAAUGGAGUUGAGGAAAAGGCAUAUAGGGAUAUGCUUCUGCGUUCUUCGGUAGGACCGCAAAAAAUAUAUCGUAACUGACUCAUCGCGAUAUGCGGAACGCAAUAUUACGUACGGAAACAAAUAGGGUAUUUUUUUAUCGUCCACACGUAACGCAAUCUCUCCGCAAUCCCAAACGAAGUCUAAAUAGUCGAUUCAAAAUGAUACGAAGUCCAUGUAAGUUCUAUACGUUUUUAUCUAAUAGUAAUAUUUAAUAUUCUCAUCUAUAUCUAUACCUAUGCAUUAUUUCUUAUAAAAUUUGCAUAGUUCCUCCUUCAUCCUUGCCUUGUCCUAUCUUCCCACUCCCUGAUACUUCGCCUUGCCACCCUCCAUCUCUUUUCAAUACUUUGUCUUCCCAUUCGUCAACUUUCUAAUUAAUGUAUUCACGUGAUUUAUUGUCAUCUAAACAAAUUGAUUUCAUAAAAAAAAAAAAGAAGAAGAUAUCUUUAUACUCUAUUUUUUAUAUUAUUUGUAUUUAUUGAUGUCUCAUUACAAGUCAAAAAAUUUUAAAAUUUUUACUUUAUUAAUCUUCUAUCUUUUAUAGUAUUUACCCAGCACAAUACGCAAGUAAUUUUACUAGUAUUAAUUAUUAGACUUAAAUUUAAGUGGUUCUGAUUCCGUCUCAACCAGUUUUAUACUUUUAUUUCUAUUUAAAUUUUUGGAUUUGCUAACUCCAAAACAAAUCCACUACACAAACCAACAAUUAUCACUGCAUCGAACUUCCUCGUGGAGCUCUUGUGCUCCUGAAGCCACUUCCCCCCUCAAAAAGUGCGUACUUUUGUUUUAUUAACUUUUUUUUUUUCAUGUAGCCAAAGUUCAAACUUCAAAGCCCAUUUUAGCCCCAUGCACAACACCUCGACAUUUAUCACAGUUCGUACCGUACGUCCCAAAAGGCUCCUUUUAAAUAAAUAAAUAACUCCGUGCUCUCUCUCUCUCUCUCCUCUCUCUCUCCUCUCUCUCUCUCUCUCUCUGCACCAUCUUCAACAACUGCAGCAGCUUUACCUUCGCCACGCCAAGAGACGAGAGAGUUAUUUACUUCAAGGGAAAUGCACGCUUUCAAUUUUUUAAAAUAAUAAUAUCUACGUCUGUUAUUUAGUACUACAAAGGUAAAAACAUAUAAAACUUACAUACUGGAGCUGUUUAUUAUUUUGAAUCUUUGACUCAAUUAUAUGACUAACUGCUUAAACUUUUAAUUUUAGUAACAAAUCUUUCAGUUUAUUUAAGUCAUUCGAUGGUUCUUUUAGUCUAAAACUUUAGUAAAAGGGUUAAUUGCAUACAAUUUCUUGUAAAUAUAGAGAAUUGUAGAUAUAUUCAUAUAUAUAAGUUCAACUUUCUUAUGUUAUUUCUACAAAAGUUGUAAUGUCUUCAAAUAUAUUUCUGCCGUUAGUAUUCGUUGAAAAAUUUUGGUUAAAAUACUUAAUCGUGGUUAGUCAAUGAGGUAAAUUAAUAUUUUUAUCCUUCUUAUAUUAUACCUUCUUCUUUCAAUCAAAAUCCUACCAACGAAAACUCUUCUUCUUCUUCCUCUUCCUCUCUCUCCUUCACGCUAGUUUUGAACCUGUAACUAGAAUUCCUCCGUCCCCAUUUAUCCACGACGCGUAUUGUUUCACCCAUGUCGAAUGUAUGUUGCUUUUCCCUUCAAUUUUUUCUAUGAUUUUUCUUAUUUUGCUCAAAAGAAAAGGUUUAGAAAAAAAAAGAGUGAGAGAAGAGAUUACAACAAUGGUGGAUUGAGUUGGAUUUUAAAGAAAAAAAAGAUGAUCAUUGAAAUUUUUUUGGAGGGAUAUCUCUGCAUGAUUAUAGCAAUUGGGGCUUUUGGAGGUAUAUAUUUGUGAUGGCAAAAUUGACAUUUCACUUAUUUAUUAUUAAAAAAUAAAUAAUUUUCUAACAGUAACAAAAUAGAGGGACAAAUAUGAAUACUAAUGGACUUUUGAAGGGAUAGCAUAAAAAAAAUAAACUUUAUAAGAAUAUUUUUAUAAUUCACUAUAUUUAAGGGAGUUGUAUGCAAUUAAACCUUAAUAAAAUUACAACUAUAUAUAUGAAUUACAUAAAAUAUAGAAACUAAUUAAGCCUGUAAAGAUAAUUGACGCAUUUAAAUUUUAAAAGUAAAAAGUUGUUAACCAGUUCAAACCAAAUAAAUUAAAAAAAAAAAAUUAGAUAGUAAAAUAAAAAAAAUUUACAGUUAGGUGGCUUAUCUUAUCAAAAUGAAUAAUAGUUAAGAUAGUUCUCAAUGCAUUUUUAUCAAUUACCAGUAUAUGGUGAUAAAUGCUUGUGGUAUUCUUAAACGAACAAAAAUUUUAUGGGCACAGUCCCCAAACUAAUUAGUUUGGGGACUAUGCGGAUCGGCGCCACGUGGCCGAUCCGACAACCAUGGAUCUCAGUUGUUUUUUCUCUCUUUCUCUCUCUAAAAACAUAGGAUUUUUUUUUUGUCUUUCCAUCUGUGGCUGUCGAAUCGGCCACGUGGCGCUGAUCCGCAUAAUCCUCAAACUAUUAGUUUGGGGACUAUGCCCAUAAAAUUUUUGUCCUUCUUAAAAGAUAUGCCUUCACAAUUAGAAACCUUCAUCUUAUGCAUAUCCGCACAUCAAAUACCGAAAAGAACAGAAUUUUGGGAAACAUAUAGCAAUGCUCUUUAAUCUAGAAUGUUGCUUUUAUCUUCUUCUUUUUUUCCAAAAAACGGUAGGCUUGCUGCCUGUUUUAUUCAUAGUGAAUAUAAACUGAACUGUAAAAAUGGAACAACUAGCCCGGAAAAUCAAAAACAUUCCGAACAAGAGCAGGCCAAAAAAAAAAAAAAAACGAUGGGUACCUACAAUAGAAACCUAUUAUAAUGUACCAAAUACAAGCUGAGAUAAUUUAUAACUGUCCACCAAAAAAAUCUUUUUGUUGCUAUGCUAGUAAUUUGGCCAUAUUGACUACCACCAAUAACUUUAUGAAUUGUUAUUGUUUUAAGAAAAAAAUAACACGUUAUCAGUUUUAUUCAUUUAGCAAAUAAAUUUAACUACAAGAGUUAAAUCAACAUGGCCUCAAAAUAUAUUAAAGAUAAACAAAAUAAAAAAUAGAAAUAAAAGCAAAAAAAAAAAUCGUAAAAAAAUUACUAAUUCUACUCCUCACUCAAAAUCAAAAUCCAGUCAUAGAAAAGUUACUUUUAUUGAUUGUUGAUAUAGUAUUCUUUCUACGAAUACUAUGUGUAUGCACCAAUAAAAAAGAUCCUUAUUUGAUAACGUCAAAGCUGAUACAUUAUAUUAAGUCGUAAUAUAAACCUUUUUAAUAAUAUUAAAAUAAAGAUUUUUUUUUUUUUGGUUUGGAAUACAUAGAGUGGAGUACGCUUAAUUUAAUGCAAAAGUGUUGGGGUGGAGAGUCGUGGGGAGCGGAUUACUAGGAACAGUACUGCGACUUCGGGAUUCCGGGCGGGCAAGAAGAAACCAAGAGGGAGCGGACGUACCCUCGCUCUUACAUUAGUUUGAAACUUUGCUACAGCACACAAUACUGUUUACGUCCUUGAUACAUACAAUAGUAAUAAGAUACGGAGUGGGCGGGUAUGCUUUAGAAAGUACGGAACCUUUCAUAUUUACAAAUUAUUUUUAAUAUUGUGAUUUUCGAAUAGACGACCGGCUCCGUUAGAAUUGAUUUAGAAUAUUUGAAGUAUCUAGAAAAUAAAUUUUGUAAUUUUUUGAUAUCAUUUGCCUAGUGAUCGAAGGUUCUCAAAAUCAAUAAUUUUAAUGACCGUAGUGAGUCGUUUGCAAGUUUAACGGUGUAGAAACAUUCAAAUCACGUGAAAUUUUGAUAGAAAAUUCUUUAUACUAUAUAGAAUAAGAUCAAUAACUUUGAUCUAAAAUUUUAAUGUCAUAUCAUCAUAUCUUGUAAGAUUUUUAUUUUCAGCCGUUGAUUUUGAGCCACUUCGAUCACUAGGCAAAUGAUAUCGAAAAAUAGCAAAAUUUAUUUUCUAGAUACUUCAAAUACUCUAUAUCAAGUCUAAUGGAGCCGAUCGUCGAUUCAAAAGUCCCAACAUCGAAAACGACUUGAAAGCACGGAGUGCUUCGUGCUUUCAGAAGCACACUAAACGCACUCAUAAGAUAUGAUCAAUAUUAGGUAAUAUUGCACCUUUGUCCCCAAAAUAUAUAUGAGUCUAAUGUUAAUUUCGUUCUCAAAGUUACAUUUUUUUUAGUACAUUCUGACUCGAAUUUUUAGAAUUAUUAUAGUUAAAUACUAUAAUCUAAUUUAGUGCGCUAAAUAUUAACAUAUUCUUAAUUUGGAUAUGAAAGUAUUGUAAUUGAUGAUACGACAAGAUUUAAAAUUCUGUGAGGUUGUCAACAAGCCGAAUACGAGCUAAUUUGCAAACAUAUAGUUAGAUUGUAUGGUCUACUACAAUAUGAAUUUUUAAAGAAAUUAAAAUUUUAAUUGAAAUUCACAAACUAUACAUUUUUACGUUUGGAUUGAUCUAAAAUUCAAAUAGGAAAAGUUUCUUACAUAUAUAUAGAGUUUGUCUUCUUAUAUAUAUAAAGGAGUCCGGCUACUAUACUUUUAUGAGUAUUGGCUUCCUUAUACUCGUAAGUUUUCGGCCCUUAGAUUUAUUUCAUGAUCAUUUCCACCCGUUAGACCAUACUAUUUAACCAACUACCCACUCAAUCCUAGGGAACCACUAUCAUUCUAAGUAGGGACCGUCAUCAUCUUAACCACACAUCCCAUCAAUGAACGGUUAAAAAAUUUAUAAGUAUUUGAGGUUUUAUACUCAUAAGAGUAUAGUAGCCACAGCCUAUAUAAAGCUAGGCUAUUAAUUAUACUUUUUAAAAUAAGAAAGCAUCCAUACUUUUAUGUUAUUUUUUAUGUGGGAUAUUCGAAUUAGCGAUCAGCACCGUUAGACAUGUUUACGAUGUUGGAACUAUUUAGAAAUGAAAUUUUAUUUAUUUUUAACUUUAUUUGUCUAGUGAAAAGCCUUGCUAGGGUGCUUCUAAUAGUACCAAGUACUUGUUGCUACCAAAAUUUUCACCGUUAAUUUUACCUCUUUAACUAUUUCCAUCUGAUAGAUUAUACUAUUCAACCAACUACCCACUCAAUUUUAGGAGAUCAUCCUAACCGCAUAUUCUUUCAUCUAAGGGCUCAAAAUUUAAUAGCACGAAUGACUUAGUGGUAUUAGAAGCAUUCCAACCUAAUUAUAUAUAUUCAAGGGCUGAAAAAAAUUAAAAGCAUCAAAGAGGAUCUAAUGACCAAAGAGGAUAGAUUCAAGGGCUGGAAAAAAUUAAAAACACCAAGGGCCCAGCUAUAUACGAGCUAUGUUGAGUCGAAUAUGAGUAAGCUUAUCCUACUUCGCGUUUUGCUCAUUAAGAUUUUGAGUUAAGAAAUUCAGCUCGUAGCUGGCUCUUGCUAAUAGCGAGCUACAUUGCCAAACCUAUAUGAUACAUCACUUUUAUAUCAACAAUGUGCAACAAACUAAAUUGUGUUGUGAGACCUGAGUCUAAUAAUUCUAAAAAUUCGUACUAAAAAUUGUAACAAAUUAUAGUGUGAUAGCCAUUGUGUCCCCGAUCCCAUAGUUUGAGGACCAAACCUGUAAUUUACCCUGUGAUAUUAUAUGUGAUAUUAUUAGUUGAAUUAUACUACUAUACUAUCAAUAGUACCAAGUCCUUGGUACAAUUGAGUUUUCAACAGUUGGAUGAAAGGAUGUGCGGUUAGAAUGAUAGUGGUUCCCGAUUAAAUUGAUAGUGGUCCCUUAGGGUUGAGUGAGUGGUUGGUUUAAUAGUAUAAUCUAACGGAUAGAAAUGAUCAAAAGGUAAAUCUAAUGAUAAAAAAACUCAAUAGUAUUAAAGACUUGUUACUAUCGAACAGUAUAGUAGCCGGACUCUUAUUAGUUUAUACAUUGUAUUCUUCUAUAUAUGGUUUGUUAUUGCAGUAAUAUACAUUGGAGGGCAAAGAUUUGACGUUUACGUGUUGAAUUGGGAUAUUGUUGAGAGUGAUGGAUGGAUGGAUGGAUGGACGGAUGGGGGCGCGUGAGGCCCGGGGUGUAGUCGAUGUAGCAGCUGCUCCUGCUGCUGCGUUUGUUGGAGAAACGAAGCACGUAGCAUCUUCUCUUUUGUUCCCGCACUCCACUGAUUGGUAGAUUCUUAAUUUCCUAUGCACACACUUGUUUGUUUUCUUUAAAAAAAAAAAAAAAAAAAAUUUCUAAAGAGAAUAAUAGUAUUUUUAUUAGAAAUAAAAUUAGUUAAAAAUAUGGAGCGGUUAGAUUUUAAACUUCAAACCGUAGGUUUCAGAUGUCAAACUUUUUGUUACUUGUGCUAGAGACGAUCGAUUUAUGGACGCACAAGUUACCUGUUCGUUAGCGAUGCUAAUAAUUUGAAUUGUUCAUAUUUAAAUGAUUUGAGGGAUUGCAUGUGGAUGCUCGAUAUCACAUGAGUUGUAGAGAGGUAGGCUUUUCUAUAUAUUAAGUAGCUUAUGUAAUACUAACAUCCAAUGAAUUAAUAUGAAUAGAAACAUACUUACAAAAGUAUCAGCGCGAAGAAACAGCCAUCUACAAAAAGAGACUUUGCCGCAUUAGUAUGCAAAUGCAUUACAAUUUUGAACCACACUAGCUACUAACUCAAAUGGAUAAAACGUCAGUGGGAAAAACUCCUCAACGACGCCUCAUUGGAGAGCCCUUGAUUCGCUUUCAUGCAUUAUAAAAAUUAUUAUAUUAUACUAGAUUAAUUUGAUCUCUACAAAUUAACUUGCAUAAUAUAAUGGCCUAUUCGUAACUUCAUAUGUAAUGCAUGUUAACAUUACAAGAUACAAAGAAGAGAGAGAGAGGAAGCGUGUAUCCCUGCAGGGACAACGAAAGCACGUGUGCAACAGAAGCAAAGACUUGUACUCAGCAGAACCUGCUAGCUAUAGAGUCUACGUGCAUGCGAAAAGUAGUAGAUCUAGAAAUGCACACGCUAAAAUUGGUUUGACCAAAUUAACUGUCACAAUUUUUCCCUUUUUUUGGUCUUUGGGAACUGUCACAAUUAGAUCCCUUACCUCCACUGUGGUUGGUGUGUUGUGUGGAUUUGAAAUUUGAAUUGGGAAAAGGUGAAAACCACGUACCCUCUCUCCACAUGCCAAGUAGAUUUUUUUUUUUUUUUUUUGAGAGAGAUAGGUAGCACGCUACCCGCUUUGUUUAUUUCAUUUAGAAAUAAACUUAGCUGAAAAUAUGAAUCAACUAGGAUUCGAACUUGGGUCUCAGAUACCAACCACCAAAUCCUUUGCCACUUGCUCUAGGUACGAUCGGUCAUGCCAAGUAGAUAUUAGACUCAUACUAAUUGGUGGGUUCUGAUUCACUAUCAAGCCUAGCACUGUUUGAUUAUUUCAUUUUGCCUAACCUCUGUAAUUUCUUUGUGCUCUAUCCAUUCCCUUGUAUUGCUAUUCAAUAAAGAGUGCAAAUCAUUUUCAAUGGCAAUCAGCAGGAGUACUGUUCAUGAGAUCAUCUGACAAUAACUAUUAGUUACUUAUUUGAUGAUUGAUUUAUAUAUUAAUGGUUGUAACUAAAAUAAUAGAUUGCUAAUUAGAUAUUUGUUGCUUAUGUAGUGAAAACUGGUGGUAUUUACUUCCUGUAAAAAGGUAACCAACAUUUUGAAUGUUUUACAUAAUCGAAUGGUUAUGUAAAUUAUUUCAGUUUGGAUUCGUUUUUGUUUGUCAAUUGGUCAAAAAAUCCGAAAAAUUCGGUUUUGCCGUAAUUUAUGCUCAAAAUCGUACCAAAAUCGAACCGGGAAAACCCCUAGCUAUGAAUCAGUGAUGUAAUGCAAAAUUUAGCUUAUUAUCAAACCAAGCAAAUAAUGAGAUUUUUCCUUUUUCCUCUUAAAUAGUAAUUUUGCUUCUUCUAUGCUAUGGUCACCAAAAUAUCUUUGUUAUAUAUUUUACACUCUUCAUUUUGUCUGGUAUAGUACUGUAAUGUUAGUUCAUGGCCCUAUUAAUAUCAUUAAUGAUGUUAAUUAAGGUGGACUCAUCCAUCUCAAUUAUUUGGUAAUAUUAUUGUUUUGUAAAUUUAUCUCGAUAGAAACAUUCUAUUUUGUAUCAAUCUAAUUUAUUGAAGUAUAAAUUGCACCAUGAUUUUAAAUCUUUCAAUGCAUUAAAGCUGUCAGAAUGUCAAACAAUUCUGACGUAUUAAGUGUCAAAAAGACAUUUCAUCGGUGCAUGGGUGACGACUCUUAAUUUGCCGACGCUUCUUCAAAUUAAUAUGACAGUAAACUAAUUUGAUAUGCUUUGGAGCAUCUUUAAUUACUGAAAAAGCAUCCUUAAUAAAUGUUAUUUUUCUUGUAGUGUAGUAUUAAUUUUCAGAAAAAUUUUAAAAUUUGUCAGUUCUAAAAAGAUUUAUGGAAUCAACAAAUAAGAAUAUUUGGUUAAUACAAUUUUCCAGGCUAUAUAUGGGAGAUUCAUUUUCACCUAUCACAAUUUAAACCCAUCACCUCUUGAUUCGUUUCAUUCCUCAUUUAGUGACGCAUAUAUAUUAGAGACAGCUAAGAGUUCCGUAUGCAAUGUACAAAAUCAACAAGUUAUUCAAAAUCCUUUAUAUCUAUUUUUAAAGAUCUUACUAUUAAAUAGAGAAACUAUAUCAUAUAUAGGGGAUUUCCUAUAGAUAGAUAUAUUUAUUUUUUCCUUAGUAAGAAUUUUAACUUGAAAAAUAAUGGAGACACCUCAUUUAAUUAAUAUCCUCAUAUCCUCAUAUAUGUGUAUUAUUCGUUAACCAAAUUGCUGAAUCUUGGAUCAUGGUACUAGAAAAAAAGAAUGUGAAGUUACAAAUAUUCAAAUGUUAUUUAAAAAAGUUAUUGUGUGAACUUGGUGAAAAGUAUCGCAUAAGUUGUUGGGGAUACAAUCAAACAAUGAUCUUAAGCUAAGGGACUAUAUUUUUUUUUAACCACCCAAUUUAUAUAUGUUUGCAGUUAUACUAAUGGUCGAUCGACAAACGUAAAUUUUUCACACACUGCUGACAUGUCAAAGAUCUAAGAGUUAUUAUCUCAAAUCAUGAAAUUUGUCGAAUAUAUCUAACGCAUUAAUCUUUUUCCUUGAGCAAAUUAGCGAAUUAGAUUAUACCACAAUUUGAAUCGUUACUGUCGUAUCAGUAACAACAAUUCACAUUUUGGUGAUCAUUAUUUGGUUCCCAAGUUGGAACAUAUUAAAGACAGUAAGCACUUGCUGCUUGUAAGUUCUUCGCUAUUAGGUUUACCUUUUUGACAAUUUUUACUCGUUAAAUCAUAUUAUUCAACCAACCAACCACUCAAUCCUAUCGGUACAUUCCUUAAUCCGAGAGUCGAAAACCUACAAGUAUACAAAUGAUUUGGUACUUUUAAAAACAUAAAAUCUCAAUUAUAUAUAUAUAUACAUAUAAUAAUAAUUUUCUAUCUUUUGCAAAUUAGCGAAUUAGAUUAUACCAUAAUUUGAAGAGAAAAAAAUAUUGAAUCAUCACCGUCGUAUGAUCGGGCGACAACAAUUUAUAAUUUGAUGGCCACUAUUAGGUUGCCAAGUUGGCGCCCUUAAAAGAUUCGUCCUUUUCAUGGUCCCUGAAUGACCAUACAUACCCUACGUGCCCACCUCAUUAACCUACCCCCAUUAAUGCAAAACACACCAACACUUACUGACCUAAUUCACAACACUGGACCAACCCCUCGUACGUAAUAUUCAAUUAAAUAAUUUGUCCUAUUUUUUAUUUAUAUAUUGUUUGUUCAUAUUGUUUGUACAAGAAUAUGCUUUUCUCAUAAUAGCCACAAGAGCUAAAAGACCACGUCCAUAGCGAGGCGGCUUCAUAUAAGCCACUCAUUUUGCACCACGUGGAUUCGAGAGACAAAAAAUAUAUUUUAUUAUUUUCACCUUAACUUUCAUACACUUGUAUUAUCUCAUCUUAUUCCAUUUUAUAUAUAUAUAUAUAUAUAUAAUAUAAUCCUUCGAAUCGCUUUCAAAUGAGGCCAAUACUGUGAUCUAAAGCAGAACACAGCAAAUUAAUUUAUAUAUAUAUAGAUAUAUAAUAAAGUGGCAGAAGAUAAGGGUCUUAUAUAAUUGUACAUUAAUUAUGCAUAGCAAUGAAAAAUUUUGCUGCGACAAAACGUAGAAAUAAAAUUUUGAAUAUCAAAAGAAACUCUAAUUUAAUAUUUCUAAUUAUGUUUGCAGUAAAAAAAUUUGUUAGAGAAAAAUGUAUGCACGCUUACGAACUAUAUCAGUAGGUUGAUAUCAUGAUGUGAGAUUAUUCGUGGAUAUAGUUAGAGCUCGAGUACUUAAUAUGAAAUAGUGCAUUCAAAAAUUUAUGAAAAAUAAUUACUUAAAUUUAAUUAUUUUCAACUUUAAUUACAUGUUUCACAAAAUAACCCAUAAUUUACCUAAAGCGAUUAAUCGGCACGAAUUCGGCGAGGAAUUGGACAGGGUUAUAUAUAGAGAGAGAGAGAGAGNCAAAGGGUUAAAUCUAACAGUGGAAAACUCGAUAGCACAAGAUAGUAUUCCAGCCGAACUAUCUCUCUCUCUCUCUAUAUAUAUAUAUAAAGAAUUAUGCUACUAUAUAUACUAUUAAUAAUAUCAAACAUUUUGUGCUAUUAGAUUUUCGGCUCUUAGAUGAAGAAAUGUGCGGUUAGGAUGAAAGUGAUUUUGUUGGAUUGAUUGGAUGAUUAGUUGAAUAGUAUGAUUUAACUAAUAAAAAUAAUCAUAUAUAUAUAUAUAUAUAUAUAGAGAGAGAGAGAGAGAGAGAGAGAGAGAGAGAGUUGAGCUGGAGUACUAUCGAUAGCAAACGGGCUCCGUUGCCACCCAUUUGUUUUNAUUAAGUUUUUAGCCUUUAAAUCAAUUAUUUUGAUCAUUUCUAAUCAUUGGAUUAAAUAUUAUAACUCAGUGGGAACCACUCAACCCUAAAGGACUAAUAUCAUUCUAAUUAAUAGUUUUCCAACCUAACUCUCUCUCUCUCUCUCUCUUAUAUAAAGAAUUAUGCUACUAUAUAUACUAUUAAUAAUAUCAAACACUUUGUGCUAUUAGAUUUUCGGCUCUUAGAUAAAAAAAUGUGCGGUUAGGAUGAUUGUGAUUUUGUUGGAUUGAUUGGAUGAUUAGUUGAAUAGUAUGAUUUAACUAAUAAAAAUAAUCAUAUAUAUAUAUAUAUAUAUAUAUAUAAAAGAGAGAGAGAGAGAGAGUUAUUAUCCCAUGUGGAUCAGAAUUAUUAUUGGGUUUAUACCAAUGAGCAAAAAAAGUACAACUUGAACAAUGAAUUAAUAAGUCGAACAAAAGCUCNUAAACUUACAAACGGCUCACUACGGUCAUUGAAAUUUGUUGAUUUUGAGCACAUUCGAUCACUAGACAAAUAAUAUCGAAAAAUAAUAAAAUUUAUUUUCUAGGUACUCCAAAUACUCUAGAUCAAGUUUAACGAAGCCGAUCGACGAUUCGAAAAUCGCAACAUCGAAAACGAGCUGGAAGCACGGAAGGCUCCGUGCUUCCGAUAGCAUAGUAGUCUCACUAUAUAUAUAUAUAUAUAUAUAGAGUUGAGCUGGAAUACUAUCGAUAGCAAACGGGCUCCGUUGCCACCCAUUUGUUUUCGAUAAUGGAGCCUCCAAAUUGACGAUCGGCACCGUUGAAUAUGAUAUAUGCCACUUGAAGUAUUUAGAAAUCAAAUUUCAAAUCUUUUCGACAUCAUGACCUAAUGAUCAAAGAAUUUCAAAAUGUAUAAUUUUAAAGAUAGAUACGAGGUAUUUUCUCAUUUAACGGUGUAAAGCUAUCCAAAUCAAUUGAAUUUUGAUUAGAAAGUUCUUUAAACUAUUUAGAACAAGAUCUAUACUCUUGAUCUUGAUUACAAAAUUUCUAUCAUCACUUUUUAGAGAAUAUUCAUUUUCAGCCGUUUAGUUUUACGCCCACUUGAUGAACAAGAGAACAAUAUUGAAAAAGUAUAAAAUUUGAUUUCUAGAUAUUUCAAGUGGUAUAGAUCAUGCUCAACGGUGCCGAUCGUCGAUUUGGAGGCUCCAUCAUCGAAAACAAAUAGGUGGCNUCGUGCUAGCUGCCGCUGCUGGUGAUAAACGACACGUUAAACGAGGGCUCGCGUAGACUUUUGUUUGUUUCUUCUCCCUUUCAAAAUCACAACCUAAUAAAAUAAAUAAAUAAAUAAAACGGAAAUGGAUUUAGACCUGUUUGUUAUUAAGUGCCGCCUAGCCCUAUCCAGCCGUAUCCCCAUAAAAAAUUAUUCGAAAAAGUUUUGUUUAUAUGGAGUAAGGCUAGAAUACUUGUAAAAGUAUCAUGGGGGUGAUACUUGUAUGUUUUUAGCCCUUGGAUGGAGAGAUGUGAGGUUGAGAUGAUAGUGGUAGGUGGUGAUAGGUGGUGGUAGUGGAAUAGUGUUUAAUCCAAGGGCUAUUAAUAAUCAAAAAGUAGAUCCAAUGACUUAAAACCUAAUAGCACCAUGAUGGUGAUACUUGUAAAAGUAUCAUAGCUCAACUCUGUUUAUAUAUAUAUAUAUACAUAUAUAUAUAUAGAGAGAGAGAGAGAGCUAGGCUCCUAUACUUUCGAAAGUACAGGAGGCCCCGUACUUAUAAGCUGCUUUCGAUGAUGGGAUAUCCGAUUCGGCGAUCGGUUCCGUUAAACUUGAUCUACGCUUUUGGAACUAUCUAGAAACCAAAUUUCAUAAUUUUUUGAUUUCGUUUGUCUAGUGAACGAGUAACCUCAAAAUGAACGGCUGAAAAUGAAAAUCUCAUAAAAAACAGUGAUAAAGGAUUCAAAUUUUAAAUCGGAAGUAUUGAUCUUGCUACUGAUGUUAAGUAGAAUUUUCUAUUAAAUUUUCAUGUAAUUUGGAUACUGCUACACCGUUGAAAUUAAAAAUGUGCCACAUCGACCGUUAAAAUAGUCAUUUUUUAGACCUUUUGAUCGCUUAGUAAAUGAUGUCAAAAAAAUCUAAAAUUUGGUUUUUAAAUAGUUCCAAUAGGGUAGAUCUUACCUAACGAAGCCGAUCGUCGAAUGGAACGUCCUAUCAUCGAAAACAACUUACAAGUAUGGGGCCUCCCGUACUUUCGAAAGUACGGGAGACGGAAUAUAUAUAUAUAUAUAUAUGUAUAUGUAUGCGCAUAUACAUAUACAUGUAUGUAUAUAUAUGUAUGUAUGUAUNNNNNNNNNNNNNNNNNNNNNNNNNNNNNNNNNNNNNNNNNNNNNNNNNNNNNNNNNNNNNNNNNNNNNNNNNNNNNNNNNNNNNNNNNNNNNNNNNNNNNNNNNNNNNNNNNNNNNNNNNNNNNNNNNNNNNNNNNNNNNNNNNNNNNNNNNNNNNNNNNNNNNNNNNNNNNNNNNNNNNNNNNNNNNNNNNNNNNNNNNNNNNNNNNNNNNNNNNNNNNNNNNNNNNNNNNNNNNNNNNNNNNNNNNNNNNNNNNNNNNNNNNNNNNNNNNNNNNNNNNNNNNNNNNNNNNNNNNNNNNNNNNNNNNNNNNNNNNNNNNNNNNNNNNNNNNNNNNNNNNNNNNNNNNNNNNNNNNNNNNNNNNNNNNNNNNNNNNNNNNNNNNNNNNNNNNNNNNNNNNNNNNNNNNNNNNNNNNNNNNNNNNNNNNNNNNNNNNNNNNNNNNNNNNNNNNNNNNNNNNNNNNNNNNNNNNNNNNNNNNNNNNNNNNNNNNNNNNNNNNNNNNNNNNNNNNNNNNNNNNNNNNNNNNNNNNNNNNNNNNNNNNNNNNNNNNNNNNNNNNNNNNNNNNNNNNNNNNNNNNNNNNNNNNNNNNNNNNNNNNNNNNNNNNNNNNNNNNNNNNNNNNNNNNNNNNNNNNNNNNNNNNNNNNNNNNNNNNNNNNNNNNNNNNNNNNNNNNNNNNNNNNNNNNNNNNNNNNNNNNNNNNNNNNNNNNNNNNNNNNNNNNNNNNNNNNNNNNNNNNNNNNNNNNNNNNNNNNNNNNNNNNNNNNNNNNNNNNNNNNNNNNNNNNNNNNNNNNNNNNNNNNNNNNNNNNNNNNNNNNNNNNNNNNNNNNNNNNNNNNNNNNNNNNNNNNNNNNNNNNNNNNNNNNNNNNNNNNNNNNNNNNNNNNNNCUCUAUAUAUAUAUAUAUAUAUAUAUAUAUAUAUAUAUAUAUAUAUAUAUAGAGUCCGGCUAUGGUGCUUGUAAAAGCACCAAGCACGUGGUGUUUGUAAAUUUUUUAUCGUUUGAUCUAUGUCUUUGAUUAUUUUUAUCCGUUAGAUUAUACUAUUCAACCAACUACCCACUUAACCCUAGGGGGCCCGCAUCAUUCUAACCGCACAUUCCUUAAUCCAAGGGCCGAAAACUUACAAGUACCAAUGACUUGGUACUUUUAAAAGUAUAGGAGCUCAAUUUUAUAUAUAUAUAUAUAUAUAUAGAGAGAGAGAGAGAGAGAGAGAGAGAGAGAGAGAGAGAAGGGUUGUUGUGCUCUUAAGAGCAUGGAGGCCUCCGUAUAUAUAUAUUUAAUAUAUACACUCAAGUUUUCUGCCGUUAGAUUUACCUUUUUUAUCAUUUUCAUCAGUUCGAUUAUACUAUUCAACUAAUCACCCAUUCAACCCUAGCAUAUCAUCCUAACCAUAUAUUUUUUAAUCCAAUGGCAGAAAACUUAAUAACACCAAGUCAUCUAGACGUUAGAAAUUAUAUUUUAUAUUUUUAUCGAAUCUAUACAAUUUACAGAACAUGUUGUUUUUAUUUUUAAGUAUUACUAUUCAUUUAGCCGAUAUAAAGGUGAAAAUAUUAAUUAGAAAUAUGUAAAUUGUGUUUUUUUUAUAAGUAUUUUAUUUCAAAUCGUAUUUCCUCACUAUUUGUAAUGCAAUCUAUUGUAACUAUUACCGACCGUCCCUAGAGCAAGUGGCAAAGGGCUUGAUGGUUGGUACCCGAGACACAGGUUUGAAUCCUAAUUGAUUCACAUUUCCAGCUAAAUUUAUUUCUUGUUGGAAAUAUAUAUAUAAUUUAUUCUUAUCCUAAACCCAUUAGGAUAAAUCACAAUUCACAUCUUAAGUGGAUCGGGUUAAAUCAAGACCCGCCAAUGUGGAUACACCACAUGGCUACAUUUCUAAAUUAAAUAAACGAAGCGGGUAGCGUGCUACCUNUGUUGUUUUUAUUUUUAAGUAUUACUAUUCAUUUAGCCGAUAUAAAGGUGAAAAUAUUAAUUGAAAUAUGUGAAUUGUGUUUUUUUUAUAAGUAUUUUAUUUCAAAUUGUAUUUCCUCACUAUUUGUAAUGCAAUCUAUUGUAACUAUUACCAACCGUCCCUAAAGCAAGUGACAAAGUGCUUGGUGGUUGGUACCCGAGACACAGGUUCGAAUCCUAAUUGAUUCACAUUUCCAGCUAACUUUAUUUCUUGUUGGAAAUAUAUAAUUUAUUCUUAUCCUAAACCUAUUAGGAUAAAUCACAAUCCACAUCUUAAGUGGAUCGUGUUAAAUCAAGACUCGCCAAUGUGGACACACCACAUGGCUACAUUUCUAAAUGAAAUAAACAAAGCGGGUAGCGUGCUACCUAUCUCUCAAAAAAAAAAAAAAAUCUGUUGUAACUAUUUAUUAUUUAUUAUUCCUCUUAAUUAAUACCACGUGAUGACAUGGUUUCGAAAUAUUUUAAAACUGUCCAAAAUUUAUUGACCAGAUUUAAUAAGUUAUAUAUUUACAUAAAAUAAAAAUGGUUCCUGAUACUCUACUUGCAUUUGAAUAUUGAAUUUUCAUAAUCAUGAAACCUACAAAUUAAUUAACGUAAUAUUUGACAAUAAUGUUAUACAUGAAUAUCUCGAUCGGUGUGUUGUUAUUAAUCAGAUUAAUAUGGAUACAAACAUUUAGAUUUAACAAAUUGAGUCAUUAAUCACUGGCUGGAUUUAAUUCCAUCAUUAAUUGUGAUACAAUUUUAGAAAAUUAAGAAUCGAUUAACAUCAUUUUCCAUCUUAUUUUCUUUCUUAAAAAGCAAAAAAAAAACAAAAAAAAAAAACCCAUAACUAUUUCAGGAACCUACCAAAAGGUCCAAAACAUGCUUGUAAACAGUGACCCACAUUGUUUCAAACCCCAUAACCCUUUAUUAAAAACCCACAAUAAAUACCAGCUAAAAAUAACUUGGACUUAUGUGGUAAAAAAAAAAAAAAAAACUCAAUAAUAAUCCCGUGAUGACAACCCCAUGCACAGGAGAAAUAAUUAAUUGCGCCCAGUGUGUAAAUACAGACCAAGUCCAAAAAAAAGAACAUGACAAGUAAAAAUGUUUAAGUGGAAUAAAAAAUAUAGUUAUUUUUUAAGUGAAUAGUACAAAUGUGAGGAAAUAUUACCGGAGCGAACCCAAAAAUAAAGAAAAAAAAAUCAAAUCGAACCCGAAAAAGAAUUUGGCAGAUGAAGACGGUUCAAGGGAGUUCGGUUUCAAAUAUAUAGAAAACCCAGUUCAAAAGGAGAAAAUAUUACUGGAUCGAAUCCAAAAAAGAACCUGACAAGUGAGACCCACUCCUUAGAAUGAAGAUGCUGAUACUACAUAUGCAAGUUAUUGAGAAUCAACAUAUAUAUGUAUAGGUAUAGGAAUAUAGAUUAUUGGCAACAUCUAUGAAAAAUUAUGGCAUGAAAUAGUUUGAAAAAUUAGCAUAAGAUAAAGUGUCAUUGUUUGAUUUGUAAGAAAUUAGUGUCUAAAUUUUUUUAUAUAUAUAUUUGCAGAAGUGCGCGCACAACGCACAUUUUGCAUUAAGAAGGGAAUAUUAAAAUUUGAGAGAGAGAGUUUUAUUUGUGAGUUUUUGAAAAUUAAUGAAUUUUGUUUAAUUGUAAUUGUCUAAGUUUGGGUAAAAAAAAAGGAAGAAUUAUUAUAAUAGAUUUCGUGCAGUUUAGUUUUAUCUGUUAACGUUGAAUUCAUUUAAAUACUUUAAUCGUGUGAAAGAGAGAGUUUAAAAAAAUAAAUUGAGUGUAAAAUCGAAGAAAAUUUUAUAAAAGUAUUUUAAAUAUAGAUGUUUUUUUUUAUGAUAUAAAGGGAUAUGUUGAAAAAAAAUUGGAAGAUUCUAAACUUUUGUUCACUUAUUUUGUAUAUAAACUAUAGAUUGAUAUUUUAUUUUUUUAUAUUUUGAUGAUUCUAUUAGGAGGUAUUUGGUUUCUAGGAAAUUAAGCCGCGUGUGUAAAACUAUUUUUUGAACAAAAAAUUUUUCAUAAAAAAUUUUUUUUCCAUAGUUUUUGUUUUCUACAUAAAACAAUUCAAAAAAUAAAAAAAUUCUAUAAAACAUAAAAAAUAAUUUAUAUAUAUUUUUUCUAGGAAUGAAGCAGACAAUAAUUACUUUUCUAGCUAGAAAACUUUUUUCUAAAUUAUAUUUUGAGAAAACAAAUACCUUCUUAGAGAUUUUUUUAAAACAUAGCGUAUGAGAUAAACAUCUAAGUAAAGAAACACCUCCUUUUAGAAUUUUAAAAGUAUAAUUGGCUAAGAACUUUAUGGUUAGCACUAAAAUGUUAAGUUGGUUUGAAAUUAUGGAGAUAUUAAGUUACGUGCUAUUAAAAAGUACGAUAAAACGACAUUUUCUUUCUCUCCGUAGUAUGUACUUUCGUCAACAUUAAUUAUUUUUGUUUUUAUUAUUUUAGAUCAGCUUCAAUACCAACUAGACUAUUAGUUGGAAUCAUAAUUGUUUUAUAUGAACUAUAUUUUUUACAUGAUAAUAAUGAGUCAUGCUGGGAUACUAUCGAUACUACCAAGCAUUUGGUGCUAUCAAAUUUUCCACCGUUAGAUUUAAUCCGUGACUAUUUUCAACUGUUAGAUUAUACUAUUAAUCUAAUAACGCACUCAACCCUAGGGGCCCACAUCAUUCUAACCCUAUAUUUUUUCAUCCAAGAGCCGAAACCUAAUAGCACCAAUAGCUUGGUGCUAUUGAUAGUAUUUUAACGUUAGGUCUAAUAAUAAUAAAUAAAGUGAACCAACUGUUCAUAGAGCAAAUGGCAAAGGACUUAAUGGUUGGUAUCAGAGACCCAAGUUCGAAUCCUAGUUGAUUCACAUUUCUAGCUAAAUUUAUUUCUAAAUGAAAUAAACAAAGCAGGUAGCGUGCGACCUAAAAAUAAUAAUAAUAAAUAAAGUAAAUAGAAUACUACUGUAUAAAAACGCAACAAACAAAAUUGAAUUCACGGAAUCGCGGAAUCGCGGGGGGCUCAAAUUUGAGAAAAAAGUGGGGGAGGGGGGUGGGUGGAGUUUUUCCGUUAUCGGGACGCGCAUUUACUCAACCACUCCCCCACUUCGUGCUCCCUCCCUCCCCGUAACCAUCCAUCCAUUCAUCCAUCCAUCCAUCCAUCCUAGGGUUUCCCAUUUUAAAUUUCCUUCUUGCGUUCUCUCCUCUCCGGGGCCAUCUCACCCGUCCAUAUCAAAACGAGCGGCGGAUGCGGCGCUUGUCGAUCUAUAUAAGAGGAUAGAGGUGAGGAGGCAGAGGAAGGGGCGCGGAUAAAGAGGUCGUGGUCAUUUCUGAAUACCCAGAUGUGUAGGGUCGGGCUCUGUGCCCACACCCCCCAUCACUGCUUCGCUUUUAUUACUCUCUCUCUCUCUCUCUAUCUACUAUUUAUUAUUAUUAUUAUUAUUAUUAUUUUUAUAUCUCUCUCUUUUUUGUAUGUGUGUGUGAGUAAAAAAAAAAAAAAAAUCUGACCCGAGAAAAGUAAUCAUUUCACCUAUCAUGACCAGCGCUUUCUCUCUCCUCUCAUUUCAUUACUAUACAUACAUACCCAGUAUGAGCGUGACACAGUAUAAGCGUGACCCAGUAUAAGCGUGAGCGUGAGCAUGAGCUGAGAAGAGAUGGAAGAUGGAAGAUGGAAGAUGGAAGAAGGGGAGUUUUUUUAGUUGAGGGGAAUGUUGUCUGGCUCGAGGCCGGCGGAGAUCGAGCAGAUCGCCUUUUUUCUGUAGAGAUCUCGGACCAGGCUUCAUUCCCCUCAGCUAUAGCUCCCAAAUUGAAACACUUCUCCAAGAAAAUUCUGCCAUAUGUAUGUGGGGAUGGUGAUCAAUUCCAGGUUGCUAAUGAAUACUUCUUCUGUUUUUUUUUUUUUUUUUUUUAACAUUUUUUGUUCCAAAAAAAAAGGGUUUUGAUUGUUUGCUGAUGAUGAUUACUUGCUGCUUCGAGGAUGUUUCCUGCCAUGUUUGUUUGUUGUUUUCUGCAUAUGAGAGGGAGAAGAUGCAGAUUGGUGUAAUGAUGAUGGGUUUUGACACUCUCUCUCUCUCUUUCUCUCUCUCUUCUUACAUUCUUGAUCUUACUUGUUAAGCAGUUAUGAUUACUUUCUCUGUUUUCUUUUCUGACAGGAAGGGAAAAAGGUUAUCAUGAUUACCUUUUGAUUGAAGGAUCUUCUUUUUGUUUCUCGUCCACUUUUUUUAAAAAAUAAAAUAAAAUAAAAUCAUGUUUAUUCUUUUUUAAAUUAUUAUUAUUCUACUUUUUAGUGCCCUACUAACCUUACUUUGCUGAUUUUGCUUUUUUUUUUUUUAAUCAGCAUCAAGAGGUUAGAACUUGUAAAGCUGAUCUCAAUUAUGGUAAUCUCCUCAGGUGUCAAAGUGCUUAUUUCGCCUUAGAUCUUGCUGAUACAGCGAUAUUUUAGUGUACCUACUUUAUUUUUGGUUUAAAUGCAUCCAUCUCUAAAAUAGAGGUAUGCUCUUAUGAUCUUGUCAAAUGGUGGUCUUACGACUGCGAAUAACAAAAAUUUCUAUUUUUUCUUCGCUUUUGUGUGAUUUUUCAGGCUUCUUCCGGUGGAUUCACCGUGUGAUGAACUCCGUAAGCUUUAUUAAUCUUACUGUAAGGUCUUUAUAUGGUCUUUAUAUGAUCCUACUACAAGAAGAAAGCUUUUAUUGUGAACUAUUUGUUUAUCGGAUGUUUCAAGAUUCUUCGCCAAAUCAAGAGAUAUCAUCACUAGGCAGCAUGAAUAUGAUGCUGAUAUCCUUCUCUACGUCGUAGAUUUGAUAUAAAUUAGUUAGGAUUUAUGGUUGAUGAUAAGUACCAAGGUGUAUGUAUUAAUUGUUUUUUUAGUUCCUUAUUUGCAGAUAAUAUGGGAUGCAACAUUUACCAGUUACUAUCAGUGUCUCUUCUGAGCUGUUCUUCUUUUUUUUCAUUUUUGUUUCUUUUCUACACAUGAUUCUGUGCAGCAUCACAUGCAUGUGUUCUUUGUAUGUACCAUAAUAUACCUUGGAAAUGAUUUAUAAUUAUUUUGUUUUGUAUUUAGAAAUAUGGUAUGUUUUUACCCACAUUAGAGCCUUAAAGGUCAGGGAAUCUGUUAUCUUUAAACCUUACUUUCAUUUUCCUUUUUCUUUGUUAGUGACUGUGGCUUUCAAAUGAUACUGCAAAAGUACCAGUUCGAUUUGAAAUAGAUCACUUUGGAGAUGUAAACUUUUCUUUGUUAUAUAAACAAGUAAUCAUAUCCAUCGUCAUAUGCGAGUUUCAUAAGAUCUAGCUCAAGCUUGCGAUGCUUAAUGAUUUUGUUACUUCGCAAGCAUCUUCGACUCGACCAGCUUAAAAGUUUAAGCUGAUAAAUGAAGAAAUUUUACACAUUAUGUCUGUGUUAUAGUUUUGUUUGUGGAGACAUGCAUGGAGCUUAUAAGCAUGGUUCUUUAGUUCUAAUUAACAAUAUUGAGUUGGAUGAUGAGAUUUUGUCAAUAGCGAUUAAGGGCUACAAGCACAAGUUGACUAGGGUUUCUUUUGAGUGUGAGGAAAAAGAGGAAUCCACAUUGAAACACUCCUCUCUCACACGCACACUCCAAAAAGCACACCUUUUUUUUUAUUAUUAUUAUUCUUCUUUUUUCCUUUUUCUAAUGCAUUGGAUCCCCAUCUCACACUCCCAUCACAUGACAACUUUUCUAAUGCCAUAUAUGUUUUUGACAACUUAGUGUACUUACCUUUAAAAGGUGUUUAAUCUCCUACCCCUACACACUCAAACUUGGUAAACAAACCCAUCUUUGGAAACUUAGUACUCAAUCACUCUACUGCUUAAUUAGUGAACAACUAGAAACUUUCACAAAACCCUUUUUUUUUUUUUUUUUUUUUUUUUUUUUUUUUUUUUUUUUUUUUUUGUUCCCAAUGUCUCUUUCUCUCACUAGUAGUACUUGCCCUAUCUUUCUUUGGGUUGGGUGUUGAUGAUGAUGAUGAUGCCUUUUGUGUUACGGGGAAUAAUGAAGCCUUUUUUAACUUGUGUUUUCAAAUGCUUUGACAUGGGAGCCUCCUCUCCACUCCUUUCCAUGCGUGAUUGUAACUCCUCACCCCACAUGAGAAUGGGAGGAUUCCUCACUCAACAUGUUGCAUUUAUCUUAUUCCGUACUAGAAAAAGAAAAAAAAACUAUUUGUACACUUUUUUAUAGGAUGUAAAUUUGAUACUUCAAGACAUGAGGUUUAAAAACUCUUUUUUUAAAUUUUUUUAGUAUUAAAGAAAGUUGAUGAGGAAAUCUUGGUCCUUUAAACCUGGAAAGUAGGUGUACAUGUAGCAUUGCUCCAGAAAUAAAAAUCGAAACUAAUUUUAGUGUGUCAUAUGAGAUCGCAAAUAGUUUAAUUAAUUAAGGAUAAUAUGAAAAUUCCAUGUUUAGAUGUUUAAAAAAAGUUAUUGUAUUUGUACUUUUGAAUAAUAUGGAAACGUGAACUAACUAUAACACUGUUUGUAUUUAAUAGAGAAAAAAUUUCUGUGCUAAAAGUGUAAGUUUGAUGUUGAUACUAGUGUACGUAGUAACCCGCGCGAUGCGACAGAUAGAUAAUUUAAAAAAAUAGAAAAUAUCGACAAAAAAAAAACGGCAAUGAAAAAAACGAUGAUAAGCAAUGAGAUUUAUCUUGCUGAUGAACGAAGAUAACAGCCGAAAGAAGAGGAAGAUAAAAGACUUGAGCUGGUUUGAACGAGAAUAAAGUUCACACUCAACAAUGAAGGAAAAAUUACCAUAUGGCAACUUUUAGGAGAAAUAAUAUGUAGGUAUAGAUUUGCACUUUUGGAAUUCGGAAUGCUUAACUCAAAAUGCUUAUAUCAGUUUUCUAUCCAUAUUUUAUUGUGUGAUUUUCGCUUUAGAAAUAGAGAAGUUAUUCAACACCAUAUAUAAAUAUAUUAUAUAUUGUGAGAGGUUUUUGUACUGUUUCUGAGUACCCGCUAGAUUUAUUUUAGAUUGCAGCUCCUUUUGCCAUAACUUCUAAGGACUUAUUUGGAUGCAUAAAUAUUUCUUCGGUAUUAUAUAUAUUUAUUCAAUUUACUUAAGUUCAUAUUAUUUAGUAAAUAUUUAUAAUAAAAUAUUGUAUUCAGCAUUCAAGUUAUUUUCAAAAUAAAAUAAAUUAUCUCGCAUGUAAAAACAUAUUAACCCUAUCAAAUCAUGGAUGUCGAAAUCUUUAAGAAUAAAAAAAAAUUCAAAUUCCUUGCUCCCAUCACACCAGAAUAUUAUUCCAACAUAAAGAAAAUGCCUAAAACAACUUCCCUUUUGUGGGAAUUUAUCCUUUAUCCUUAUUGGUUGCUCAAAUGGGUCGGACCAAACUUAGGCAACUUAACCAUUACCCGGCCACGUUGGCCGAAUUAAGCCCGAAAACUAUAUACAAAGAAUAAGGCCAAGAGGCCCAAUAAAACUUGGUCUCUUCAUGAGAAAUUUCACUUGUCACCAAACAUUUAGUUUAUUGUAAAUUUUGCACCAAACUAUAAUUUCUAUUUUGCACUCAACUCUCUUAAUUUUCUUGAAAAUAGAUUAUGCACAUAUUGGGGACGUUAUAUUCUAAAGAUAAAUAAGGGGCUUAGUGAAAGGGGCAGAUCUAGCGGCCGAAAACUUAUGAAUACAAAAGAAUCUAAAGCUAGGGCUACUAUACUCUUACGAGAAUAUCUAACCCCUUUGUAGUCAGAAAUUUUUUGCCGUUGGAUGAAAAGAUGUGCGAUUAGGCUAAUAGUGGUCCCCGAUUAAAGAUGAUAGUGAUCCCCUAGGAUUGAGUGGAUGGUUGGUUGAAUAUUAUAAUCUAACGGAUAGAAAUGGUUAAAUUAGUAGAUCUAACGACAAAAAACUUAUGAGUACAAAAGAAUCUAUACUCAUAGAGUCUAAUAGCCGAACUAUCUAAUCAAAUAAUUAAUUUUCAAAUUUUAUUAUAAAGUAUGUUAGUAUAUUGUAUUUAUAAAUUAUUACAUAUUUUGAAUAAUUUGAUUUGAUGUGUCGGAAUAAACAAUUGUACAAUAAAAAAUAAAUAAAUUUAAUAAUUGCAUGAAAUUUAAAAUAAUAAUUUUAUUAUUUUAAAUUUACGCUAAUUAAAAAUUACUUUAACAUAAUUUUUGAAAAUUUCAUGAAGGAACGGAACAGAGACAGGGCGAGAAGGGCCCCCGCCCCGUUGUGAACUAUUGUGUGUAAACAGGGACGAAACUAGGAUUCAAACUUGAGAGGGGCCAAAAUAUAUUUAAAUAAAAACUUUAGUAAUAAAUAAUAAACAAAAUUUUUCCUAAUUAAAAAUUUUUUAUUAAAAAAUUAUUAAUUAAAUAAAUAAUCUAAAAGUAUUAACUUUAUUUUUUUUUAUUUUCAUAUGUUUAAUUUCUAAUUAUUUUAUUUAUAUUAUUACAUUAAAAUAACUUAGAAAUUUUACUAAAUCUAACAGUAAUUUCUAUUUAGAAUAUUAGUACAAUUCUUAAUUUAGUCAAAUAAAAGAGCUCACCUAAGAUAAAUAAAAAUUUAAAAAAUUAUUAAAUAAAAUUUUUAAAGUAGAGAAAUAUAUUACAAAAGACUCUCUAAACAGAAGCUUUUAAUAUAUUUUCACCCAUAAAAGAGUUACCGAUUAAGAGAAAGAGAGAGCGAGUUAUGUUGGCACCAUACUAUUAAGAAAAUAUUGAAAACUAGGAAGGCCAAAGCAAUCCAUGGUCCACAAAAUAAAAAAAAACAAUUGAGGACCAUUAAGUAAAUAUUGAAAAGUUAAGGGAGGCCAUGGCCACCUUGGGCCUCCACGUAGCUUCGUCCCUGUAUAAAUAAAUAGAAAAUUGUGCACGAGAUAUGGUGUGUGUGUUUUUUUUUUAUUUUUUAUUUUGCGUGCUUUUUUAAAACUUAGUCACAGCUCAGCAAACGGGAAUAAAAAAAAACUGUUUGAUGUGGAGAGGCGACGAACGAUUGGAAUAAUUAAAGAGAAAUAAAGGUAGUGCAGUCGAUUUCAGUGGCUCAUCAAAACUGCCCUUUGUUUUUUUUUUUUUUUUUUUUUUUUUUUUUUUUUUUUUUUUUUUUUUUUUUUUUUUUUUUUUUUGAGAGAGAGAGAGAGAGAGAGAUAGGUAGCACGCAUGCUACCCGCUUCGUUUAUUUCAUUUCAAAAUAAACUUAGCUGGAAAUAUAAAUCAACUAGGAUUUGAACUCGGGUCUCGAAUACCAAUCACCAAACCCUUUGCCACUUACUUUAUGAACGGUCGGUGGCUCAUCAACUGUUGAUGGAGAACCUUGGUGGCAUCUAUUGCUCCCAAUUCUAGGGUUCAUAUUCCUAUACAUUUCCAGAAUUAAACAAACUACUAUUUCUUUAAUCAGCAUUUUUAACUGUUAUUAGCAUGUGACUGUCGCGUAUCCUCUAGAUUAAGAAUAGUAUGUAUCACCGACCGUCCUUAGAGCAAAUAACAAGGGGCUUGGUGGUUAAUACCCGAAGUCCCAAGUUCGAAUCCUAAUUAAUUCACAUUUCCAGCUAAAUUUAUUUCUAAAGGAAAUAAACGAAGCGGGUAGCGUGCUACCUUUUUCUCUCUUUCAAAAAAGAAGAAGAAUAGUAUGUAUCUAUUCUUAACUUAUAUGACAAUCACGUACUAUUGAAAGUUAGAAAAUACAGAAAAGUUAGGGAUUGAUUGAAACAAGACGAUUAUAAUGCAACUUUUGAAUUGCUGAUGAUUGAUAAAUUACAAUCAGGUCAAAAUUCAAGCGGACGGUAAUUUGCCUAAAACCAUUUAGCUUAUGCAAGUUAUUUCGAAUAGGAUUAUUCAAAGAAGUAUUAACUGUUUUCUAAUUAAAAACUACUUAAGUAGCUUCUCGCCUCAAAACAAUUAAAAAUAUCAAAUUUAAACUUCGGGUUAAUUUCAUAUAGGUUCCUACAAAUAUAGUGGAUGUUAGAAAAAUUUAGUUAACCAUAGAUUAAAAAUUAACGCUGGUUAAUUUUUGAUAUUUUUAUCCCUUUUAUAUUAUACUAUUAUGAUUUUUUGAGGGAUAUAUUUAUGAUGAUAAAAUUGAAAAUAUAAAACGGUUCUUUAACAGUAACAAAUCAGAAGAAUAUAUUUGAAAAUAUCUGGGCUUUUGCAAGAAUAAUAUAUGAAAGUUGAAUUUUAUAAAAAUAUAUUUAUUAUUUACUAUAUUUAUAGGAAUUUGUAUUAAAUUAACUCUUAAAACUUUUAUGAUUGAAGCCCAUUAGGCAGUUCUGUAGUUUUUUCUACACUAAAAAUGUUAAAUACUUUUCGUACACAAACGUGACAUAAUGUUUAUGAAUGUUGACCUGCUGUAUGCUCCUUUAAUUUCUACUGUUCUUUUUGGCACGUUAAGAUUAAAUCUUACUGACAAAUAAAAAGCAUGUUUAUUCGCGUGUAAUUGAAUUUUUAAGUCUAAAAAUAACUUUCAGUUUGAAGUAAAGAUUACAUGAAAAUUAUUCUUUUGUCACUACUUUGUUUGAUGAAAAGUUAAUGACUUUAGAACUGUUUUUAUUCCACAUUCUAUAUUUGUUUUACGAUAAAUUUUUGACUUUAGAACCAAAGUUGUUCCACUUUCUAAUGUUUGGUUGGGGAACAAUGAGAGGAUUAAGUCCUUGUUCCCCCACUUUAUUCCCAAACGAUAUAUUUGGUAUCCGAGAACAGUAACUCUCGAGUUUCUAAAAUAAGCUGGUAUAAGGCUGAAACUCUUAUUCCAUCUUUUUUCUGAAACAAGCAUGUUCCUGAGUGGGAACAAGAUUAAUUAAAAUCUAAAUUUAAUUUUAAUUACGGUAUUAAAUCAUUAAUUCAUCUAAUUAAUAUAUUUAAAUUAUUAUUUAUUACUUAAAUAAUAAAAAUAAUUUACUAACUAAUUAAAAAGUUAAAUUAUUUUUUUAUAUUUAUUUAAUUAAUUAAUAUAUUUUUAUUAUCUCAUACAAUAUUCAUAACUAAUAAAUUACUUAUAUUUUAAUUAUCUCAUACAAUAUUGUGCUGGGACACAAAAAGUUAGGGACACAAAAAGUAUUUUGACUUUUGAUAUUUUCAAAUAUACCCCUCUACCGUUACCAAUAUUUCUUAUUUGCAGUUAAGUUAAGGGCAAAAUUGGCAUUUUAAUUUUUUUAACUGUGUUAGAUAUUUAAUUCACGUUUAACCCAAGUUAACUUAACAGGUGGUAACUGUAGAGCUAUUUUGAAAUAACGGAGGAAACAUAUGAAGGGUAUAUUGGAAAGAAAAAAAAAGGCAGAGGUAAUGAGAUAUUUCCGAAGUUUUGAGUGAUAUAUAGGCAAUUAUCCCUUUUACUUUAUUCUUAGGAACAACCUAAUUUUCAUUCAAACAUAAAAUUUGUCUAAUUUUUACCUAUAUCUGAACUUGCACCUAUCUCUAGAAUAAGCAGUUUUUACUUAUACCCGAAACGCACACUAUGGUAUUGUUUGGUUUGGGGAUAAGCAAAAAGUGGCUAUUAUAGGAAUAGGUAUAAAUUGAGAUAUAAGCGGGGAUUAGAUAAAUUUUCAAUUGGAUGAAUAUUGGCUUAUUUCUGUGAAUAAAAAAAAUAGCGUUUAAUUAGGUAAAAUGGAAUAAGGAAGAUAGUAGGUUUUAUAAAUAAAAAAUAAUGAUAUUAUCUUCUUAUUAUAUUUAAAUUUAAAUUUUUUAAAUUUAAAUUUAAAUUUUUAAAUUUAAAAUUUUAACUUUUAAAUUUAAGAUCAAAUUUAAAUUUAAAAAUAUCAAAAUUUAAAUUUCAAAAGUUUAAUUUUCAAAAAUUUAAAAUAUCCAAAUUUAAAUUUUAAAAUUAUAAACUUUAAUUUUGAGAUUACAAAUUAUAAAUUUUAAAAAUUUAAAUUUAAAUUUUUAAAUUUUUAAAAUAAGAAUAACGAUCGGAACAAUUAAUAAAAAUAAUUUAUUAUAAUAAAUUUAUAAAUUUUAUUAAAAUUCUACUUGAACUUAAAUUUAAUAAAAAUAAUUUAUUAUAAUAUUUAAAUAUAAUUUAUUAUAAAUUUCUUGUAAUAUUUAAAUAUAAAUAAUAUGUAUUAAUAUAGUACAAUUAAUAAUUUUGUAAUAAAAAUAAUGUAUUAUAAUAUAUAACAUAUUAUAUUUAUAUAAUUUAGUUUUAAUUCAAUUUAUAAUUUUAAGUAUGUUUGAAAUUAAGUAUUGAAAUAAUACUAUUCCAUCAAAAUUGUGGAAUAGCAAAUCUCUUGCUAUUCCGAAAUAACCGGUAAUAGCAAGGUUUAACCGUAAUAAAAUAUUCCGGUAAAAUAUCUUUCCGUUUGGUGGAACAGCAUGAAUAACUUUCGUUAUCUCCGCUUGCCCCCGAACCAAACGGGGCUUAUGCGUUUUGCAAAAAACGUGUCUUUAAAAUACAAGAUAAUUAAAAAAACUGCAACAAUUAAUUGUUUGUUUUUUCUCUCUUUUUCUUCUGUAAUUGACUUCGUCACGCAUCAAGGCAGAAUAAACUGUAGUGCCCUGAAAAAAAUGAGUUAGGAUCUAAGAUAAGUUACAACAAACUAAAACAUAAAUAGAAAUAGAAAAAAAAAUAUCGAGACCUAUUAAAUUUUAGCACUUUUGCAAAUGCACGCCGAACUUUCAAGUUGGGCAAACAAAUAUAAAUUUUAUUGAAUUGUUCAAUAGGCACCUCUACUCUAGUGAACUUACUGAUUGCACAUAAUUUUAUAAGAGUUAAAAAUAAAUUUAUUUUUAAUUUUGAUAAUAUAACAUGAGGAAAAUAAGUUUGAGAAUCAAUUCUUAAAUUUUUUCCCACUUUUUUAUAUGUUAGGAUGCGAAAAAUAACUUCUUUUGUAUUUUAAAACUUUGUAAAAUUAUAUAUAAUAUAUAAGAUCAAACCGAUUAAAUAAUUCUAUUCCUAUAAAAUUUUAGACUUAGAUUUGCAAAUGAGAUAAAAUUUUAACCAUAUAAAUAUUCACGGACGGGCGUUGGGGAGCUUGUUAAUGGAGAUUAGAGACUGGUGGGAUCGUUUAUAUAGCUGAAUUGCGUUGUUUUUCUUUUGUCUUUCCUUCUUUUGUUUAUCUAUUGGGUCCAGUGCUGGCUUUUUUUCUUUUUUCUUUUUUCUUUUUUUUUUUGUCCUUCGAGGUCCUGGUUGUCUCAAUUUGUCGCUAAGUUUACUUUCUAGUUGAAUGAAACUAUAGUAUGUUAUUUUUUUCUCAAAAAAAGGAAAAUCGCUCCAUGCCAUUCCACUUUCGGUGAAACUCAUUCGCGGGAAAUGCCGGACCGAUCCGGAAAUGGAGACUUGUUUGCAUAGGGAGUUUGACAAAACUGGUCGGCCCCGAGGAUUCCCUACCGACCACGGCGCACGACCACGACGCCGACGCCAACACGAUCCGAUCGACCACCUCACGGAGCGCCACGUGUCCCCACUUUGGGAAGGCCACGCGGGGUACAGCAAACAGCGGAGCCACGGCUCCCCACGGACACCCGUCGGCCGCCCAUUGGGCCACGUCGACCCGCGAUGGCACCAUGUCGGACGAAAUCAACGCCAUUGGGUGGGCUCGUACACGUCACAGCCCCCCAUCCUUAGCCCCGGGAUAAGAUAAAAUAAUGUGCUUAUUUGUCAGCGUCCGUCACUGUUAGAGUCGCCACCCAACCGUGUCACGUGUCGGCCCGUGUCUCAUGAUGGGUUCCGCUGUACCCUCAGGCCUCUCUCAAUCUAAUCCAUCUCACCACGCACGUUUCGGGCAUAUUUUUUUCUGUAACUCUUUGCGCAGAAAUUUUGUACACCCUAUUUUUCUGUACAAAAAAUAUAGUUGAUUAGUUAGAUUUAUGAUUUAAAAUUCACUUUGACACCGAAUUUAACUACACAGAUUUUAAAUUUUUUUUAGAGAGAAAAAGACUAAAAGCUAUUCCUUUCGUCCAUUUAUUUGAAAAAUAAAUUCAGAUAAAAAUAUAAAAUAAUUAAUUAGAUUUCGAAACUUUAUUUAUUAAUUAUUAAAUCCUUAGCCAUCUAUUCUAAGUUAUAUUUUUUUGUUUGACUUCUAGCAAUAUGGAGUACCACUUAAAGAUGGAGCACUACUGCAAGCAUGUUAUUUUAUUUAUUUAUUUAUUUGGUAUCAUCUUAAUUAUUAUUUGCUCGGUUGCUUCGGCUUGUGGACUUGUUUUUUUUAAAAACAAUAUUUGAGAGGCUACUGGAAGGGAGAGGUAGACGUUUUGCGAAGGAUAAAGAUCUUAAGCAUUUAGUUUAUCUGGAACAUGAUUUUUGCAUCUACAAGUUGACAGAUCUGAUUGGUUAGGAAGUUGUUGAAGUGCUUCAACAAACAAUUAUAUUAUAGUUCUAAAAGGAACAAAUCCUAACGAGCUCUAUUUGUGACAAACAUGUCUUGUUAUGUGGGCCACAUACUAAAAAACACAAAAUUUCUAGUUAUACGUAGCUGUUUCUCGAGUUAUUUUUAGUGCCCUCAUAUCUUAUACUUUGGUCUACACUACACACACACACACACAAAAAAAAUGAUAGAUAAUAAUUGUAACUUGUUUGUUCUUUUUAUAAUAAAAUAAUGUAAAAAAUUUUAACUUUACACUAAAAAUUCUAAUUUGAAGUUUUCAUUGGUAUAGUUUAUAUGCCAUGAGGAAUCCAUUGAAUUAAUCGACGCGCAAAAAGCCAAAAUAUUUUUCAUUCUAAUGCUUUGAUUUUAUACUUCUAAUUAUACUGCAAAAAGAAAAAAAAAAAAAAAAAAACACUCGCAAAGAAAAUUUUAAUAUAAUAUUUUCUCUAACAACACAAUUUAAUUAAAUAGUAUUUUAUCAAACAGUACAGAUGCUGAAAUUGGCCGCCCCUAAUCCAGUUGAAUUGCUGCAGUCAUCAACUCAUUAGUAAGCCAGCCUUAAUAUUUAGCUCAUCUUCUUCUUAACUAAAUUACCUGCUUACAUAAAUAACAAAUAUUAGUUCCUUUGGUAAGGUAAAUUCUCAGCAAAAACUUAAUUUUUUUUUGUUUUUGAAGGACAAUUAACUUCUAUAUAUUCUGCACAUAAAUCCCUACAACCCAAACCUCCCCAGACAUAAAGCAUAUAUGUAUAUUAAUUUGAUGCCGACGACAUCUUUCCGAAUUUAAACUAACAUAGAAACUCAAAGUCUCAACCGCGUAGCUGAGAUUCGAAAACCUGACUACUAUGUCACUGGUGGUCUAGUAAGACAUUUCUGCAUUUUCUAAAAGAAAAAUCCAUAAGCAAAUUUCCUUAAAUUAAUUAAACUGGGUACUUAAUUUAUAGCCAAUAUUGUACACUAGCAAAGCCAAUAGUAUAGUCAUGUAAGGGCAGAAGAGAUCUAGCAGCACAAUUCAGUUAAGGGAAUGUCUGCGUCUUGACGUAUGUGGAGGUAGAUAAGGCCGUUUUUGGCCAUACAUAUUUACCUUUUUUGUGAUGCCUUCGGGGUUAAGUAAAAGCUAGUUAUUUUAGGGAUAGGAUUAAGUCCAGGGCUAAGAUGGUGUUAGAGUAAUUUUGUGUUUUGGUUGAAAAUUGAAUUUAUUUCAGAUAUAAGCAAAACAAUAUUUGGUUAGAGUAAGUAGAGUAAAAAGGAUAGUGGGUAGUUAUAAAUAGAAAAAUAAUGAUAUUGCCCCAAUUAUUAUAUUUGAAUUUAAAUUUAAAAUUUACAUAAUUAAAAAUAAUAGUUUAAAAUUUAAAAUUUAAAAUUCAAAAUUAAAAUAUAUUUUUUUAAAUCUCAAAUUUAAAAACUUAAAGUUACAAAUAUAAAAUAUUAAAUUUAAAAUUUAAAUAAUUAAAAAUAAUAAUUUUAAAAUUUGAAUUUUUUAAAAUAAAUAUUAAUUUUAAAAUUUAAAAUUAUAAUUUUUAAAUUUAAAAUUUAAAAAUUAAAAUUUAUAUUUAUAUUUAAAAAUAAAAUAGGGGUGGGACUAACUUAAUCCCAUCCUUAUUCCUGGGUUGGGGUGGGGUUAACUAACCCUAACCCCCAAAAUUCUUGUUUGGGGUUAAAGGGGGGGGGGUAACCCCCUUAUCGUCCCCCCUUUAACCCCGAACCAAACGGGGUGUUAAAAGCAUUAGAAAAUUCAUNUUAAAAAUAUCAAAUUUAAAAUUUAAACUUUAAAAUUUAUAAUUUUAAAUUAUAAAUUUUAAUUUUGAGAUUAUAAAUUUUAAAAAUUUAAAUUUUAAUUUAAAAUAAAAAUCUCUCUCUCUCUCUCUCUACCCGGCGGGGUGGGAACAGAACAAGCUUGUUCCCACCCAUACCUAGUACAACCCGGUAUGGGUGGGAACAAGUUGUUCCCACCCACCCAGAUUUUUGUUUGGGUACAAGAGGGGGGAUAACCCCCUUAUCCCCUCCUUUAAUCCCGAACCAAACGGGGUGUUAGGUAUCGUUUGGUUCGGGGAUAAGUAAAAAGUGGCUAUUCCAGGGAUAGGUAUAAAUUGAAAUAUAAGCAGUGAUUAGAUCAAUUUUGCAUUUGAAUGAAAAUUAGGUUAUUCCUGAGAAUAAAAAAAAUAGCGUUUGGUUAGAUUAGAUGGAAUAAGAAGUGUAGUGAGUUUUAAUAAAUAAAAAAUAAUGAUAUUAUAUACCUACCUAUUAUAUUUGAAUUUAAAUUUUUAAUUUUUAAAUUUAUUUUAAAUUUUAAAAUUUUAACUUUGAUAUUUCAAAUUUUGAAAUCUCAAAUUUUAAAAUCAAAAUUUUAAAUUUUAAAUUUUAAAUCUCAAACUUUAAAUUUAAGAUCAAAUUUAAAUUUAAAAAAUAUAAAAUAUCAAAUUUUAAAUUUCAAAAUUUUAAAAUAUCAAAAUUUAGAAUUUAAAAUUUAAAAUUCUAAACUUUAAUUUUGAGAUUACAAAUUAUAAAUUUUAAAAAUUUAAAUUUUAAAUUUUUAAAUUUUUAAAUAAGAAUAGGGAUGGGAACAAUUAAUAAAAAUAAUUUAUUAUAAUAAAUUUAUAAAGUUUUUUAAAAUUCUACUUAAACUUAAAUUUAAUAAAUAUAAUUUAUUAUAAUAUUUAAAUAUAAAUAAUAUUUAUUAAUAUAGUACAAUUAAUAAAUUUAUAAUAAAAAAAUAUAUUAUAAUAUAUAACAUAUUAUAUUUAUAUAAUUUAGUGUUAAUUUAAUUUAUAAUUUUAAUUAAGUUUGAAAUUAAGCAUUGGAAUAGCAAAUUUUUUGCUAUUCCGGGAUAACUGGGAAUAGUAAGGUUUGACCGGAAUAAAAUAUUCCGAUAAAAAAUCGCCCCGUUUGGCGGAACCCCGCUUAUUCUCCUAAUCGAACGAUGCCUUAAUCUCGUAGGCUUGAUUACCAUUCAAAAUACUAUAGCUAGGUUAACAGAUUAGUGUUAUCAUUCUUUUUGUGGGUAUCACAUUCUUUUCUUUUUUAAGCUUUGACGUCCUCAGGCUAAAGCACACUCGCAAGUAUCAAACGAUAUGAAGCUUAUUUCGUCAGUCUCAACGGACUAUAUGGUAAAUCUGUGACACAUCGAAAAUUUUAUAUUUAUAUGGAUAUAAAAUUUUAGUUAGAAAUACAAAAAAUCAUAAAUUUUAAAUUAAAUUUAAAAUAUUUUAAAUUAAAUAAUUUAAUUUUAAUGAAUUAUUAUUGCUGGCAAAUAGAACGGUUAGCAAAUGCAGCAAACAUAAGGAAAGCAAAGGAAAGGGAGAAGCGACAAGAAAGCCAUGGAAUGGACACGUAGGGCGUACGAUAUUCGCUGUGAGACCGCCACAGUGUCCGGGCAACUUAAGGCAACAUCCGAGGGGCACGCUAACUGCCCGCACAAAGCGACAGAAUCUCCCGCGCCACGUCCGCAGCGGCAUGCAAUCGAGAGCGAGCCGAGAUGAUGGUCGCAAACCCGUCCACGAUUCCCCCUCCCAUUGGUCCAAACGUUCCCAUGGCGCACCCCACAAUCCAAACCCAAAUUUCUUACAACUCACCUACUGCCCAGAGCAAGUGACAAAAAAUUUAAUAAUUAAUAUUCAAAAUUUUAAAUUUAAAUUCUAAUUACUUUAUAUUUUUAAUUAAAUUUAUUUUUAAAUAAAAUAAUAGAAACGAAUAGCAUAUUAUCUAUCUCUCAAAUAAAAAAAAAUUUAUAUAACUUUGUGCCUAGUGUUUUCCUACGUAUGCUUCUUCUGAUUUUUGGGUGUGAUUAACUUGUAGUAACGCUAUUAAUUAAUUUGGCUAAGAAUUAGCUGCGGAAUUAAUUUAGUAUGUGGGCGAAUCCUGCCCACGGAAUUGUAUCCAAUUCCCACCCGAUUUUAACUCCGCGAACGCACGCAUUCUACACACACCUGUCCCUCGCCCAUUGGACGCGUUACUUGCUUGCGCCUGGUUCAUCGGUAAGCCAUGCACCGUAGAAUUUUUACCACGUGAUUAAGUCAGUCGAUCGUUUCUCGCCGCACCUAGUUCGCUGAUACAUCGUGGACCGUACGAUUUAUUUUAGGAAUAAUUUCAUACUGUGCCCUUUCCUGUAAAUAUAUCAAACAGCAUAUAUAUUCCUACUAAGAUUAAUUUUUCAUAUUUAUUUUUACAAAAGUCCGGUGAUAUUCAUAUUUACCUUUCUGAUUUGUUACCAUUAGAUUACUAUUUAAUUUUUAACAGAAGAUAAGUAAAAAUGAUAUUUUGCUCUCUCAAAUAUACCCCUCCAAACAUCCCAACUAUUAGAAUUGUACAAAAAUAUUCUUCCAAAAAUUUUCAACGGUCACAUUCUUUCUUUAUAAGUAAAAUGUUAUUUUUGUCAUCACAAAUAUAAGAGUGGUAAAGAAAGCAAUUUACCUUAUUCGAUUACUAAUCAAGGUAAAGUAUUUUAUCUAUAGUUAAUUAUAUUUUUCUAACGGAUCUAAAGACAAUGGAUAUUUGAAAAUGUUAGAAUUUUUAUAGAAAUAAAUAUGAAAAGUUAAACUUUAUAUAUAGAAAUAUAUCUACUAUUUGAUAUGUUUAUAGAGAGUUGUAUGAAAUUAUCCCUUUAUUUUAAAAGGCCCAUUUGGUUCACGAUUUAUAAAGUUUUGAUAAAUUUUUAUUUUUUUACUAAAAAUAUUUAAAUUACUAUCCUUCAAUUCAAAUUGAGCCGUUGUAAAAAAUAUUAGUGAAAAAAUAUAAUCAUCGUACAUUAAUUAGAUAAUAGGAAUACUACGUUAUCAUAAAUUAGGAGAUAUUUUUAUCUCCAUACUUGAUGAAAAGCUAUAAAUAGUUAAUUAAUAACAAUAUUUCAACUCAAGUGGCUUAAUAAUUAAUACCAAGGUUGUCAUUCUCAAUAUAAAAUAUAAAAUAUUUUUAAAAUUAUUACAAAUCUGGAAUCAAAUGACCACUUAUUUUAAUUUUUAUCAUCCAAUAAGUUAAGCGGCAACCCUUUCUUUUUCUGAAAUUAAAAUUUGUUUACACUAACUUUAUGAUAGUUUAACACAUACAUAUGGUUAUAUUCUGUGAUUACCGUUCAUUAUAAUAAAAAAAAAAGAAAAAUACUAUUUAUGCAUCAAAAAACUGAGUGUAAGCUUUAUACCUUUUAAUCCAAAAUUUUAACUAUUUUUUUAAAAAACUUUUAAUAAUAAGACAAAAGUAUAAGUUUUAUGACGAUUUUUAUAGCAUUGCUCAAAAAUGGCAUGUGAAAUGAAAAACAAACUUAACUGAGAAACUAAAAAGCAACUUUUCAUUUAUGGUGCAACAAAAUAGUAAUUACAGUGCAACUUAAUGUAAUAAAUAGAUUAUGUAUACUAAAUCAACACGCACUAAAGAUCCACAAGGGGUGUUAGAUAAUUAACACAACUUAGUACAAUAAAUAAUAUUACAUAGUAAGAAACUGAGCAUUGAUUGAAGAACAACAGGAGGUGUAGCCAAAUUUUUUCCCCUUUUUAAUCUUUCUUUUAAUUUUUGGAGUUGCAUCCUCAUUGGUUCCUCACCCGAAUACCGCUAUUUGAGAAUCUAGAAAUUUGAACAUCUAAAUUUUGAAACGCACACGUGUGGUUCGAUCUUCCCGACCCAAAUAAUAGUCUACAGUAUUUUGACUUUACAAUUUAAAUUUGUCAUUUAUUUUUACCAUGUUAAUUAGUAUGCUCCAUGUAAUUUUCGCAACUGUAAAUUUAUUAUACUAAAUAAUUAACUUAAAAUUUAACGUUAAAGUAUUAUCGACCGACUUUAAUUAAAUAAAUUAAAAUUUUAAAUAGUAAAAUUAAAAUUUUGAACGAUUAAAUAGUCGACUCAAAAUGAAUUAUAGUACAGAUAAUUUUUGUACACCUUUACCUUCUUUUAUAUAAUAUAUUCGCAGAUAACCCAAAUUGCCCGAAAGCCCCUCUAGACGAGGAGGAAUUCUACACUAUCACACCUGCAGCACGUCACCAAUAACAAGCCAACCACCUUUCUUAUUUUCAAACAAAAAUACAAUAAAAAUAUUUUUUUAUAAUCAUGAUGGGACAUAUAUAUCUAAAAGAAGAUUUUUAAUUAAUUUGUUAUGCCACGUCACCAAUAUAUCCGUUGUAUUCUAAAAUUUUUCCUAGACGAGCGUGGAUGUAUUGAAAAUGCAAGAAUAGAGAGAUAUCCGUGCACCGGGUGCGGGCAAAAGUUCGCUGCGCCUACCUGGGCAACUGAAGCUUCUAAUACCCUCUGCAGCCGCAUUUCAUGCUCACACGCCCCCUUCAUUUUCUCAUACUAACCCCCCCAAAUAUAAAAGAGGAGAACUAGCUCAAUUCUACAAAAGAAGAGGGUGGAGGUAAAUUGGGAUCCAAAAAAGAAAAAAAAAAAAAGAAAAAAAAGGAAAAGGAGAGAGAAAAGAUCCGAAACAAUUAAUAAUGGCUCAUAGCGGGGAGUUGUUUCUAGGAGAGGCUGCAGGAGUUGCGGAUCCCUUUGCGUCGAUGAACGGCUUCGCGGGGAAGCGGGGGAGGCGAGGAGAGUCGACGAAAAAGAGGCGGUUCAGCGAGCAGCAGGUGCGGUCGCUGGAGACGACGUUCGAAGUGCAGGCGAAGCUGGAGCCGAAGAAGAAGGCGCAGCUGGCGCUGGAUCUGGGGCUGCAGCCGCGCCAGGUCGCCAUCUGGUUCCAGAACAAGCGCGCCCGCUGGAAGUCCAAGCAGCUCGAGCACGAAUUCGCCGCAUUGCGCGCCGACCACGACGCCCUCUUCGCCGCCGUCGAGGCCCUCCGCAGGGAGAAGCAGAUCCUCCUCAGACAGGUAGCGGCCAAGGAUCCUUCGACAUUUCCUUGAUCUCCAACCUCAUGUCGAAUUUUUAAUUUGUUGUAACUUAUGCGCUAAAAUCUAACUUCCGUUCUAAUUAUGUCACUAACUUACUAAUGAUGUAUUUACUCGUAUUCUACCUCUAAUAUGUUACGUUUUUUUUCCCCUUUUGUUUGAACAGUUGCAGAAGUUGAAGGAAUUGCUCGAGAAGCAAACAGAGGAGAACGAAAAGGAUGGCGGAUCCAGUAACGGUGGCAAUCGAGCCAUCGCGGCAUCGAGAGAAGGGUCGGCGAACGAAAAUGUAUUGAACUCAGAGCAUGGAGAGAUAAAGCUGAGCUGUGUAGCGCAAGAAGAAGAUGCAGGAUUGUUGUAUAUGGGAGAGCCUGAGGUUAGUGGGUGCCUCACUUCAAUAGGAGAACAACAACAACAACAGUGUGGUUUCAACUGCAGUAGCUCUCCUGAGAAUUGUACUACUACUACUACUACUACUACCUCUGAGUGGUGGGAGUUUUGGCCUCUGACUGAAUUAAACCCUGUAGCUUGAGAAGGGAGAUGAGUUUGAUGUUUGUAAUUAAGGAUGGAGUGUUCUUGCAGAAUAGACCUAGUGGGGCUUUUUUAUUUUUGAGAUGAAUCUUCGCGAAAUUAAAAAAAAAAAAAAAAAAAAAAAGCAAAAAGGUAGCAUAGUAUUAAAAUUAUAUGAAAUAAUCGCCAUUCUCCCGUUCGGGUUAAUAGAAAACAGGUUAAGAACCUGAUAAGAUUCGAACUCAGAAUCUACUAUUUUGAUACUGUGGUAAAAUUACGUACAAGAAUUAUUGUUAUGCAAAAAUUUAAGCUGACAGAAAGUAAUAUUUUAAUGUUAUAUGUUCAACAUGCUAGACUUUGAAUUGGUAGCAACUCUCUUUACCUAAAUUAUGGGUUAUUUUGUUUUUGCUAUCUAAUUUUUUAAUUUAUUUGAUUUAAGUUAGUCAACAGUAUUUUGAUUUCGAAAUUUAAAUAAGUUGUUUAUUUUCUAGAGAUUUAAUUAAUACACUUCACAUAAUUCUCGCAACUAUAAAUUUAUUAAUGUAAGCAAUUUGCUCAAAUUUUGAAGUUAAAAUAUCGUUAACUAAUUCAAUUCAUACAAAUUAAAACGUUGGACGGCAAAUUAAAAUCUUAAAAGUUUGGAUAAACAAUCCAAAAUAGUCCAUAGAUGAGAAAUUCUAGUUGUACAGGGAAUGUAAAUCUUACAUUUUCAUCCUAGGGUUUAUAAAAUUUCAAAUAAUUUCAAUAAAAAAAGAAAUUUUGAUGUGACAAAUAAAAAAUUAAUAACCCUUGAAUGGAGUGGUAUAAAAUAUAUACUCUAAUUUGGGAUGCAUCGGUAGCAUUGCUUUUUACAUAAGUUAUGUACAUUUUUAUCAUUAAUAAAAACAAAAUAUAGUUACACCUGAUGUGCUAGAAACACAAUUGGGCAUCGGUGUUUGAACUAUUGUUCUAUCGAAUCAAUUCUGGUCGCAUAGAGGGUACGAGUAGGUGAAUGAAAGCAACACAGUUGUGGAUUUAUUGCAUAUUUUUCUCGCAUGUUACUUCCAGUGAUUAAGACGUAAUAAGCUAACAAGCAAUUCGCUAUCAAGUGUUUGAAAUUAAGGGCCAGAAUCUUCUAGAUUCAUAAAAUUACUCAUUGUAUUAUAAGUAUUGAGUGUAAUUGGCCAUGUCGCAAUAACUAUUUUUUAUAUCUAGACAUGAAUUCUCAUGGUUAAAUUCUAUGUGGAUGUACCCUCUUAAUUUGAGAGCGGUGAGACCUUUUUUUUUUUUUUCUAAGUAAAAUGUAUCUUCUCCCUCACCUCCUUCAAUUCAUUCAGCUUUACCGACCAUCCCAAAAGCAAGUAGCAAAGAAUUUGGUGGUUUGCACCCGAGACCUAAGCUCGAAUCCUAGUUGAUUCACAUUUUCAGCUAAGUUUAUUUCUAAAUGAAAUAAAAGAAACAGAUAGUGUGCUACCUAUCUCCCUCACCUCCUUCAAUUCAUUCAGCUUUCUCUCUCUCUCUGCUUUUCUUUUUUUCCUCCCAUCUAAAAUGAGAAGAGAAAUAUUGUAUUUAUUAGACCAAUUAGGAGAUGAUGAGGCACAUUUAUUAUAUAAUUUAAAGAAAGGUUUGUAAAGGUUAUGAAAAAAAAGGGAAUCAAAUUAAUUAGAUGGUGUGACAUUAUUGUAUAAUGCAUGCAAUUAAGCACGUGGAGAUAAUUCACUUAUGAACAUCCUAUUUCUAACAAUUUCUAUGUGAAAAUAUAUGGAACAAAAUAAGGCAGCGAAUGUUGGGGGUUGUGAGUAAAUUAAUUCAAGAACAUAUGCACUUAAUUACAUUUGCGCCUAUAAGAUUUAUCAUACAUGCAUGUAUGUCCCUCUCCCCUCACCUUACUUAUGCAACAGUUUUGGUGAAGAAGCGGAGGUUAUCCCACAAGAGCGCUCGCCGAUUCAAAUUCCUUCUUAAAGAUAAUUUUUUUUAAAAUUUUUCGCUCUAAUCUUCCCUUUUAUUUUGAUUGAUUGAUCCAUCUGCAUCUCCUACUUUUGUUUCUUUUUUUAACUUGAAUUGAUUUGGGAGAGAUCGAUCACGUGAUGAUGCAAUGCAUAGCGAGAUACUGAAGUUGGUGGAGGGGAAGGAGCCGCAGCAGCUCCCGCAGGGUGAGGACCUUCCAGGAAUGGGGCAAUUCUAUUUCGUCUAUUGAAAGAAAGAUUUGAAAUUAAGAUGAUUUGAUUCGAGAAGUUUUUUAAGUUUUAUAAGGUUUAGAAAUUAAGAUGAUUCAAUUUGGUGAUUGAAUUCAAAAAGUUUUGAUUUUGAUGGGUUUCUUUUCGUGUAUCAGCGAACGACGAUGCUAAGGAGAGCAUUUUCGGUCGAAGCGCCACAAGAAACGGUCAGCUCUCGCUGUUCUUACUGUUUGAUAUUGACUCAAUUGCAUCAGCAUGUUAAAUAUUAGUGUGGUUUGAUGUUUUUAUUGUCGUCAUCGUCAUCGCCAUCACCCAUCCUCAAAUCUCUCUCUCCCACUAGGGUUUCAAUCCUUCCCCAUGGCCAACGUCGAAGCCCCCACGGCAGCGCCACCGCCUCUGCUGCCGUUCUUCGUGUUCCGAUGGACGAGACCACCACAAAGAAAUUUUGAGACAUGCUGGAUGAUUUGUUAAAUAGAAAUUUUAAUUUGUACAAAUUUUGAGAGCGUAGCAGUUGGACUUGAUGUUAGUUGAAUUCCGGUUCGGUUGAUAUUAAAUGAGAGCCUUAGGUUUAAAAGAGUUGGGAUAAAAAUAUAUUCUUUCGUCGCAAAUUUGUAUGUUACUCUACUCAAAUGUGGUAUAGUAAUAAGAUAUUACUUAGCAAAACUAAAGAAGCACAUCUUUAAAUUUUAACUUUGUAACCAGCCCAUUGGUGGAUAGUUAGUAAUUAUUAGCCUAAUAGAAUAGGCCCAACAUUUUGGCUUUUCGUGGUAGGCAUAAUUGACCUUUGUCCAUGGGCUUAAUUAAAGCCGAAUUUAAUUUUUAAAUUAAACCAAGAGUACAUGUUCAUAGAUGAGCUUUUUAGUUUUCUUGAGCAAAUUGGAUUGAAUCUUAAUAUAUGUGCAAGUUGGUUGGAUUAAUCAAUUAUAUCUACUAUAGACUUGUUGUCCAAUGUAAUCACUUAAUUUUUUUUCUUAACUAAAAAUAAGGGUUAAAAAAAAAAAAUCUAUAAAGAACACCUUCUAAAAUAUCCAGGGACGUAAAUAAGUGGAACAAAAGCGAGCUAAGCCAAACUCAAAAUCAAUUUGUUCAGUGACAAAUAAAACUUGCUUAUUAUUAUUAUUAUUUUUUUAACAUGCUAUUCUUUGUUAGUUCUUAACUUUUGAAUGCACAUGCAAUAUGGUUUUUUAAAUACCAUGAGGAUAAAGGCAAGCGAAUUUCUGUAUUUUAAAUUUAUUAUUGUUCUCUUCAUGAAACUGUAAUUAAUGUUUAAUAUUAUAUUAAUGCGUGCUUAUUUUCUAAUUGCAUGUCGGUUACUUAAUCCUUCUUGAGCUCAAAAAAGAGUCCGCUCAUUGAGUUUCUUUGUAGACACAUUAUUAAUGUGAUGUUUCUAGCUAAUCAAAUUGCUCUUCUAUAAUUUAUCUAUUUUAUUAUAACUAUUUUUUAAAAAUAUUUUUAUUUUAUUUCUUUAAAAAAAUUAAUUUAUUAAAAUAAUGCAGUGUAACUGUUACUUAGUAUACUUCCUCACUCGCGUUAGCAAACCAACGCAACUUUUUCCUUCUUUUCCUUUUUCAAAUAUAAAAAUAAAAAUAAUUAAACCUCAAAAAGGCAUUUAAUGAAGCCCAUUCGAAACGUACGCCAAAAAGCAAUCCCCGCUCCCCUCUCUCUCUCUCUCUCUCUCUCUCUCUCUCUCUUUUCUUAAACCCCAAUCCAAAGCAACGACACCCAAAUCCCCACAUCCACCGCCCCACUUUUGCCCUAAUCCCCUUCUCCACAUGCCUCGCGCCUACGGCGGCGGCGGCGGCGGCGGCGCAGGCGCCGUGAACGACCUCUCCGCCUCCGCCGCCCGCGGCGGUGGAUGCAGAUGCGGCGGCGGCGGCGGCGGCGGCGCGGAGGAGGCGGGGGUGGGGUGCCCGUGGCGGUGCCCUGCGUCCUCGUCCCGCUCCUCCUCGCGGGGCUCGGCGUCGCCGUGUUCAUCCUCGCCGUCGUCCACAACGCGCUCUUCCUCGCCGUGCUCCUCCUCGUCUCCGCCCUCGCCUUCGCCUUCUUCCGCUGGAACGCCGCCGCCUCCCGAUCCAAUCGCGCCCUCGUCCUCUUCCUCGAUCGCUUCCCCGCCUCCGAUCUCCGAUCCGCCGCCGAUGGCCAGAUCGUUAAGAUCACCGGGGUGCGUUCGAUUUCUCUGUUCUUCAGCUAAUUUCGCAAUUUAUUGUUCUAACUAGGUUGAUUUCUUUUUAUAUCUCGAAUCUUUUCGAUUAGAGGUAGAAUGGAUGAUCAACUACUACCGCGCUUGAAUCGGGACAUGCAUUGUUAUAAUUGAAUGUUUUUCAUGGUUUUUUCAAUGAACUAACAAUGCCUUUAACGUGUGUAAGUGGAGCUCAGAGCGCAUAACUCAUCGUUUGAUCUCUAUCUCUUGCCCAUUGAAUUUCAGAUAUGAAGAUCAGUUUGAUCUAUUGACGCUUCUCUGUAAUCAAAUUAUGGAAUUAUUGAUAAGCGCUUAUAAUUUUCUCAACUAGCUAGAUUGAUGAAUGAUCUGAGCUUGAUCUUGGCCUAUCUUGCCUAUUUUUUCUUUUAAAUUUGAUUAAAAUGUACAUAAAUGAACAAAUCGUAGAAGUUUGCAAUCUAUUUAAGAACUAUCCUCUCUCAUCUUCAUUAAAUGCAGUUUGCUUCGUGUGGUGAUGUUCCUCUGGUUUCUUCGUAUGAGAAGGUUGGAAGAUGUGUGUAUACAUCCACGCUUUUCUAUAAAUAUAGCGGAUGUUUACCGAUGCUAGCAAAUUCCAAAAUCCGAUGCCUCCGGUGGGAUUUAGCAUCUGUAGAGGUAAUCAAGCAUCUUAACUUUUUGAGAGAAUAGAGGCUAAGAUAUCUAACUGAUUGAGCCCGAUAUAUAUUGCUCCUAAAUGUUUUAGCUUGAUUUUUUUGCUUUUUAUCAUCCAGUUCAACUUAUAUGUGGAGCAAGUAUGCAAACUGUGGUUCUGGUUAUUGUACAAUGAACAUGCAUUGCUAUGAACACCCCAUGUUGAUGUAUGGAUAUUGAACUUAAUCACACAUUCACUCUACUAUGAAUAUAUGCAUAGUUUUUAUGCAAGAACAUUGCUCAGUAUAUGCCGCUCUUUGGAGUUUAACAUUGACUUCUGAGUCCAUGUUUAAACUUAUGUUCUAGUUUCCUCGUGCCUCUCAACUAGAACUAUUUUCUUUGCGCUGUUCUGCUUAUUCUGUAACCUUUAUUUGUACCGUUCGCAGAGGUUAGCUUUGGACUUUUACAUAACAGAUGCCAAAUCAGGUAUGAGAGCUUUGGUCAAAGCUGGCCACAACUCGAAAGUGAUUCCCCUGAUUGAUGAAAACGUUCUUGUUAACACUACACAUAGAAACAGAGAAGUAUCUUCGACAUUAAGCAAAUGGCUAGAAGAAAGAAACCUUUCUCCUGAAGCUCACAUGAUUCGUCUUGAGGAAGGGUACUUUUCAACUAUUAAGAACUUCUUUGUCAAGCAGUUGUAUUACCAACUAUUAUUGAAGUGUCCAGCAUUUGUUGUACUGUUAUUUUUAUGAUACUGAUAGGUAUAUAAAAGAGGGAAGGUCCUUGACCGUGAUGGGCAUACUGAGUAUAAAGAGUGGUGUUCUAAUGAUCAUUCCACCAGCUGAACCUAUUUCUACAGGAUGCCUAUUGAAGAAUUUUCUCCUCCCUGUCGAUUUUGACGGACUGCUUUUGAAAAUUUCUGACCCAAAUAACUUCAUGCCUGGCCUUGACGCUUCCAAUUAGCAGACAAUUCAGGUGAGUUAUUACUGGACAAAAUCUCUACUUGUUUUGAUACGUUGAUAACAUUAACACUUCUAAGUUUAUGAUUGUUUCUUGGAAAAGCUUUUUAUGCAGUUCCUUCCAUCAGUUUCGUUCCUAGUUGGCAUCCAGAAUUGGGGGGGUCUGGGUACCCACCAUUCUGAUUUUAGAGUAUGGCUUGUUUUUUUUUUUGUUUUUUCCCUUCAAUAAUUGAUGGGGUUCACUUGAUGAACUGAGUUUCCUCUAAGAUGUUGACUAAUCAUUUGUUCCCACAAAGUGCUGAAGUUAUAGGAAAUAGCACUUAUAAAGGUAGGUCUAAGAAAAUAUUGAGACAUUCAGAAAUGAUAGCUUAUAGUUUACUGUAGAAUCCUGAUAUCCAGAUCUCGAAAGAGUGGACUAACUAAGAUCCACAGAUAGGGACACAAGCCCCAAAUUUAUGGGCUCGCUCUUGACCUCAAUGGUAUCUUAUCACAGACCACUGGUGCUUUAGCUCUCGGUCCCUGAGAUUAUAUUACUCUAUUCUGCAGGUUUAGGGUUCACUAACUUUAUUAAAGGGUGGUGCUAUUGCAACCUGUGCAGCUACUCCGACGAGUGAACAAAGAAUUGAGCUUGUUCGAGGAGGCCAGCGAACACAUUUUGAACUUUUUGUACAGUAAGACCUGACAUUACAUCUUUUUGUCCUUGACAUUGCUUCACCUUUGAGGGAAAAUUUACAAAUUGAUCCCCACUAGAGCUUUUCAGCUGUAUCUUUUGUUCAGCUGUAUUCUUGUUAAGGAGAAACUGAAUAUCAUGUACAGAACCUCUUGUCAUUUGCUACAGCUAUUCUUCGUUUGAGAACUCUUUCACCGCAACUGUGGUCCUUUUUAACCUCUUGUCAUUUGCUACAGCUAUUCUUCGUUUGAGAACUCUUUCACCGCAACUGUGGUCCUUUUUUUUGCCGCCUUAGAAUGUACAAUAUAAUGUGGUUCCAAGUUGAACUCAAAAACCUGUUGAAAUUAUUGCUUUUUCCGCAUUUGGGUGGCUCCCUUCUAAGAUCAAAGCUUCAGCCCAGAAUGCAGUUUUCUCAGAAUUUAAAAAAAUAACCAUUCGAUAGUGAUUUAGCUCUGUAGGAUUUAUGUUCUAUGAAAUCAAAAAGAAAAUCAAACCAAUAUUGCCAUGUAGAAUCACACUCUUCAGAGAUUUUGGAUACCUUGCAGUCCUAUUUACAAAUAACACUGUGGACCUCAUUCACAGAUAAAAACCUCAUUCACAGAUAAAAGUGCCAAUCUAACAGCUUGCUUUGUACCAAAUCCAGCUAGCACAAAAGAAAAACCCAGAAUACUAUAUUAAACUUCUUCAUCUUACUUUUUAGGAAUCAAAAUCUAUUAUUACCCUUCGGUUAACUCUCUACUUCUUGACCUCCUCGUAUUCCGCCUCAGGAGUCUCAUCACUGCCACUGCCCUUCGAACCACCACCGGUCAUAUGCUGUCCGAUCUUCGAGACCGCCUUAUUCGCGGCAUCAAUCUUCGCUUUAAUCUUCUCGACAUCAUCUCCCGACAUCUCUUUGCGCAGAUCGGCAAUCGCAUUCUCGAUCUCCGAGACAACGUCAGAAGGAAUCUUAUCUCUGUAUUCGCUCAAACUCUUCUCUAUACUGUAAACAGUAGAAUCUGCAGUGUUCCUCACAUCGAUAAGCGCUUUUCUCUCCUGAUCUUUCUGGGCAUGAAGCUCGGCCUCCUUGACCAUCUUCUGAAUCUCUUCCUCCGAGAGCCCGCCGGAGGACCGGAUUGUAAUUUGCUGCUCCUUCCCUGUUGCUUUAUCUUUAGCAGAUACUGUCACUAUGCCGUUGGCAUCGAUAUCAAAUGUGACUUCGAUCUGCGGCAUGCCUCUAGGAGUUGGUGGAAUACCCACCAGCUCAAACUCGCCGAGGAGCUUGUUGUCUGCAGCCAUUUCGCGCUCGCCUUGUAGAACGCGGAUACCAACCUGGGUCUGGUUGUCGGCUGCGGUGGAGAAUACCUGAAUAUGGACGGAAACCAAAACAUGAGAGAUUCAUACAAAGACUUUGAAUAGCAUAAAUCACAAUGUAGAACCUCAAACCUUCUAGCAUGCAGUCUUGGUUUUAUCCUCAAAACUCGUUUUGCCCUCUAGAGAAGGCUAAUCUUAAAUUGUUACAAUUGAAUCCAUAGUGUCUGCAGUUAAUAGCAAUCGUAUCCUUUCGGUUAAAUUCCCUCCAUCAAUUUGAUGAAAUAUCCACAUAAUCAUUAUUAUCCAAUCUACACGUUAGUGACAUUUGGACUUAUUAUAUGCGUUGUAAUUAAAUUUUACGGUAUAAUUUAACAAAAAGGCAAGAUUGCAAAACCUAAUUGUAAAAAAAUGAAAGGCAAAGUAUCAAACUGAAAACUCCUAAAGAUGCUUGGGUCCCCUGAUGAAAUAUAUCAUUGCGAAUAAUGCCUUACUGAUUUUGAAUUCCCAAACAUAAAUAGAGCCCAAACGAAAGAACAUGGAUUCACCUGACUUUUCUUAGUUGGGAUGGUCGUGUUCCUGUUGAUCAGCCGCGUAAAGACACCACCAAGAGUCUCAAUGCCGAGCGAAAGUGGAGUGAUGUCUAAAAGCAGAAGCUCCUUCACAUCUCCACGGAGGAUGCCGCCUUGAAUUGCCGCGCCCAUUGCAACAGCUUCAUCUGGAUUCACACCUUUGCUCGGUGUCUUCCCGAAAAGCUCUGCGACCACCUCUUGCACCUUCGGAACCCUCGUCAUUCCACCUACGAGAAGAACCUCAUCUAUGUCCUUCGUAGAUACGUUUGCAUCCUUCAAGCAGUUCUUACACGGCUCUCUCGUUCUCUCGAUCAAGUGGUUUAUUAAAGACUCAAACUUCGAUCUUGUUAGCGCGAUAUGCAUAUGCUUCGCGCCUGACGCAUCGGCUGUUAUGAAUGGAAGAUUGAUCUCUGUCUGGGUUGUCGAUGAAAGCUCGAUCUUCGCUUUCUCAGCUGCUUCUCUAAGCCUUUGUAGGGCUAGCCUGUCCUUUGAAAGAUCGAUGCCUUCGGUUCGUUUAAAUUCAUUCACCAAGUAUUCUACGAGAACAUUGUCGAAAUCUUCUCCACCUAAGAAAGUGUCACCAUUUGUUGCUUUGACCUGGGAAAUUAACAGAUAACAGCUGCCAACUAUUAGCUACCCAAAUGAUACAAAAGAUAUUCUUAAGAACCUGAAUUCUCACAUAUUACCUUCAAAAGAGCAAGUUUUUGCAGUAACCCGCUUUCUUAAUUUACAGAGUCAUCCACUUUAUGAGAGGGUAAGUUGGUUUUUGUCUUACAAAUUCUUUAAGGUGGGCAUUUGUAAGUAUAAGGGUAUAGACAUGAGAGAUUGAAUUUUCAUAGGACAUAAAUAAACAUUCAUAUUUGUCGACAAAAUAUAUGUCGAAAUGUCGAGUAGAUAAAUUUACGGUGUGUAUAUAUACGGAAAAGCAAUGACUCACCUCAAACACACCGUUCGAAAUUUCCAGGAUGGAGAUAUCGAAGGUUCCUCCUCCAAGAUCGAAAACCGCAAUUAAACCCUCCUUGUUAUUCGUCCCAUAAGACAAAGCCGCUGCAGUGGGUUCGUUUAUAAUCCUCUGAACAUCAAGCCCGGCAAUCCGGCCCGCAUCUUUUGUAGCCUGCCUUUGCGCAUCGUUAAAAUAAGCCGGAACGGUAAUCACUGCUUUCGAAACAGAUUUUCCGAGAUAGGAGUCCGCAGUUUCUUUCAUCUUCGUCAGAACGAAUGCACCGACCUGGCUUGGGGAGAACUGCUUCCCAUCCGUUGUUUCGACCCACGCAUCUCCAUUUGGGGCCUUCACAAUUUUGUAAGGUACCAUCUUCAUCUCCUUUUGAACUAAGGGAUCAUCAAAACGGCGCCCGAUUAACCUUUUGGUCCCGAAAAAUGUAUUUGCGGGGUUGGUGACCGCUUGGCGUUUAGCUGGAGUUCCUACUAGCAGCUCUCCCUUUGGCGUAAAGGCGACCACUGAGGGAGUAGUCCUCGACCCUUCCGAGUUCUCGAUGACUUUAGGAUUCUAGAAACAUAAUAUCAGCAGCGAACAAAUGAAUGAGGUUUUCGACAAAAAUGUCGAGAGUGAUUAAAGCCACGAAGAGAGUUUAACCUUUCCCUCCAUAACAGCCACACAUGAGUUUGUUGUUCCCAAAUCGAUUCCGAUUAUGUCAUUUGCAGCAGGUUUUGUGCUGAGUUAAAGAAAACCAAAAAAAAAAAAAAAAAAAAAAAAAAAAAAAAAAAAAAAAAAAAAAAAAAAAAAAAAAAAAAAAAAAAAAAAAAAAAAAAAAAAAAAAAAAAAAAAAAAAAAAAAAAAAAAAAAAAAAAAAAAAAAAAAAAAAAAAAAAAAAAAAAAAAAAAAAAAAAAAAAAAAAAAAAAAAAAAAAAAAAAAAAAAAAAAAAAAAAAAAAAAAAAAAAAAAAAAAAAAAAAAAAAAAAAAAAAAAAAAAAAAAAAAAAAAAAAAAAAAAAAAAAAAAAAAAAAAAAAAAAAAAAAAAAAAAAAAAAAAAAAAAAAAAAAAAAAAAAAAAAAAAAAAAAAAAAAAAAAAAAAAAAAAAAAAAAAAAAAAAAAAAAAAAAAAAAAAAAAAAAAAAAAAAAAAAAAAAAAAAAAAAAAAAAAAAAAAAAAAAAAAAAAAAAAAAAAAAAAAAAAAAAAAAAAAAAAAAAAAAAAAAAAAAAAAAAAAAAAAAAAAAAAAAAAAAAAAAAAAAAAAAAAAAAACCAAAUGAAAGGUGGUUAACAAUAUAACAUCUGUAAAUGUCCAUCACACAGAUUUGAGGCAAAAAACGUUACCUGAAUGGCCUAGCAAAACUUGCGAAUUUAUGACCAAGAUUCGAAGCAAGCCAUGUUGAUUUUAUGUUGCCAGAGAACUGCACAAGAUAUAUAAGCAUAAGAAUAAGGUGUUAUCUCUUCAAUAAAUGGUAUAAUAUUUACCAAACAUGGACUAUAAUAAAACCAAACAAUACAAAUACAAUAAAUCAAGAAAUGCCACAGCCAUAUGGAAACACUGCAAGAAUAAUGACCAGUACAGUUCUGGGUAAAUCAAUUGAUCAUGUCCAAAAACACAUAUAUUUUCUUUUUUGUCCUCAUUUACCAAUCAAUGUAUUACAGAAUAUAUAGAUAAAAUAUUUUACCGACCGUCCCUAGCACAAGUGACCAAACACUUGGUGGUUGGUAUUCGAGAUUCCUAAAUUCCUAACUAAGUUUAUUUUUAAAAAGAAAAAAUAAAAAAUAAACACAGUGAAUAAUAUACUAUCUUUUUCUAAAAAAAUAUUAUUAAAACAACUGUUGUUCCUAAGUUCCUAACUAAGUUUUUUUUUUCUCUCAAAAAUAAAAAAAUAAAUAAAUUAUAUAUAAAACAUUAAAGCUACCGGAUAAUGAUGUCUUUAAUUUAAUAGUUUCGUUUAGCAUUCCCCUUAUGAUUGGAUUCGAAACAUUUUGAUAGAAUUCUCUUUUUAAUGCUUACAUUCAACAUUUUUCUCGUGCCUGAACUCGCGAAUGUAAACAUGAUUUAAAUGAGAAAAAAUUAGUAGUAUUAAAGAUCUUGUGAUUCGAACUCAGAACUUGUGAAACAAACAUUAUUCUCUGAAAAAAAUUUAAACUUCUACAGGAAACAGAGAGAAUUAUAAGAAAUGGUAACGACAACAAAUUAAGAGAGUAAGAUGUAUGAUCAACCACCACUUCCAAUAAACCAGAGAUAUAUAUAGCCUUACAAAAACUAAUUAAUCAAAAGGGAAAAGAACGGAGAAAGAAGAUGAGAGGGAACGAUUAAAGCAUACGGAUGCGAGAGGGGAGGAGAGCUCUCUCCGCCGCAUGGCUCUGAGAACAACCGAGGUGGCCAUCUCUUUUUCCCUCCCUCCCUCUCUUAGAAUGCGAGAGCUUUCUCUUCUUUUUUUUUCUUCUUUUUUUAAAAAAAAUUUUUGGGGUGGUGUUGUGCGUUCGUGUCGUUUUUGCUAGAGCGCGGUGGGGAGGGAAAAAGGCGCCGCUCCAAGGCUUUGGAAGAGCGUGGACUGCUCGCGAGAGCGGGUAGAGAGAGAGAGAGAGAGAGAGAGAGAGAGAGAGAGAGAGAGAGCCACGUGUCAGUUUCGGAGUUUUAGGAAUCGGGUCGGGUUCAGAUUUAAACUGAACAGGCCCCAAGAGCACUGAGCACCCUGUUUUGCACGUAGUUUAACAAAUUACGUCGUGGGCCUCGUGGCUUGGGGCUAUGGCUCAGUUUAGAUUUAGAUGCAUGAAAAUCGUUUUUUAGACUCUCCUUUUGUAAUUUAUGACCCUGUAUAACUGUAUAAAUAUCUUGAUAGGUAUAUCUCCCAGAGUUAUUAAAGAAACUUUAACAUUUGACAAAUGGAUGUAAUCAAAUAUCGUAAAAUGAAAUACCAUAUUUAGCCUUUUAAGUUGUUUUUCUCAAAUAAAAUAAUUAUCUCGUAGAUAAAAAAAAAAAAAUCAAUAAUUUUUAAGGAGCAAAAAAUUAAAAACUUUUCUUGCAAUCAUACUAAAAGAAUUUUUAUAACGAAUAAGUUAUCCGACUUUCAAACUAGUAAAUUGCACUACAAGUUUUAUUUCAAUCCAUACUUUUGCACUACUAGUCACUGAAAUUGCACCCUCCCACCCUUCUGGGAUGCCAACUUCUACAAGCACAAUGCAAAGGGUAGAAACUUCUGGGGCAAAGUCGAAAAAAUGGCACAAAAUUGGAUGCUUCGCAUAAGAAGAGCAUAAGGUAUUUUUUCAAGAUCAUCCAUAGACCAUAGCAAUAACAUAAGUGCAUAUGAGAAAAUACAUUUCCAUACCAGGCUUAAGCAUGAGCAAGAACCGAAGUAGUCGCUCGCCCAAACCUAAUAUAAAAAAGAGUGAACGACCAGAACCCCUGAAUCAAUUGCUCAUCGGUAGAUGUGAGUAUCUUAAUUUGAAACUGUUAAAAAGCACUGAGGAGCUUCAUUUUCUGAAGUUGACAAGAUUUUCCAGAAUUUGAACAAAGUCAAAGAGAAGCUGAUAUCUGCCAAAUACGAAUAGAUCCAACUUGAAUCAAAUUGAAUGUCUGCGCAAGGUACGAUUGAAACCUUUUGUAGUGUCAUAUACGAACCAUCAACAUCCGAAAACACACUUAACGGAAUACGAAUAGAUCCAACUUAUACAUGCUGAAAAGUUUAACUGCACAUACUUUAAGCUGCUUUGGAACAUGUUGUAGCCACCAAAAGUAGGGAGUAGCAAACAUGAGGCAAAUUAAUACUUGAGAUGAAAUUAUAGCUAACAUCAGUAGCUCGAGAUCAAUAAGAUGAAAAUCUUGCUGAUGACAAUUUUGUAUUGAAUCCGAGUAAUUAAUGAUGGUUGUGGAAUAUCAUUUCAAAUAAUACAACUUCAUAGCAUAUUUUCUAAAGGCCCAGGAAAUCAGAGAGUAAUAGAUUGGCUAACAAAUGAGGGCUGACAAAGAUAAAAGAAAAGGAAAUUGAGAAAGUAUGGACAGAAAAAAUGGAUAUUUCUAACCUGACGAUCUUUUACUUUAGCAUAGCCAGAGGCACUUGAACAACACAAGAAAUUCUAUUUUCCGACCUCUUCUUUGGACACCCUUGUCAAGAACCUGAGACAUCCCAGAAGGGGGCAAAAGAGGAAGAAUGAGUUUCGUAUUCAACUUCAUAUUGUUUGCUUCAAAUUCCGCAAUUAGGAGCAGGGUAAUCAAAAUGAAAAGGGCCAUAAAGUACUUUACCUCUGGAGGUAAAUCCUCUUGGCGAGAAAACAGUGUGUUAUCACACAACAAAAGUCGAUGCAAUGGCAAGACUUGCAAUAGUUUCAUGGAAAUCUUAACUUCGUAUAUGAACAGUGACAGAACUCGAUGAUUUUCUAGCACCAUUUAGCUCAUCCCAGUAGCUGUUUUGGGUGCUUGUGGCUCUUUCUUUGUGCAGAUACUCCAGAAAUUCCAUUACCACAGGGUCAGUCCAAGGAGCGCCAAAUGGAGCUUCAUCACCUGCUACCCACCCAAGAUGCCCACCUUGUGGAGUAACUAUAAGGAGACAGUUUGGAUUCUCCUAGAAUAGAAGGGGAGAAGAUUAGUUUGUUAAUUUCACGCUAAGUUAGAUAUAUGAACACUGUAAAUAAUUUGUAACAGACAUAAAUUCAUAGUAAAGGAAUGAUAUGACAAAAUAAGCAGAAAGGGACAGUAAAAGUUGUAUAUAAGUAAGCAAUUAUGAACGGAUGUGUGUGACAUAAACAAGCUAAAGGCCUUAGCAUAGAAUCCAGUUUAUGUGUACAUGAGUUAAUAAGUGAGCAGGAAAAAUAGUCUCUAUACCAAAAGAAAAUACCUUGAUUUCUUCACGAGGAAUUCCCCUUGAUGGUGCAAUUGGAUCAGUAGCAGCCUGAAUAGUGUAAGAACAGAAAAUAUAGCAAUCAUGCCAAAAUUAAGGAACUUCUCCAAAUGCGAGUAGUAAUGUUUUAAACUUGUAAUAGUCUCUAUCAAUAUUUUAAUACUUCUCCAAAUGUAAGGUAGUGAAGCAGUGUUUGGAGUUUUCAAAAUAACCUGUAUGCACAAUAAAGGUGUUCUAACAUGCUCGAUGGAACUUGAACUGCUUGAGUUUGAGUAAUACUCAUCCACCGACCUAAAACCAAAUGAAACUGCAGAUACGCAAGUUUUCAUUAGUGGAAAUAACUGGACAAAUUAAAAUGAAAGAACAAAACAGUAGUGAUUUUAUAUUCACCACGUGUUAACCCUUCGUCAAAAUCUCUGACAGAUUUGGCACUCGCUGCCAUCGGUAUAUUGUAUUCACCUUCAAGACCUUCAAACAGAAGUGCAUGUCUGAAGAUUCACAGAAAUGGAAUUUAACUAUAUAUUAACUGCCGGGCUUCUCUAACCAUCAUUCCAAGAUCAAAGAAAAAGAGGCAAAAUAUGGUUUACUUUUUAAAUAUAUUUCGCAGAGCUCUAGCAAGAGCUCUAUCAUAUAUAUUAUUGAAGCCUUUAUGGAAGUCUUCAUCUGCAAUUACCAAAUUGAAGGGGUUACAUAAGGACACUGCUCCAGAAAGAGGACAGCUAUGAGAUUCCUGCAAACAGAGAAAUUAGGUGAAACAUCUACAAGAAAAUAAUAGCAUAAAAAUGAGUCCUUGUAGCAAGAAAGAAGGAAGAUAAGAUUAAGGGAAUAUAAUAUUAGCAGGAUAUUGCAGAAACACAACUAGCGUGGUUAUGACAACCGUGCAUCCUUUUACUUUAAAUGCCCCAAGCUUCAGCAGAAGGCCUAAAGCUCAUGAAGUCAAUCUCAAUCUCAAGCUCGCCCCAUCCAUUUACGUGUUAAUUUCUCAUGGUGCUGAUGAUGGUCUUGCUUAGUGGUCUAGUUUAUAUCCAUCAAUCAUACAUCUCCCCAUAUUAUUACUUCCUAGCAAUUUAUUUUCUGAUCAGCAGUUAAUUAGUCACUUUUUAAUUUAGUGUACUAAACGUGAUAAGAAUGCUCUUUCUUCAUAAAGUAGAUAAGAUAAGAACAAUUAAGACAACUGCAGAAACAAGCUUGAAAAGCAUAUAACAAGACAAAGCAACAUAUAUUUCACACAUCAUAUUCACCACUGAAAACAUAAAAGAUUAAAACUCACCUGACCAAGGUAGCGAACAAGAAUAUUUGCUCCAAGGGACCAGCCAACAGCAUAUAUAUUUGAUUUUGGAUAACGCUUUGCUACAUGAUCAACAAUUUGUGAAAGAUCUUUCGUGAAAGAAGCUGAAUAGAACUGCAUAUAACCAGAGAAAUUCCGAUCACAAAUUUUAACCCCUUGCCUUUAGGUGACUGACUGUACCCGUAAAGACAGUCUAUUCAGCCUAAACAAUCGAAUAUAUGUUUCGUGCUUCCAACCAAUAGAUGAGACCAAAGCUUACAACAUUUUUACCAGUGAGUUACUUUCAAGGUGUUAAUAACUUGAAUGCUGAUCUUACAUGCAAAGUAUAAAAUGAAUAAAUAAAGAACAGGUUCCAAAGUGAGCUUACUUUCAAAGUGUCAAUAACUUGAAUGCUGAUCUUACAUGCAAAGUAUAAAAUGAAUAAAUAAAGAAUAGGCUCCAAAGUGCUCAUGUUGAUGAUCGUGCUUACAGGAACCUUCACCGUGGCAAACAAAAUCAGAAUUUCGAAACAUUUUAAGUCUGACAUGGAACGUUUUGCCAUGCACACAAGGUAUUAGAGAGCAUAAAAGUUAAAGGCGUAGAAGAAACACAAGAACACUAGUGCUUUGUCUAUUCUUUUUAAAAAUUAAGUGCAAAAGCAAAGGUGGUACAUUUUUCAAAGUCAUAUUGCCAAUACCUGUGGGGUUGUCACAGGACUAUCGGCACAACCGCGGCUGUUGAAUACCACGACGCGCCAUCCUUUAUUUCUAGCUCGUACAAGCAUAUGCCUCACAUAUGUAUCAUCACUCCCUCCUGUUAGACCAGGCUGCAAAUAACAACAACAGUUGCCACGAUCAGCACAACAAGCGUUAUGCGACUGUGCAUAGACUACGUAGAAUGGCAGAAGAACGAAAUUGACAUAAGCAGCAAAAUUUCAGUGAAAAAGCGCAAUACAGGAAGGACGAAUGGAAUGGAAAUGACAGGCAAUACUCAAUGACUAUUGCUCUGAUUCAUGGUCACCCAAAACAUCGAUCUAACCGAAAACAGUUAAGAAAUAGUCUUAACACUCUGUUCACAUGCAUAAUGAACCGUGGACCUCACAGAACAAAGAGAAAUAUACUACGGAAACAUUCGUAACACUCAUCACACAGUACUAGAAGGAUCUAGCCGUUGCAUCAAAUCAAAACUGAGGUGAGAAUUUAAAAGAAGGAUCAGAAACGGGACCUGACCAGGAGAAUGAGCACGGGGGAAUCGAAGGGGAGCCGGCGAUCGUCGCCGGAGACCCAAUCGAGGGCGACGGCGCCGUCGUCGCUCGUCCUGAGGCACUCGCGGCGGAGGGCGACGUCGGGGGCGGAGCGGAAGAACGCGGCGAAGAUCGUCUCCACAUGGCGAUUCCACGCUAUGAGGGGGAAGGGUUUGUAGGGCUUCUUCAAGCUCGCGAAGCUGGAGAGGAGGGCGCGGCGCGCGCCCACGAUCUCGAGGUUCGAGAGAGAGGGUUCCUGGGGAUCGUCUCCAUUGUGUUUGGGCGACGAGGAGGAGAAGGAGCGAGCCAUGGCGGGGACGAAGGAGCGGAGAGGAGGAAAGGAGCGGGACGGAGAGAAGGAGAAGGGAGAGGCCGCCAUUAAUGGAGGUGGGAGGAUUGGGUGUUGAGCGUGGGGGAGAGAGGAUUUGGGACGGAAUCGGGCAAGCCAAUGGGGUGCGCGGUCGAUGCUUUUGGCACGUGAGAGAGGACACGCGAGACUUAGUGGAAGUAUUUGGUGGAUUCGGUCCACCACGUCAUCCGCGGGCCGGCCCAGAUUAGUGAAAAAUGAAGUGAUACACGCGCGGUAUUGAUCAAUGUAAUUUGUUCAACUGAUUUCACUCAUUUUGUUGGAUAUAGUUAUAAAUACAGUAUAGAUUGUAUAGUUAAUAAUAUUUACAGUUAAAAAUAUAUUAAUUAUAAUUAUAUAUUAUUUAUUCGGUUAUAUAUAAGUGUAACUACUAUAAUUAAAUUUGUUCUGUUUGAUAAUAUGAAGUAGGGUUAUUUACAUACACGUCCCUGCAAACAUAGUAAAUAGCAGAAAUAUUCCUGUAAAACAGAAACUCCAUAAGUUAUUCCUGCAAAAGUCUAAAGUUAUGCAGAUAUGUCCCUGCCGUUAAAGACUGUUAGAAAAUUUUCGUUAACCAUAGUUAAUUAUAAUGUGAAUUUACGGUUCUACCCUUCUUCUUCUUCCUCUUCUUCUUCCCUCUUUUUCGUCGCCGGCGAGGGCGGCGGCGGUAGCGCCGGCGGCGGCGGUAGCGCCGGCGGCGACGAUGGCGGUGACGGCGAACCCUCUCUUUUUCUUUUCCGCCUUCUUCCUCUCCCUCUUCCCUUUUCUCCCUUCUUCUUCCUCUCCCUCUUCCUCUUCCCUCUUCUUUAUCGCCCGCGAGAGAGAAGAUGCGACGGCGGCGGCAAACCCUCUCCCUCUCCCUCUUCUUCUUCCUCUCCCUCUUUCUUUUCCUCUUCCUCUUCCUCUUUCUCUUCCCUCUUCUUCGUCGCCGGCGAGGGAGGAGAUGCGACGGCGGCACGCGGCGACGAACCCUUUCCCUCUUCAUCUUUCUCUUCCCUCUUCCUCUCCUUCUUCCUCUUUCCUUUUUUUCUUCCUCUCAUUCUUUCUCUUCCCUCUUCUUCGUCGUCGGCGAGCUCGACCCGCGUCGUCGCCGCCAUCCUCUCCGGCGGCCCGAAGAGGAAGAGGAAGAGGAAGAGAAAGAGAAGGGAAAGAUGAUACUAUUGGAGGGAUAUAUUUGUGAGGGCAAAAUGGUUAUUUCAUAAGAAAAUUAUUAAAAAAUAAAUAGUUCUCUAACAGAUGUUAAUCAGAGGGACAUAUCUCCAUAAAUUAGGACUUUUGCAGGGACAACUUAUGGAGUUUCCGUUUUGCAGGAAUAUUUCCGUAAUUUACUAUGUUUGUAGGAACGUGUAUGCAAAUAACCCGAAGAAGUAAGUAGUAUUCUAUCAUUUCUAAUAUAGUGGUAAAAUUAUUUUUAUUGGACAUAAAAUAACUAUUAAUUCUGUAAGGUAAAAAUGAAAGAAAUCUUACAAAGGUACUUUUGGUUCUUAAUUUGGAAAAUAUUUCAAAAAAAAAAAGUUUUUUAAGCUGAAUAAGUAUUUUUCAUAUUUCAUAAAAAAACAUUAUUUUAUGUUUUGAAUUUUUUAUUCAAAAUAAAAAUUAUAUUUCCAUUGAGAACUCUUAUUCUGAAAAAUAAAUUAUCACACUUUUUUUAAAAAAACAAAACACCUCCAAGGACAUUGUAGAGAAAAGUCUUUUGUAUGGAUGUUAACCGACGUGGAAGUACGAAAUAAGGUUUUUGCGCGUGCACUCCUAACUAGUGUUCUUUUGUAAAGUUCUUUUCUAAAUUUCAAAUUCUAUUAGUAAAUUCUAAAAUUUUAAAGAUAUUUUAAAAAAUUUUAAAAAAUUAAUUAGAAUAUUUUGGCCGAUCAGAGAUAUACGGGAUAUUUUUAAAUUUUGAAGAAUUAAAAAUUAUCCCAAAAUAUAAUUAAAUACCAUUUUAAUAGAAAAAUUAUAACAUUAUGUUUGGCCGAAUUCUUUAUUAUUUUGUACGACACAAUCCAUACAAAUAUAUAUUUAUAUAAAUAUAUAAUCUGAUGGUUUUUUAGCGCUUACGUGUCGGGCUCUCCUUAAUUUCACCCCUCCGUCUCUCUCUUUUCUAACUAUAUCUUUGUCUUUUCACCUCUUCAAGAAGCUUUUUCACUUUCCAAUAUGUAAUAAUUAUUCUCACAUUUCCAAGAGGUUUUUUCAUCUUUCCAAAUAUAAUAAUUCAUCUCUCAUUCCCAAUGAGCCUUUUCACUUUCCCAAGAGAUUUCUUUAUCUUCCCAAGAUGUAAUAAUUCUUAUCACUUUCUCAAUAGGCCUUUUCACCUUUCUAAAGGUAAUAUUUCUUCUCACCUUUCCAAUAAGGGCCUGUUUGGAUACACAGUAAAAUAUCUUCACGGAAUUUAUAAACUGUGGUUUCGGUCUAGAUAAAAUAGAGAAUCUUGCAACUCUAAAAAAUUCCACGGAUUCAAUUUUUAAACUGUAUUGGUAGAUUGUACAUUUCACAGAAUUUUUCUAAAAUUUUAGAUUAAAAGAUUAAAUUUAAAAUUUCAAAAAUAUUUAAAUUUAAAAUUUCAUAUGUGAAAGUGUGAAUUUUGAAUUUGAAUUUUUAAAGUUUUAAAUGUCAGAAUUUGAUUACAGUUUAUAAUUUAAAGAUUAAAUUAAAUUUUUUUAAUGUUUUAAAUUUUUAAGUUUAAUUUUAAAAUAAAAAUUUAAUAUUAUAUUUUGAAUUUGAAAUUUAGAAAUUUUAAAUUUAAAAUAAAUUUAAAUUUAAAGUUUAGUUAAAAAUAAAUUAAAAUUUAAAGUUAAAUUGAAAUUUGAACUAUGAGAUCUUUGAGAUUUGAAUUAAAUUUUAAAAUUUGAAAUUUGAAUUUAAUUUUAAAUUUAUAAUUUAAAGUUAAAUUUAAAAUUUAAAGUUUUGAAAUUUAAAAUUAAAAUUUAAUUAAUUAAUUUAAUUAUAUUUGAAAUUUUUAUUUAAAUAGAAAUUUAAAUUUUAAAAUUUAAAAAAAUUAAUUUAAAAUUUUAAAGUUAAAAUUUGAAAUUUGAAAUUUAAUUUGCAAUUUGAAAUUGAAAUUUAAUUUGAAUUGAAAUUGGAAUUUAAAUUUGAAUAUUUGAAAUUUGAAUUUAAUUUGAAUUUGAAUAUUGAAUUUAAUAUUGAUUUCGAAUUUGAAAUUUCAAUUUUGAAAUUUGAAAUUAAAUAGUUGAAAUUUAAUUUGAAUUUAGACAUUUGAAAUUUGAAAUUUUGAAAUUUGAAAUUUGUAAAAUUUAAAUUUGAAUUUAAAUUAAAUUUAAUUUAAAAUUUAAAUUUAAAUUUUAAAUUUUAAAAUUUAAAAUUUAAAAUGUGAUAUUUCAAAUUUCAAAUUUUAAAUUUUAAAUUUUAAAUCUAUGUUGAAAUUUAAAAUCUAUGUUGAAAUUUAAAAUUUUAUGUUAAAAUUUAAAAGUUAGAACUUGAUGCAUUUUUUUGAAUAAGGGAGCUCAAGAAUGGUAGAAUUUUUUUCCUUUGGUUAGAGUGGAUUAUACUUUUACUCCAUUUUUUGGAGUAUAGUUUAACUAUACUCCAAAAAUUAUGUUACUUUUUUUCCUCCCAAACGCUUCAUAGGAUAUUUUUCCUACCGCCGUAGCAUAGUUUAACUAUGCUAUGUUUUCAGGAGUAUCCAAACGGGGCCUAAGCCUUUUUACCUUCCCAAGAAAUAAUAAUUUUUCUCUUUGUAUAACUCUCUCUUAUGCAAUGACAUUCUACAUUUUCUUAUAUGCAAUAAUUCUAUACCACACACAAUAAUUACUGAGUUUUUAGAGUUUGGAGAAAGCCAUUUCAAAAGCUUUGCUGAAGUUCUCCUCCUCAUUCUCCUUAAGUUAGUUGCCGUGCUCCUUUAAGUUCCGAUCGAUUUAAAGUGUUGGUCAUGGCUAGCCCAAUCUACAACCACAACACUGCGAUUCUAUCCUACGGUCGAUUUAUUUUUUAAAAAAUUAAUAUCUUUCCACAUAUUUCACUUGGUUUUUUUUUUC